GUUGAUGGUAGGAAAGCAUGUAGGCUUGAAUCUCUUAAAAACUUGGAACACCUUCAAGUAUGUGGUAUACGUAGACUGGGUGAUGUAUCAGAUGUGGGCGAGGCUAAGCGAUUAGAACUUGACAAAAAGAAAUACCUCUCUUGUUUGAGACUUCGGUUUGAUAAGAAGAAAGAAGGAGGAGAAAGGAGGAAGAACGAAGACGAUCAACUACUUCUUGAAGCCCUGCGACCAUCUCUGGAUUUAAAGGAAUUAGAGAUACAGUUCAACCGAGGCAACACUGUUUUCCCCAGCUGGAUGACGUCAUUAACCAACUUAAAGAGUUUAGGUCUCUCUUUGUGCGAAAAUUGCGAGCAGUUGCCUCCUUUGGGAAAAUUGCCAUCCCUCGAACAGCUCUUCAUAUCGUACAUGUCGAGUGUGAAAAGAGUGGGUGAUGAAUUUCUGGGGGUAGAAAGUGAUCGUCAUGACUCAUCGUCAUCUUCAUUAGUUAUUAUUGCCUUCCCCAAAUUGAAAUCACUUAGAAUUGAGGGAUUGAUGGAAUUGGAGGAGUGGGAUUAUGGGAUUACAAGAACGGGAAACACCGUCAUCAACAUCAUGCCCCAUCUUUCUUCCUUGGUAAUUGAUAGUUGCUACGAAUUAAAGGCACUGCCCGAUCACAUUCAUCAAACGACGACAUUGAAGCGAUUGUGGAUUUUGAAUUGUGGGCCUCUGGGAGAACGUUACCGCACGGGGGAAGGAGAAGACUGGCCUAAUAUAUCACACAUUCCCAACAUACAUAUUCGUUAAGAAGGAUUUGCGCAUUUGAGAUUUGGCGUUGACAAGUAAUUUCUUCUCUUACUCUGAUUUGCUUUUGUUGUUGUUUUUAAUCUAGUUAAGAAGUGUAAAUAGCAUUUUGAAUCAAACUCUAUAUCAGAAAUCUGCAAUACAUACUUUCUAAUAUUCUGAUUUUCAUAUCCUAUGAAUAUACGAUUUUUAAUUUGUGAGAUGGGUAACGUUACUGUAAAAGAUUAUUAAUGCAAUAUGAGUAAUUCUUUUGCAGGACAAGUGACCUACAUUUAGUUUGGCUUUGGAGUUGAAUAAUAACCUUUCGAGGUCCCGACAAACAAAAAACGAAGCUUAAUUUGCCACAGAUUGCACGUAUUGCCAUUAUUGACAAUUUUCUGCACAAGUGAUCGAGGGUGAGGUCCUGUCCUGAAUAAAGCUCUCGUGACUGAACUUAGGUUGAUGUCAAAAGAGGUAAAUUAUCGGCAUGCCUGACUAUUUUGACCAUUACAUGAUUCAUAAAUUGAGUGAUUACUUUUCAAGGUUUGCUUACUUAACCGGGUGACCAAUUUCUUGUAACUAAAUGUAUGAUAUGAAAUGAGAAGCUUAUUAGUGGAAGGAUUGCCUGUAACAGAACCCAAAGAAAAUGAAACCAUUUCAAGGCAGCAGCCGGCAGUUGGGAGUGAAUGGAGGGCCUUCACAAAAUUCUCAAGCAGUUGCAAUGCAAUUACGAUCAUCCUCAGCCUCAGGUAAUUUCUUCUCCUGCUUUGUUUUUAUUUGUUACCUAAUUAAGAAGCAUUAUUUGUUUUUAUUUGUUACCUAAUUGAAGGACAAGUGCUGAAGAGUGGGAAUGGUGCUAUAUUGGGGAAUAAUGCAGGAGGAGGUAAAUUAUUGGGAGUUUCUUCAACCUUGUUUUCUUUGAACCAGCGCCUGAUCCACAAGACUCCGUUAAUUUGGCUUUUGAUCGGCUGAUUGAUAAAUUUUCAAUUUCUUUUGUGAUAAAUGUAUAUGUGAAGCAGGCAGCAGGACAUGACUGUGGAAAAGAGAAGAUCUUAGUGAAAGCUGAGACUCAGAUAUUUCUACAAAGUAUGUGUUUUGGCUGAUUUAUCUAAUUCAUGAAAUUUUAUUUCCAUCUGUUACAAGAUCAAACUGAAGCAGAACUCAAAGAAAAGUAUUCUACUUCUUACGGCAAUCUUGCCUUCGUUCAGAUUAUGGAACCAUUUCCAUGCAGCAAAUUCAUCCAAAAGUUUGAAUAAGUUUCAUGGUUGGACACUGUUGGCUUCUUUUUCUUUUGGGGUGCAUUUAGGUGCUAUCAAGUGACAGCCGUAAGUAUGAUUGCACUAAGCUGCUGCUGGGAAAUUCGAGGUUUUGAUGGCUGCCCACGUUAUUGUCAAGAAACUCCUCAUGUAAGAAGUUGUAGUUCUUUUCAUCAGCUUGAACCUAAAACUGUCGCUAUUGAUAACUCAGGUUUUUGUUAUCAACUAUAUCAUCUUUUUCACUGUUUUGAAACUCUUUAAGAUUAAACUUCAGUAAAGUUCUUUCAGUUAUCCACAUAAUCAGGCUGAGGAUACUUUAGUAAAGUUGCUUCAGCUAUUCAAAUGAAAAAUCUCAUUGAUUUGAGACUUCCUUCAUUAUUGUUUUUGAUUAAAAUGCUAAGGGUCCAGAUAAAAUAAUAUUUAAUUGGUGGAAGGUGUCCCUUGGAAGUACAUCAUGAUUAGCUGUUGUGCUAAUCAUGCCAAUGCAUAAUUCGGCCCCUAAUGUGGGUACUCUGUUACAUUGUUCUGCAAAUUCUCCAAAAAAGUUAAAUCAAUAAAUUUUGUAUUAGCUAGAUUAGCUCUAGGUUGUGAGGAGUCUGUCAUAUGGGAGAACCCAUUUCCAGAAAAUAUCUGGUAUUUGUUCCAGUCUUCUAAUGAAUGAAAGUUAUGAUUCCUUUUCAAAAAAAAAAAAGAAUUUUGUAUUAGUUCUAGUGCGUUGACCUAAAUGCUAUUCUAUAUUUUAGUGCCUUAAUUCUAGAACCUUGGCUCCUGCCAGAGCAUGCGGAGAUAAUGGUAGGGAGAGUGUUUGUGUAUUUUAACCAUGAUAAAGCUAAUGUUCCCAAUGAUUUCUGCUGGUGAGACUUGUGAAGAGGGUGAAUGAGGCAACUGCUAAUAUUCCUGGGUGGGAUACAGUAACUAGAGGCUGAGAUCAGGUGGUGGAAUUUUUUGUUUGAUCGAUGAUACCAGAAUUGUCCACAAAAAGUUUGUUGAUACAAAUUACAGGUGAUAGAAAGAGGUAUAGGUGGAGAAGAGAAAUCUGCGAGUCAAAUUAGGGAUAAUUGAUUUGCUGAUGCAAGUUACAUUGAAUAAUAAUAAUAACAAUUGCAUGAAGAUCCCUUAUUAAUCUUGUGUUCUCCUAUCUUUUACAUUCAGCUGGUAUACUUAAGCCUUGCUUGUGGAAUGUUUUAACCUUUAAAUUCACUACCCCUGGAUGUUGGAUUUUCUAGAACUUCAAAAUGAUUAAUGGAGAAAGAUCCCAUUAUCGAUAUCGCUAUAAGAAAUUUUAUUUAUACUUCCAAAGAUACAUUAUAUAUUUAUGUGUAUCUCUUUAUACAUGACAUUUAAGCAUCCAUAAACUGUCAGACAGAGGAAGGGGGUUGAGUGUAAAGAUUCUGUUGACCUAGGGGUUGCCUGCUUAAUGUCACUUGUUAGUGAUCUAUUAUUUAUUUCAUAUUUUGAAGAAUUUAAAGGGCAAUCCUGCUUGUUUGUGUUGUUAUCUCCUUCUAACUUACGGUCGUACCUAAAGAGCAUAGUUUCAUAUGUGUUACCCUGAGAUGUACAGAAUUUCACAUUUGCCUCAGAUUAAGCUUAAUUUCCCACAGAAUAGAGCUGUUGUGACUGAACUUAGGUUGAUGUCAAAAGAGGUAAAUUAUUGGCAUGCCUAGAUAAUUUGACCAUUUCCUAAUUCAUAAGUCUACAUUAAUUUUGAUUUUGAGUUGACUGAUUUCUUUUCAAGGUCUGCUUACUUAACGGAGUGACCAAUGUUUUUCAACUAAAUUUAUCAUAUGAUGCAGGAAGCAGGGCAGGAUAUGAAAUGAGAAGCUCAUUGGUGGAAGUAUUGCCUGUAACAGAACCCAAAGAAAAUGAAACUAUUUCAAGGCAGCAGUUGGCAGUUGCAAGUGAAUGGAGGCCCUUGCCAAAAUUCUCAAGCGGUUGCAAUGCAAUUACGAUCAUCCUCAGCCUCAGGUAAUUUCUUCUCCUGCUUUGUUUUUAUUUGUUCUCUAAUUAGGAAGCAUAAAGUAUCUUGAAUCAUUUUCUGUAUCUGGAAUAUAUGCAAGAGUUUCUAAAAUUUUGAUAUGAGUGUAAUGAUGGUAAUUUCUGUUUUCUGUCUGUCAUCAAAUGUUAGAAAACUUUCAUUGAGACCCUUGAACCGAGUCAUUUUUGACAAGUGAAGUGCUGAAGAGUGAGGAGUAAGAAUGGUGCUAGAUUGGGGAAUAAAGCAAAAGGAGGUAAAUUAUUGGCAGCUUCUUCAGCCUUAUUUUCUUUGGACCAGUGCCUAAUUCACAAGUCUCCGUAAUUUGGCUUUUGACCAGUUGAUAGAUAAAAUUUUAAUUUCAUUGGUGCUAAUGUACCCGUGAAGCAGGCAGAGAAGGACUGUGGAAAAGAGAAGGUUUUUAGUGAAAGCUUAAACUCAGGUAAUUCUAAAAAUUAUAUGUUUUGGCUGAUUUAUCUAAUCAGGAAAUUUUAUUUCCAUCUGUUACAAUAAAACAGAAACAGAACACAAAGAAAAAUAGUCUACCUCUUGUGGCAAUCUUGCCUUCAUUCAGACUAUGAAACCAUUUCCUUUCACCAAUUUCUUCCAAAAGUUUGAACACGUUUCAUGGUUGGACAUAGUUAGCUUCUUUCUCUUUUGGUGCAUUUAGGUGCUAUCAAGUGACAGCCAUAAGUAUGAUUGCAUUAUUGGGAAAUUUUAGGUUUUGAUGGCUCCCCAUGUUAUUGCCAAGAAAUUUUAAGUCCUCAUGUCAGAAGCUGCGUUUCUUUUCAUCAGCCUGAACCCGAACCUGUCACUAUGGAUAACUGAGGUUUUUGUCAUCAACUAUAUCAUCUUUUUCACUGUUUUGAAACUGUUAAGAUUAAACUUCAGUAAAGUUGUUUCAGUUAUCCAUGUAAUCAGGCUAAGGAUAUUUAGCAGCUUAUUUAGGCAACUGCCAGAAUUUAGUUUGUUCGCUCGAAACUUGUAUGGUGACAAGGAUACUGGCAAGGAUAGUGAGAUAGUUUUUUGUGUGAGUGAAUUUUGAAAGCUUGGGUGUUCUGGGAUUUGCAAUUGCAAUCAUCCUCUGCUUUAGGUGAUUUCUUCUCCUGUUCUGUCUUUAUUUUCUCUCUAAUUGAAAGCAUUUCAAUCAAAUUCUGUACCAGGAAUACGAAAAAUUUACUAAUAUUUUAUUUCCAUCUGUUUGCAUUGAUAACUUGGCCGCAUAUGUACUAGUUAAAGAACAAACAGAAGCAGAGUUCAGGAAAAAGUUUCUUCGGCCACCAUAUUUGAAAAUGAAACCAAUUCCAGGAAGCAGUUGGCAGCAAAUUCAUACAAAGUAUAGACAAUGAUGUGCAAAAAGGUGAUUCGCAAUUUCAUUUUUUUAAAAUGAAAUUAUUUGUUAAGUUGGAGCUGAUAUUGUUAGAAGGCCAUUGAGCUAACCUAUGACACUGCUUGCCUAGAUUGCAGGAGGUCAAGGCUCAAAAGAUGCACUGAAUUUUAAAAGGCAUGCAAUAAUUCUUAUGGCCAUUUGUCAAUGGUGGAAUGCUUUUAGCUUCUUUUCCUUUCGUGCAUUUUGGGGUUCUAUCAAGCGACAGCCGUAUGUAUGGAUGGAUAUAGCUGCUGCGUUGAUUUCUAAUGCGGUGGAGUAAUCGUCGUUAGAAUCUGAAUGAUAUGUCUAAGACGUUGCAUGCAUCAAGAAAAUUGCAGAUGAUUAAACCUUGCCAUCUAUGCGUUGUAUGAGGUUAUAGCAACUAUCUAUCUGGUCACCGUUUUAAAAGAAUAAGACAAAGGGAAAAAGAGAAAGAAAAGAAUGAUUCGACAAUGGCAUUAAAGUUCAACAUACCCCAAGAUCUUGUAAUAAUGCCAUUAAUCAUUUCUAGCUAGGCUAGCCUUAGAGAAAAGUGAAACUGUUGCACAGGUAGAAUCACACCCCUCAGAGAUAAUGUGUUUUUAUUCAGCUCUUCGAAUGAAUGAAGUUUAUUUUCUCGUCAAAAAAAAAACUGCUCGUUCCGCUGGUUUCAUACAAUGUCAACUAGAAACAUCAUACUUUCGUAUAAGUUCAUUAUUGUUUCUUGGAAAUAUCAGAAUAUUUCUUAGAGUUUGUAUAAAAUGAAAAGAUUUUAAAAUAUAAAUUUAAUAUUUGUUUAUUACCGUUGUUUGGUCUAAUUUCCUCGGGAGAAUUUUCAGAAUUUAUAGGACAUUAGUUUAUAAUUUGCGCAUUGACAUAUAUCUUAUUUUAUCAUUUUGAAUGAAUUGCACGGCGAGGCUUAUCAACUUUGGAUGAAUCCUCCAAUUGUCGCAGUCCAAGACUGGCUGCAGUGAGUGAAAAUUUACCCAUAUAUAUGCUGGCUAUUUUUAUUGGCGACGAAUUCGUUGUAGUUGGUCCAUCUUGCUAUUCUCGGACAAUAUUAGAGAAAAUAAUCAUAUUAUUUCGCGUGAUGUGACCUUCCAUAACUUAUCAAUUGAAUUACUGUAAAAUUAUUGUGUAAGUUUAGGCCCAAUGGCACUUUAGUUCGAUAGCCUGGAUUUAAAAGGAAAACUAUAUUGCAUUGCUUCAAAAAAAAAAAAUUAAUGUUUUUAAUAUGAAUAUUCUUAACUAUAUUCAGUUAAAAUAAUAUAUUCUUAAUAUUAAUAUUCAUAGAUGAAAUUCUUUUGUGGAUUUAAGAAUAAAAUAUCAAAUAGUUUUAUUUUUCUUUUGUUGUGUAACUUGGACCGAAAAAGAAAAUGAGCUUAACAUGACCCUCCUUCCGGCACUAUGCAUGUUUUUCUUUUAUUGAUGACAGUGCUCUUGGUGCUUCUCAUCUGCUUCUUGCUUUGGUUUCAAACAAGUCUUUCUCCGUCGAGACAUUUAUUGUAAUUUGAUUUGGAGACAUCUGUCGUUCAAAUAUAUUUCAUAUGCAAGCUGUUGAUAAUUCUGCUUGAGAAAGCCUACAAAGCAGCUGUGUGAUGUAAUAGAAGACUAUAUAUGCAAACGGUCAUCAGUUUCUCUUGAAUUCUUUCUUGAGUUUCUUUGAAUUAUUUGUGAAUGAGUUCUUAAUCGGCUGCUGCUCUUCAGGAAAAGGAAAGUGUUGCAAACUGGUGAAGCUGAUCGAUAAAAGCAAUGUACCAUCUUUGCUGGCAUGGAUCGAUGCCAGUGAGUUUUUUUAUUUGUCAACCUUUUUAAUAAUGCAUAUGUUUUUCUUCAACUUGAAGCGGCAUAUAAGACGAAAGAAGUGAUCUUUAAAGCAUUCUAUGGCAUUAUCCUUUCCUAUUAUAUAUAUCCAAUUGCUCCAAAUUAUUUGUAAAUUACUGAACACGAAUGCUGAUGAAUAAACUGAUGGCUCUAUGUAUGUAUGCACAUGCAUGGAGAAAUUUUAAGUCAGACAUUCUCAUAUAUAACUCGUGGGACCAAAUCAUUAAAUAAUCUUGAAAUCAAAGUAAUAAUUAAAUACAAAUAAAUUGCUCGAAUUGUACAUAUAUCUGAAUCAUGUAGUGAAGAAAAUACAACAACAACAACCAAUGGCUCAAAUUCCCCAUCAACUUCUAGUCUCAACACUUUUGAGUGUCAGAAGCAUUACUCUGCUACCAGUUAACAAACAUAUAAUUAGUAAUUUGCCAUUCACUUCCCUUUUAGGCCUAACACAUUUUCUAUAAAGGAGCCACAGAGUGAACUCAGCAGGAAACACUCAAUUUCAACCUACGUAGGACCAGGAAUUUCAACAAAAAAAAAAGUGUGCAAUUGCUUAUCCUAUCCUAUUGCUACUAGAAAGAAAGUGAACAAUUAAUUUCAGUGAAUAAAUUAAAAAAAAUUACUUCUGCAGAUACUCAAGCUAAGAACACAUUAACCCAUUAAAGACUCCAAAUUGCAUCAAACAAAUUGUUGUUAAACAAGUAAAACAAAGAAAGAGAGUUAAGGAAGCUGACCUAGUAGUAGGGGAGCUGAAGAAAGACUGCCAGUGAAUGUAAGAGAAAAUAAAAUGCAAGAAAUGGUGAAGUGCAGCUUUUCAUGUCAACUUGAAAUUGUUUCUUCUGUUUUUUGUAAUCUUUUGGAUUUUUCAAACAAAGAAAAUGAGGAGCAACCAGGGAGAUAAAAAGGGCGCCAAGGCAACUGUGUGUUGGGUUUAGAGCCAAAAAAAAAAAAGAAUAAGACAUCGUGUUCUUGUGGAGACCAGACCUAUUACGUAUAGGGAUGGCAAUGGGGCGGGGUGGGGGUGGGGAUGCCUACCCCAUUCCCCACCCCAUUAAAAAUUUUUGCCUCCAUUCCCCACCCCAUUCCCCAAUAAAUUUAGUGGGUUGGGGAUGGGGAAUCCCCACGUGGGGAAUGAUUCUCCCAUCCCCACCCCAUUCCCCAUUUACAUAUUUUAUAGUAGAUAUAAAAAUAUGAUUUCAGUAAAUUAAAAAUUAGAGACUUAAGAUAAAAUCAUCACAAUAUUAUAAAGUAUUUAAUUUUAAAAAAAAAUCUCUAAAAAUUUGAAACAAUAUCUUAAAAUGAUAUUAAAAGUGAAAAAUAUUUAAAGAAAGCAGCACCUUAAAAGAGAAAAGAAAAUAUAUUAAUGUUUUAAAGUUGAAAAAUAUUGUAGAAUUUUCUUUUAUUCAUAUUCUAUUUAUAUUACAUAAAAAUUAAAAAAAAUUAUUAAUUGACAUUAUAGUUGAUAAAAUAUAAAUUAUUAAAUAAGAAUUAAAAACAUAUUUAUAUAUAAUGGGGAUUGGGGUGGGAGUGGGGUGGGGAGUGCAAUACCAAACCCCACCCCGUUAACAAUUUGGGGAUUAUUUUUUCCCCACUCCCCACCCCAUUCCCCAAAAAUUAUUAAAAAAUUUCCCCAUUUGGGGUGGGGCUCCAUGGGGCCCCAAACCCGUGGAGGAUUUUGCCAUCCCUAAUUACGUAACGUCCCCUUCAAUACCACUUGUUCCGUAUCUGGUUUUUUCUUCGUCUUUUACAUAUUUAUCCUGUGAUUUUACAAUAACUAAAUAAUCCCCGCAUAGUUUGCAAUUUUAUUCAUUUGGGCCCUACAGAUUUCAGUAAUAGGAAUUAUUAAGGGACAAGAGCGCAAAACAGAAACUCUGUCCACUACUGAUGAUAUAACAACGAACCUUUGUAGUUUCUGCCUGUUAAUAUGAAUUGAUCAGGAGUGUUUCCUCACUUACAAAUUACGAAUUUACAAAAUAUGUAUGUAAGUAUGUGUGUACGUACGUGUGUAUGUAUGUACAUAUAUGCAUACACCUAUGUAACAUUUACUUAUACAUUCUUUUGAGUUUAAAUCUUAAUACACAUUUUCAUGAAAUUUUUAUUUUAUUAAGUAUACAACUACAUACAACUACAUUAAUGUAUAUAUUUUUUAUAUAAGACAUGCCGUCCUAUUAUUCAUAAGUAAACAAUGUGUUGUAAAUAGUAUUCUGUGUUUUCUCAAAGUUGACUUUUCGUCUUUUAUUUUCAGACGCAGACGCUAUGUCAUUUUGUAAUCUUCAAAACAUAUGCAGAGCAGAAUUGGUGUUAUAUGAUUUUGUGAUGCAAUAAGAUUUGCACUUCCUGUGCACUCAAUGGAAUCAUUUCUUUGUAACUAAUUGGGUGGUGGAAUGGUGGUCAAAUAUCGAACGAAGACAGAUCUAUCAAACUCCAGAAACAGGGAAACCAUGCCACGCUAGUAGACAAUAUGCUAGUAUGAACAAACUUGUUUGAAUGGCAAAAACGACAUGACCUGCUGUAGUAUUAGUUCUUUCCCGAACCAAAGGGUGAUUUGCUACGUUAGAUCAUGAAAAUUGAAAAAAAAAAUUAACCAAAAUAAAAAUUCUUACGGUAAGAAUAAAAAUUCUUAAGGAAUUAGUUAGUUAAUUGAUUGAUCGAAUUUAAUCUAAAUUGGAAAAUGAUAAGAUAAUUUUGAAUUUUUUAUUAUAAUUAUUAUUUUAAAGUGGGGUGGGUUUAUACAAUUUGAGGCUUUGAGCGGUGUAAAUAUCACUGCUGAAUUAUUAAAUAUACAGUGUAAAAUUUUGACCUUUAAAAUAUUCCUUUUUUUCAUUUAGCACUAUAAGUUUAAAAAUUUAACAUUUUACCUCAAUAAUUAAAUACUUUUAACUUUAAUCUUCAAAUAUUUACCCUACAACAUUCGGACCUAAAUUUUUAAUCCGACUCGGCCCCUGACCCAAGUGGGAAGAAGAUCAGGCUUAUAAGUUAUAACUAUCACCAACAUAACAUCUUCUGGAAAAUAAUAAGAUUACUCACCUGCAAUUAUGUGAUCAAACUAAUGGUAAGCAAAAUAGAACAGCGUUAUUUCAGUCCCCUUUCAGUUUCUUUAUCAUUUUUCUUUUCCUAUUUAUAAGCUUAAUUCGGUCCAAUAUCGGCUAAUUCACUUUGAUUUCACUUUUCUUUCUUUCGGUUCAAAAAAAUUGAACCCAUUGGCUGUCAAUUCAAUUUUGUUGAAAACCAACUUUGCCUGAAUUUGAGUAAUAAUAGAGGAAAAAAAAAGUGUACUUAGCAGAAGAGAUUUCUCAUUUUUUUCUCAUUCAAACUUCUAAAAUAAAGGGAAAAAAAAAACAAGAGUAAUUGUUAAUUAUCAAAAAUUUGUUUAUACUAUUCCACCAAGAAAAUUAUAAAAAAAAAAUUUAAAAAUUGGAGAAGAAAUAUGAGGUGAAAUACGUGGAUGGCUUAGACUAAUAAUGUGAACAAAUUCCUCUCGGAAACAUGUCAUUGUUCAUCCGGACAACACGCGGCAAUGAGAUUCAAGAAUUAAAUGAUAGGAAUCAACUGUAACCUCAUAAACAAAUGGCCUUGGAGUUGUAAACACCAAGCUCGGCAGAUUAAUUAAACAAGAAUAUCCGAAUUUUCUAUGAUAAUCUCUAGGAAACGAUCAGCUAUAAUAUACGAAAUUAAAAUAUUGCAUAUAUUUUUGAACUCAUGCAUUAAUUUCAAAAAUUAUAUCGUAUUAUAAUUUAUUCACAAAAGAAAGAAAAAUUCACUAAUCAAUUGAAUAAAUAUAAGUAUUUCAUCCAGUGUAAUACUUAUAUCAAUUGAAUAAAUAUAAGAAAAAUCACCAAAAUUCACUAAUCAAUUGGAUAAAUAUAAGUAUUUCUUCCAGUGUAAUUUUUGUUUAAUAGAAAAUCUAUUUGAGAUUUUGUGAGAAGAAACUCAACAAUAAAGUGUGAUAGACUUUGUGGGUAUUAAGAGUUUGACAAGUAUUUGAAAUCUGAAGUUUACGAGCAAACAAACUGAAAUCCGAAGUUUACUGAAGUUUACUAUCAAGAGUUUCAAAACAGUGAAAAAGAUGAUAUAGUUGAUGACAAAAACCUGAGUUAUCCAUAGCGACAAGUAACAUACUGAAGUAAGCCGUUGGGAGCUGGCCUGUUCAUGGGCUAUUUUUCUCUGAUGAUCUGCAUUUUUCUUCCUUUUAAGUGAACCUUGACUCGUAUCAAACCUGUCAAAAGAACAGUUCAUCAACUGAGCUGAGAUUUGCUUUCCUUUUUCAAAACCCACCUGAGAUAUUGUAAUUCCCAAAUUUCUCUCUCUCAGCUACACGAGCAAGCAGCCGCUUUUUCACUUCAUCGAAGAAGGUAAGCGAUAUAUCUAUUUCGUCCGAUUGAUUUCUUGUUUCCUUUUCAGUGUUCCGGUAAAUUAUUGGCAUGCCUGACUUUUUGACCAUUACACGAUUCAUAAAUUUAUAUUAAUUUUGAUUUUGAGUUGACCGUUUACUUUUACAGGUUUGCUUACUUUGACUAGGUGACCAAUUUCUUGUAACUAAAUUUAUGACGUGGGCAGGAUAUGAAAUGAGAAUCUUAUUAGUGGAAGGAUUGCCAGUAACAGAACCCAAAGAAAAUGAAACCAUUUCAAGGCAGCAGUUGGCAGUUGGCAGUGAAUGGAGGCCCCUGACAAAACUUCAGUAAACUUCAGAUUUCAGUUUGUUUGCCCGAAAAUUGCAUGGUGACAAGGAUACUGGCAAGGAUAAUGAGAUAGUUUUUGUGUGAAUGAAAUUACGAUCAUCCUCAGCCUCGGGUAAUUUCUUCUCCUGCUUAGUUGUUAUUUGUUACCUAAUUAAGAAGCAUAAAGUAUCUUGAAUCAUUUUCGUUGUCCGGAAUAUAUGCAACAGUUUUUUACGAUCAUCCUGAAUGACUACUAGAGACAGUCAAGCUAAUGACUAUAAAUUAAGCGCUUCUUGGGAGGUAACCCAAGCUUUCUAAACUUUAUUAUUGUCAAUUUUUUUUCAUAUUUUUUUCUUUUCUUUUACUUAUUUUAUUUUGUUUUAUCUAGAUUUUGCACGAGUUCGAGGGUCGAUGAACAUCAACUUUCCACAUGUCUUUCAACGGCUUAGCUACAACUUUACAUCUUCAAGUGCAAAACCGGGGGAGUUUCUCUUUUCCUUUUCUUUUUCUUUACAUUGAGGACAAUGUUUAUUUUAAGUUUGGGGGUGGGAAUAUUUGCUUUUCAUUUUUUUCCCAAAAAAAAAAGAUUUUAAUGCCUAUGAUGAGUUUAUGAUUGAAAAUGAAUAUGGUUCUUAGAAAGGGAUGAAUAUUAUCUUAGUUUAUACUUGAUUCUUGUGUUAGUUUCGUCUUGAUUGAGAUUCUUUAAAGCGAUUCUUUUAGAAUUUUGACUUGAGAUUUGAGAUUGAUACAGCCUAAGUUGAGAAUUUUAGAUUGAGUAAAUGAUUGUUUGCCUCGAUUCUACAUUACUUAAGUUUACCCAGGCACCAUAGUCAGAAAUAGCUACCUACAACCCUUAAGAGUGAAGCUAUCCUCGAGUAAUUUGGGCCUAUGUAUCACCAGUAUGUAGAGGAUAAUCUACCAUGAGAAGAAGGUUACCUUAAGGGGUAGAGUGAAAGCUCCUGACUAUGGACAAAGAAAUGAAAAAAAAAAAGAAAAAAAAAAGAGCACGAGCUUCAAGAAAAAUCAAAAGAAAAUGCUAAUUUAUGCCUGAGAAAAAAAAAAAAAGAUCAAGAUGAUGAGGUUAGUUUGACCUACCCUGUUUAUUAUUCGAGACAAGGGCUGUUGAUGUUGAAGAUCUUGAGAAUGAGUUUUGAUUGAAUUGAUUCACACACAACACAUGAAUCCAAUAUGAGAUGAGGCUGACCAUUGAAUUAAAGUUAGAACUUUGCUAGUAUUUUUAAUUUUCUUUGAGCUAUAUACUUUAUGCAAUCUUUGAGGCAUUUUUUAUGAUGUUUGUGGGUAUCAUCGCUGGAAACCCUCACGAGACUAUAACUCGUCCACUAGGGCCGCCUAGGGGUUUAAAGGCUUGUUGCAUACGCUAAAUGCAAUCGCGAUCACCUGCGAAAGUGGUUUAGUUAGAAUUUUCUUUUCGUAGUUUUUAUUUUAGUUUUUGCUCGAGGACUAGCAAAAUGUUAAGUUUGGGGGUAUUUGAUGUGCUCAUAAUUUAUCUAUUAUUUUAAUGCUUCCAUAACUUAAUUUUAUGUUAAAUUAUAUUUUAUUAUAUUAAUUUUUAUCUUAAUUUUUAUAUUUUGUCAUUGUAGGAAUAUUGAGAAUAUUCAUGAGAAAAGAAGCUUAAAGAGGAAACAAGUUGGAGUAUAAUGGAAAUAAUGUGGAAGCAAGAGGGAAAGAAAUAAAAAGCCAAAUCAAAGAAAAUUUAAUUUAAGCAUCAUGCAUGCAGUCACGUGAUGAAUAAAGGAAGAGAAGAAAAGGUCAAUAGGCUUUUAAUUUCAAGCUAGUUACGUAGAGCCCAUUUGACAAUUUAAAUGGCAAGCUUACAAUAUAUUAAAGGAAGCAAAUAUUUUGGCAUUGUUUGAAAAGGCUAUUCACGUGGAUGGGCUUUGGUUUCAAUUUUGAUUGGCUUAGGAAUGAAAUAGGCGGCUGGGCUUUUGUUUUUAAUUCCUUUCAUAAGAGGAUUUGACAAGCCACAACAUUAUAAAAAGGGAAAAGCCAAGCGGAAGCCAAAAAAAAAAAAAAAAUAAUAGAGCAGCAGCCGCAAGUUUUGAGCAAAACCGAGAGCAGCAUGAAUAAUUUGGAGCAGAAGGAAGACACAUUAAUUCUUGAGUUUUUCUUUCUCUCUUCUCUAUUAUCUUAUUUGAAUGUUUCCCAUUAAAUUCAUGGAUUAUCUUUAUAUUCCCAUGAACUAAUUUAUUUUACUAGAGCUACGAUGUCCUAGUGUUUUAAUCUCUUGGUGAUUUCUAUUACUGCUUGCAUCUUUAUUUGAUUUUUAGUUAUUUUAAUUUUUAAUUUAAAUUCGCUUAUUUGAUUGUUCAAAUAAAUUAGGGUUAGGAUAAUUUCGGUAACUAAUAGGAUAUUCAAUCUCAGUGGGAUGAUACUCUACUCUUCACUAUAUUACUUGUGCCGACUAGUACACUUGCUAAUUUAUGCAAUAGUUGACAGUUGGGAGUGAAUGGAGGCCCUUGACGAAACUUCAGUAAACUUCAGAUUUCAGUUUGUUUGCUCGAAACUUGCAUGGUGACAAGGAUACUGGCAAGGAUAAUGAGAUAGUUUUUGUGUGAAUGAAAUUAUGAUUAUCCUCAGCCUCAGGUAAUUUCUUCUCCUGCUUAGUUGUUAUUUGUUACCUAAUUAAGAAGCAUAAAGUAUCUUGAAUCAUUUUCGUUGUCUGGAAUAUAUGCAACAAUUUUUAAAAUUUUGAUAUGAGUGCAAUGAUUGUAAUUUCUGUUUUCUGUCUGUCAUCGAAUGUAAGACAACUUUAUUAAGAUUCUUGAACCGAGUCAUUUUUGACAAUUGAAGGACAAGUGCUGAAGAGUGGGAAUGCAAAAAGUUUUGUUGUUUUUAGCCUUGUUUUCUUUGAACCAGCGCCUGAUUCACAAGACUCCAUUAAUUUGGCUUUUGAUCAGCUGAUUGAUAAAUGUUCAAUUUCUUUGGUGAUAAAUGUAAUUGUGAAGCAGGCAGCAGGGCAUGACUGUGGAAAAGAGAAGAUUUUAGUGAAAGCCGAGACUCAGAUAAUUCUACGCGUUUUGGUUGAUUUAUAUAAUUCGUGAAAUUUUAUUUCCAUCUGUUACAAGAUCAAACUGCAAUUAGCAAUUUAACAUUCCCUUAAAACCACUAGCUACAUUUCAUCUUUGCACAAUUACACUUAAAAUUCCACUAAAAGAAACUCUUGAGUUGCUCGCAAGCUAUAUAUCAUUAUUCAUUGAAUUCUUACUGUUGAUGCGAGAUUCUGGUUACACUCUUCCGGCUACCAGGAUAUCUGCUCGAUCAACCUCACCUCGACUAGGAUCUCUCCUCGUAUGCUUUCUUCUCCAAGUACUCAUGCGUUCACAGAAACAAGUCAGAGCACGCCGGUUGUUUUCCCGGCGUAAACCCUCCGACGCUCAAGUCAGAUAUGAAGGCUUUGGGAACGCUUGCCACAGAUCUUAUGGCUUUGUAAAUAGUUUUCUCUUCUUUUCAAUUUCCUUAAUCUCUCUUCUAAUCUCGAAAUUGCUAACCCUUUUACCUUCGCUGGCUACCUUUUUAUAGGCCACUUCUGAGCCCAGGCCUUUUUCCCUUUGCGCUCGUCAUCCUCCCACUUCUCGAAAGUGGAUGCUCCAUUUCCGUAGUCGUGGGUGGUUGCGUGGCCCUCGUGCCUAGAUUCUCGGACUGGAAAGCAUGCCACGCCAACUGUCGUUGACCGGGUCUUCUCGAAUCAACCCUUAGCAGGAAUACAGCAGGAAUGGCUUCAGGCUUCUUAUAGGAGAUUGGCCUCGCGGAUGACGUGCUCGUGGACGAGCAGGGUAUUCCUGCUCCUGCUCCUGCUCCCCCGGAUGCCAGGCUCUUACGGGACCCAUCGGCUCGCAGAACUCUACCAUCAGAUAUCUGCUCAUCAUGCCUGGUCUCGUCGACGUAUUUCUCCUAAACACCGGUCCCCCAGUUUCUGGUGUUGGGUAAUGUAGUGGACCAGCAGUAGAAACUCGACAGUACUUGCUCGCGUGGGGUUGGAAAAGGCUUCCAAGAGUCAUGUCGCAUUUAAUUGCGGACGAGGUGAUGUGGCAGAGAUCUAACCCUCCAUUUGAAUUUCAAACCAACGGUUACGAGACCCUUGGGAUUUGGUGCCGUUAAAUGCUGGCAACCCAAGAUUUCGUCCCCAUUAGGAAACCCAAAUCCUUUCGAACGACAAAUUCAUCAUUCACUCCGUCUCCAUCUCUGUCUCUCCGGCAAAGAAGUUCCAGCAUAAAGGCCUCCAUCUCUGUCUUUCACCGACUGAACCAUUACUUCAGGUAUUUCUUCUAUUUCCUUAGUCUCGGAUAGUUGUAGAUAAUUUCUCUUCUCUUUUGCUUGGGUAGUAGUUGGUGGUGGUGUUGUGGUUAGAGCUUAGGGAAUGUCGAAAGGCAAAGAGAAUGUCAUUGAGGUUGACGACGAUGAGUUGGACUUCCUGCCUAGUUUGCUCACCGAUCCUGCUUUUGACCCCGGGAUCCCCUUAGAGCUCAUUAGAUCUAGUGUUGGCACUAGCGCUAGGAGGAUGUCCCCCCAAACAACCUCCACGAGUGGAAGUAGUGGUGAGGAGAGACCCUCUGGCUCGGAAGACACCCUAAGUGAGGAUCAAUGAGGUGACUCUGGGGAGGGGUCUUCACCAGGAACACCGCGACCAGAAGGGUGUAGUACAGUAGGAGGUAGAGCCUUGUCGCGGGAUUAUGCCAUUGAUUACAUGACCUGUACGACCACAUUCAACGAGCUGGAUGACCUCCGGCUCAGGUAUAGCAUUCCUGGUGAAAUUCCUCUCAAGAUCCCAGGAAAGAAGGAUACACCUAGCCGGCCUCCUCGGGGAUACGUUACCCUAUUUUUGGAGAGUUUUAGGCAUGGGCUGAGGUGUCCCUUGCAACCCUACUUUGCCCGGAUUCUUAACGGGCUAAACCUAGCUCCUGGUCAGCUGAACCCCAACGGGUGGAGAGUGCUCUCUGGUCUGUUCAUACUGUGGGACAGAUGUUGUCAAAGCGAGCCCACGGUCGACGAGGUGAAGCACCUGUACCAACUGAAAAGCAGCCCCAAAGACGUCGGCUGGUAUUACUUCCAAUCAAGUACCAAGAUCAGAAAACCCAUAACCGAUCUUCUUACUGGUGAUGGUGGGAAUUGGAAGAGGAAGUUCUUCUUCGCAGGGGGUCCCUUGUUGUUUGCACUUCACUGGUUUGUCUCUAAUCAAAUGUUUGUUUGUGUUGCAGGUUCUUGGGGUGUCCACUUCCCGCUUAAACCUGACCAGCUCAAACGAGUCGAGGCUGUACUAGCCAAUUCCUGCUCGAACCGAGAGCUGUUAACUAUAUACAACUUGCUCGAGUCUCGCUUGAUGCUUCCUGGCCAUAGGAUGGAGGACGCUGUGAUUGGGGCUCUGACCAGGAAACGUUCUCGACCUCCAACCACGAAGAGGGACCAGAGUAAGGACGCCCCUACUGCAAAGCGGGCCAACGUCGUGCAGCAGGUCUCUCCCUUGAAGACUUUACCUCCUGCUCCUGUCAAAGUCGGGGAAACUAGUGGAGCAGCCACAGAUCCUGCUUCCUCUUCUUCUCCUGUCGGCACUCGGUCUCGCUUACCUGACAGCCGAUCAGAACAAUUGGUCCCCUAUCUCAAUGAGUUAUCUAACCUCGUGAGCAAGAAUGACAUGGAGGACUUCGAUGGCUGCACCUUGGGUGAGCUGGUGGGGGCCAUGCAGUAUAGCGCUUUUCACCUCAGCUGCAUGACCACCUAUUACAAGGCCAAGGUUGGGCGCUACGACCGAAAGAUGAAGGAGGACAUUCAAUCGGCGACGACUAGAGCUGGCGUUGCCGAGAAAAAGGCAGGGGAGCUGAAUGUUGAGAACCUCAAGCUGAUGGAGCAGGAAUCUCUUGCUCAAGCAAAAGCCAUUACCCUCGAGGAGGAGCUGACCAAGGUCAAGGGGGAUCUGCAAAGGCAGAAGGCCACGUAUGAGGCUCAGCUCGAAUCCCUCCGCGACUCCCACCGGGCUCACGUCGAGAACUUGGAGAGGGAGGCCAAGAACCAGUAUGACCAGGGACUUCGGCAUUCCUAUCGUUGCAUCAUGGCCGUCCUCGGGAAGCAGCACCCUGAUCUGAAGAUGGAUGAUCUUGCAGUUGGUGUUGCUCAACAUAUGGACGAGGAAGCGGCCAAGGAAGAUGCCGAAGGGGUAGAGCCGAUCGUGAUUGAGGGGGAAAACUCUCCUCCUCGCACAAUCCCUGCUGACGUUGGCGAGGCGAGCACCGCUACUGAUGUUGGCGAGGCGCGCACCCCCCCGGACGCAACUGGUGAUACCCCCCCCCCGCACCUGAGGAGGUCCAGCCAACCAAUGCUGCUCGGCUUACUGAUCCGCCAUCUUCUUGAUAUAUUUCUUGUAUUGUAAUGAACAACGUUGAUGGAGAUUAUCUCCUCUGUUAAUUAUUAACACAUAAAUAAAGAUGUUUUUGAUUAUUUUCGUGUUGUAAUCAUGAGUUAUUUUUCGUUUAAUAAUCUGCCCGUCAUCGUCUGGUUGAGCAGGUUCUGGCCUGGCAUAUGGUUUUACCACAUGCCCUAGAAAAUUCUUCAAUGAUUGAGAUUCUGCUCGCCUUCGCGUGGUCGAGCAGAUCCUGGCACGCUUGGCUUCUGUCUCGCCAUAAACAGGCUUUGAGACUCGACGAGCCUUUGCAUGCCUUAGAAAUAUUUUUUUUUUUCGAUGCUUGGGGGUUCUGCUCGCCUUCGCGUGGUCGAGCAGACCCUGGCACGCUUGGCUUCUGUCUCGCCAUAAACAGGCUUUGAGACUUGACGAGCCUUUGCAUGCCUUAGAGAUUUUUUCGAUGCUUGGGGAUUCUGCUCGCCGUCACGUGGUCGAGCAGAUCUUGGCACGCUUGGCUUCUGUCUCGUCAUAAACAGGCUUUGAGACUUGACGAGCCUUUGCAUGCCUUGGAGAUUUUUUCGAUGCUUGGGGAUUCUGCUCGCCGUCACGUGGUCGAGCAGAUCCUGGCACGCUUGGCUUCUGUCUCGCCAUAAACAGGCUUUGAGACUUGACGAGCCUUUGCAUGCCUUAGAGAUUUUUUCGAUGCUUGGGGAUUCUGCUCGCCGUCACGUGGUCGAGCAGAUCCUGGCACGCUUGGCUUCUGUCUCGCCAUAAACAGGCUUUGAGACUUGACGAGCCUUUGCAUGCCUUGGAGAUUUUUUCGAUGCUUGGGGAUUCUGCUCGCCGUCACGUGGUCGAGCAGAUCCUGGCACGCUUGGCUUCUGUCUCGCCAUAAACAGGCUUUGAGACUUGACGAGCCUUUGCAUGCCUUAGAGAUUUUUUCGAUGCUUGGGGAUUCUGCUCGCCGUCACGUGGUCGAGCAGAUCCUGGCACGCUUGGCUUCUGUCUCGCCAUAAACAGGUUUUGAGACUUGACGAGCCUUUGCAUGCCUUGGAGAUUUUUUCGAUGCUUGGGGAUUCUGCUCGCCGUCACGUGGUCGAGCAGAUCCUGGCACGCUUGGCUUCUGUCUCGCCAUAAACAGGCUUUGAGACUUGACGAGCCUUUGCAUGCCUUGGAGAUUUUUUCGAUGCUUGGGGAUUCUGCUCGCCGUCACGUGGUCGAGCAGAUCCUGGCACGCUUGGCUUCUGUCUCGCCAUAAACAGGCUUUGAGACUUGACGAGCCUUUGCAUGCCUUAGAAAUUUUUCACAGUUUCAAGUGAAUGAAAUUCCUCGACGUUCCAUUAAUUGUAGGAUUCAACUUACAUGAAAAUGUUUGGUCGUAAAAUAAAUAACAGCAAAUACGAACAGAAAGAUCUUGAAAAUAUUAACGACUCUUACUGGAAAUAUUUCCUGAGAUGUGCUGCGUUCCAUGGGCGCUUCACCUCGUGGCCAUCCAUGCGAACCAGCUUGUAAGCUCCUGGUCCCACUAGCUGCUUGACUCUAUAUGGCCCCUCCCAAUUUGGACCGAGCACUCUUUGAGUCGAGUCUUUGGUGUUCUGAUUCACUCUCCUUAACACCCAAUCUCCGACCUUGAACUGCCGUAUGUUCACCUUCUGGUUAUAAUACCGGGCAACCCUCUGCUGGUAAAUGACUGAUCGCUCGGCUGCUUGCUCCCUCUUUUCCGUUAGCAGAUCAAGAUUCAAACAUAUCUGCUCGUCGUUCUCCUGUUCAUUGAAAUGAUAUGUCCGGUGCGUGGUCGUUCCUAUCUCAGUUGGCACGACCGCUUCAUGUCCAAAAGCCAAGGCGAACGGUGUCUCCCCAGUUGCUGUUUUGUGGGUUGUUCUGUAUGCCCAUAGCACACCUGACAGCUCAUCAACCCAUGCACCCUUUUUUGCUCCCAGCCUGGUUUUCAAAAGCCUCUUGAUGGUCUUGUUGGCUGCUUCUACUUGUCCAUUCGAUUGGGGGUGAGCAGGCGAGCAAUACUUCAGCUCUAUUCCGAGGUUCUGGCAGAAAUCCCUGAAGCUGUGAUUAUCGAAUUGUCUGCCAUUAUCCGUUACCAGGGCAUAAGGGAUCCCGUAUCGACAGACCAGGUUUCUCCACACAAAGUCUGUUGUUUUCUUCUCUGUGAUCUUGCUAAGGGCUUCUACCUCUAUCCAUUUCGUGAAGUAGUCUAUAGCAACUAUUGCAUGUGUUGCUGCUCCUCGUCCCUUUGGCAGCGGGCCGAUCAGAUCAAUUCCCCAUUGAGCAAAUGGCCAAGGGGAGGCCAUAGAGGUGAGCUUUUCUGGUGGUUGGUUGGAGAAACUUGCAAAACUCUGGCAACUUACACAGCUCCUGGUCUUCUCCUGUGCAUCCUGGUGCAUUGUCGGCCAGAAAUAUCCCUGCCUUAGAACCUUGUGGGCCAGGGACCUCCCACCAGAAUGAUUCCCGCAAAUUCCUUCAUGUACUUCUCUCAGUACGUAAUCUGCGUCGUCCUCAUCCAAACAUCGGAGGAAAGGUAGUAUAUAUCCUCGCCGAUACAGUACCCCAUCAAUCAUCGUGUAUCUUGAGGCCUGGGCUCUAACCUUCCGAGCUCGCAGCUUAUCUGGUGGUAAUACCCCGUCUCUGAGGUAUGAAAUUAUCGGGUCCAUGCACGAGCAUUUUUGUUCUAUCCGCAACACCCCCAAAUUCUGCUCGAUACUUGGGCUGGACUUCACCUCCAGAGGGACCGACUUUGGCAUUUUUGGGUCGGCUACUGCUGCCAUCCUGGCCAAAGUGUCUGCUCGACUAUUCUGCUCCCUGGGGAUCUGUAUCACCUCCACUGCUUCAAAUUUCCCCAUCAUCUGCCUGACUAUCUUCAGGUACUGCUCCAUCUUCUUCUCUCUUGGUUGGAAUCUUUCGCUGACAUGAUUCGCAACCAGCUGGGAAUAAGUUCUGAUCUUCACUCUGUCUGCUUUCACGGCCUUAGCCAAUUCCAAACCUGCUAUCAAGGCUUCAUACUCUGCCUGGUUAUUUGUGGCUCCAAAUUCCAACUUCACAACAUAAGAGAUCUCCUCCCCCUCCGGGCCUUCCAAGACAAUCCCUGCUCCAGAACCCUGCUCCCCUGAUGACCCAUCCACAUACAUCUGCCAUACUUGAGCUUCGCCACUGUCUGUGACUACAUCUGGUCCAUCUAAACAUACUUCGGGCUCUGUGAAUUCAGCUACGAAAUCGGCCAUUGCCUGAGCCUUUAUCGCUGCUCGGGGUUUGUAGUCUAUGUCGAACUCGCUCAGCUCUAUAGCCCACUUGACGAGCCGACCAGAAGCAUCUGGCUUGUGCACAGUUUGACGCAAUGACUGGUUUGUUAUUACCGAGACCGGGAAUGCUUGGAAAUAUGGCCUCAACUUCCGAGCCGCAACCACAAGGGCAAGUGCCCAUUUCUCCAACGGUGGGUAUCUGGUCUCAGCGUCGAGCAGGGCCUUGCUUGUGUAGUAUAUCGGAUACUGAACUCCUUCUUCCUCUCUCACCAGAACAGAACUGGCGGCCCGAUCCGAUACCGCCAAAUACAGAUAUAACUUGUCCCCAUCCCUCGGUGUGGACAGUAGUGGAGCUUGCUGCAAGUAUUGCUUCAAGUUCUGGAAGGCUUCCUCGCAUUCUGGUGUCCAUUCUGUUUUCUUUCCCCUCCUUAUCACUUAAAAGAAUGGCUGACACUUGUCUGUAACCUUGGAUAUGAAUCUGCUCAACGCAGCCAACCUCCCCGUGAGGCUCUGCAUCUCCUUCAGGUUACGAGGAGACCUCAUCUGCACAAUUGCCUGGAUUUUCUCCGGAUUUGCUUCAAUCCCCCUAUGGCUCACCAUGAAUCCAAGGAAUUUCCCUGACUCGACCCCAAAAGCACACUUCUCCGGGUUGAGCUUCAUCUUAUACUUCCUCAAAAGCCCGAAUGUCUCCUCGAGGUGCCUGACAUGUUCCUUCGAGAUUUUGGAUUUGGUGAUCAUGUCGUCCACGUACACCUCCAUGGUUUUCCCAAUCAACGGCUUAAAGACUUUGUUCACCAGCCUCUGAUAGGUGGCCCCAGCAUUUUUUAGACCAAAUGGUAUUACCCUGUAACAGAACAAACCCUGGUUAGUGAUGAAAGCCGUGCUCUCCUCAUCCUGCUCGUACAUGGGGAUUUGGUUGUAUCCCGAGAACGCGUCCAUGAAACUAAGCAGACCGUGUCCAGCCGUUGAAUCUACUAGUUGAUCGAUCUUUGGUAAAGGGAAGCUGUCUUUUGGGCACGCCUUAUUAAGGUCUGUGAAAUCCACACACAUCCUCCACUUGCCAUUUGCCUUCUUUACCAACACCACAUUCGAUAUCCAUUCAGGGUAAUUGACUUCCCGAAUGAACCCUGCUCUCAAGAGCUUCUCCACCUCGACAUUUAUAGCCUCAUACCUCUCCUGAUUGAAGCACCUCCUCUUCUGCCUUACUGCCCGAGCACCUUUCUUUAUUGCCAGCUUAUGACAUGCUACCUCAGGGUCAAUCCCUGGCAUAUCUUCAUGUGUCCAAGCAAACACAUCUGCAUGAGCCUGUAAGCAUUUCACUAACUCCUGCUUUUGCUCUCCCUUAAGUCUCGACCCGAUUCUGAUUGUUUUUCCCGGAUUCUCUGGUCCCAGGCUUACUGUUUCCAGAUCCUCUACAGGUUCUUGUCUGCCAUUCUUGUUUUCCACUCGGGUAUCGAGGGAUGUUAUCUGCAUUGCUUCCCUUGCUGCUGAGGAGUAGCAGCUUCUUGCGAUCCUCUGAUCUCCUCGUACCACUCCAACUACCCCAUUCACCCGGUACUUCAGAGCCAGAUAAUGGUUGGACAGCAUCGCUUUGCUCAUCCUCAGAAAUGGCCGACCUAGGAUCAUCUGGUAAGGACCUUCCUCAUCCACUACCAUAAAGUCCAGUAUCAUUGUCCUUUCUGUCGGGGAGCUCCCAAUCGUGAUAGGCAGCUCGACCAUGCCCAGAGGGACCAGCCUUCCUCCUCCAAACCCCUUCAAGGAGGUAUUGGUGUAAUCCAACUUCAGGUCUGCUAUUCUCAUCUCCUUCAGGGUUGACUUAAACAACACAUCAACUGAACUCCCUGUGUCAACCAGUAUCCUGUCAAACUUCUUGCUAGCAACAGUGGCCUUGAUGACCAAAGCAUCCUCGUGGGGGUAUAUGAUCCCUUCUUCAUCCUCAUCUGUCCACAUGAUUGGCACUUGCCUGACUCUUGCACGUUUGGCUGCUGGGGUGUUGAAGAAUACCUUUUUGCUGGUCAUGGCGUAUCUAGCAUAAUUUUUCCUCGAUCUGUUAGAAUCUCCGGCCAAUGUUGGGCCCUCAGCUAUAACCCUUACUGCAGGCUGCUCGCGCCUCAAGUUCCUGUCACUCUGCUCCCCUUCACUUGUUGAGGCUACCAUUGGGAAGGUCCCAUCUACGAACUCGUCCAGAUACCGAUUUCUCACUAAAUCUUCAACCUGGGUCUUAAGAUCUCUGCAAUCUGCUGUGGUGUGGCCAUGAGUGCCAUGGAACUUACAAUAGCGUCCCCUAUCCCUCAUGCUGGGUAGCUUGGUUAUUGGAGCAGGGAGGUAUAGCAACCCCCGAUCCUUUAUGGCCUCGUACACCUCGUCCAGGGACAUCUUCAAGGAAGUGUACCGCCCAUAGUCCUAGUUCUGGUCGAUCAGGUGUACUGCUCUUUCUCUGUUUGCUCCGUUCUGGGUUGGGGGCGGUGGCAGUACUUCUGGUCUGCUCCCUCUGCUACCGUGGGAGUGUUGAUGAGCACCAUAUGAUGAAUCAUGCCUUCUCCAAGGCUCCCUAGCUGUGGAACGAGGAGGCUGCGCCCUGCUGCGCUGAUACUGUGGUGGGCUCUGAUGAGGCUGGUAAGCAAUUACCCGACCUCCUGCUCCAUUACCCGAGGCCUGGUGGUCCCUCCUCCUGAUCGGCCCAUUCCCCGGUAAUGCUUUCUUCUCUUUCCUCCCCAACCCUUCUAACUGGUCUAUCUUAAUUCGUGCUGCCUUCUCCUCUUCAAUCUCAAUGUCUCUCUUAGCCUGCUCGUAUGCGGCCGCAUACGUCUGGAUAGCUGGGCUUCUCAAAUUGUACCACAGCCUUCCUAUCUUCACCCUUUCUUUCAAUCCCCUUAACGCCUGAGGGUGGUUGAAGGCUCCCAAGUCGAGGACAGCCCGAUGAAACCUCUUGAUGAAUUCCCGAAGGGUUUCUUGCUCCCCCUGUUUCAUGCUUUUCAGCUCCAUCAUGUCAUCUUCUGGGGCCAUUGCCCCACUAAACUGCUCUGCGAAUUCCUGGCACAUCUGCUCGAAGGUUUUAAUGCUGCCCCGAGGAAGUUUCCUGUACCACUCGCGUGCACGUCCCUCCAGGGAUAGUGGAAACACCCUGCACCUUUGGGGCUGAGAUAAUCCUUGUACCCCCGUUAUGUCAUUGAAGCGUUCUAUGUGCACCAGCGGAUCAGUUCGUCCCGAAUAUCUAAGGUCCGGGAGACGGAAAUCCCUCGGAAUAAUUGCCCUCAUGAUCUCUGCUGCGAGCAGUGAUUCUCCGUCCAGCAUUAUCCUCCAACCAGGAGCUCUGCUCCUUCCUUGCAUAUCGUCAAUUAUCUGCGCUAGUCUGCGCACUUCCUCCUCCAGCUGUACUGCACGACCAGGGUCACGUGCUGCAACUUGAUCCCUCUCUUGCUCUACAUCAUGCAAGUGUUGCCUCAACUCUGUUUCUUCUGCAUUCGCCACCCCGUCGUCCUCGUAAAAAAUCUGUCUUGCCGGGGAUUGCUCUUCUUCUCUAUGAAAUUCUCCCCGUAGAGGUAUGUUACCUCUCUCACCACUAAAUCUCCCGGUGGUUUGACUUCUCCUCGUACCAUCGGGACCUGGUGUCACUCCACCACCUCUCACCAUUUCCUCCUGGGUUACCCUUCGUUCACUCCGCAACUCAUGCAGGAUGGUUGUCAGGGUCUCCAUCUGCUUUUCCAUCCGUUCCAUCCGGUCGAACAUGGCUUUUUCCCGUGCUUCGCUGGCUAUCUCCCUCAGCGUUACAGAAUCGUUAAGCCUCAUAUCACCCCCUUGUGCACUACUUCCUCCUGCCUCCAUUGCUUUUCACUUGCUUCACUCCUCUUCUUGCUAUCAACAGAAGCUUUUUGCUCAGCUCCCCACAGACGGCGCCAAAAUGUUGAUGCGAGAUUCUGGUUACACUCUUCCGGCUACCAGGACAUCUGCUCAAUCAACCUCACCUCGACCAGGAUCUCUCCUCGUAUGCUUUCUUCUCCAAGUACUCCUGCGUUCACAGAAACAAGUCAGAGCACGCCGGUUGUUUUCCCGGCGUAAACCCUCCGACGCUCAAGUCAGAUAUGAAGGCUUUGGGAACGCUUGCCACAGAUCUUAUGGCUUUGGAAAUAGUUUUCUCUUCUUUUCAAUUUCCUUAAUCUCUAUUCUAAUCUCGAAAUUGCUAACCCUUUUACCUUCGCUGGCUACCUUUUUAUAGGCCACUUCUGAGCCCAAGCCUUUUUCCCUUUGCGCUCGUCAUCCUCCCACUUCUCGAAAGUGGAUGCUCCAUUUCUGUAGUCGUGGGUGGUUGCGUGGCCCUCGUGCCUAGAUUCUCAGACUGGAAAGCAUGCCACGCCAACUGUCGUUGACCGGGUCUUCUCGAAUCAACCCUUAGCAGGAAUACAGCAGGAAUGGCUUCAGGCUUCUUACAGGAGAUUGGCCUCGCGGAUGACGUGCUCGUGGACGAGCAGGGUAUUCCUGCUCCUGCUCCUGCUCCCCCGGAUGCCAGGCUCUUACGGGACCCAUCGGCUCGCAGAACUCUACCAUCAGAUAUCUGCUCAUCAUGCCUGGUCUCGUCGACGUAUUUCUCCCAAACACUUACCACAUAUAUGUCACCUUUCAAUCAAUUGUUGAAAAAUUCAAAUUUGGAAUUCAAAUACAUGCAUUCAAAUUUGGAACACUUUGAACGGUCCGAUUCAAAACUUCAUAUUCCAAUUAUAUUCAUAAGACAAAUGGAACACUUUGAACGGCUUGUGUCCGAGCAUUGUAGUUUGAUUUAUUUUGAUGACAUUACCUUUUGACAUUGAGAUUCUUUCAGGAUUUAAACAUUCUUUUUAAAACCAAAUUAUUAAAAAAAAAUAACUAACAUAUAUUAUUUUAUUAGUGCUUUUUAAAUCAAAUAUACAUAGGAGAACUGUAAUUCUUAGCAAUCAAUUUUCCACUAAAUACACCUGCAACAAACUAUUAAUAACAAAGUGAUAGAAAAUACCUGAUUUUUCAUACUUUCUAAUUUCUUUUGGUCCUAAAAUAUGGGCAUUUGUGUAAUAAUAAGCCCAUGUGGAUCUCUAUGCCAUGAGUUUGAUAAAUAGCUAUCAAGGAUCACUUAUUAAGCUAAAAAUAUUUGGAGGACAAAAUUGUAAAACUAAAAGGGUGGAGCAAAUAUGGCUAUCUAGGAUUAAAUAGUAAGUCAACUAUAUUUAAAGGAUAAAAUAUUAAAACUUGAAUUGUGAUAUUAAAAAUAUCUCAACUAUUAUAUUAUUAAACCAUAUGUUCUAAUAGUUUUUUUUUUAAGCUUCAAAAUGUUCAGGAUUUUAGAUUGAAACAUUUUCAAUUGAAAUAAUUUGGUGCAGUCACAAGUUAAGAAAGAAAAAGUUGUCCCAUUGGUCAUUUCACAAAAAUGAAAGCCCUGUAUAACAUGGACGUGAAUGGAAACCCAAUUGUUUGUGUUUGAUUAAUUGAUUUCAAGCUUUAUCUAACCUUUGGACCUGGAUACUUUACUGCGGCCUCUAAGCGCUAUAAAUUUUUUUGGGGAUAAACGGCGCUUCAAUGAGGGCAUCUCCAAUGCUUAACACCAUUUUGGUGUAACACCAACAUUAAAAAUAUACAUUUUUCACACUAAAUUACUAUUUCAUCUCCAACCCAUUUACACCAAAUUUUACACCAAAAAUAAUAUUUUUUUUAUUCUUUUAAUUCUCAAGAAUUAAUUCAAUUAACACAAUAAAUACUACUAUUAACAUAGAUAAUUAAGUAAUAAGUAAUUUUAUCAAUUAACAAAAAAAAUAGAAAAUUAUUAAAUUUGCAUUUAAUUAACUAAAUUAGUACAUUAUGAAAAUUAAACAUUACAUUAAUAUAGAAAAAUACAAUAAAAAUAAUAAUAAUUUUAUAUCUAAUAUUUUGAUGAUAUUGGAGGAUCUAAUAAUGAUCUUCCAGAUUAUUAAAUAAUUGUUCUAAUUUAUACUAGUAGUAGUAGCUUUUUUAAUUUGUGUUAAUUUAAUUUUGUAAUAUGUAAUAUAGUAAUUAAUGUUAUUGGCAUUUUAUUUUUAUUAUUAAUUUUUGUGUUGAAUUUUUUUAUUUAAAAUAUUAGUAUAAUAUUAAAAAAUUAAAAAUGAAAUAAAUAAUAACAAAAAUAAUAAUAAUAACUUAAAAUAUUAUAUAAAAAAGGACAUAUAUGUAAAUAAGAAAAAGUAAUAAAGAUAUUUAGGACUCUUUUUUCCUAGCACCAAAUGAAUAGUGUUACACCAUAUUUGGUGCAAUACUAUUCAUAACACCAAUUUGCUGUUCGUUUUGAUGUUACAUUGGAGAAGCAUUUUACACAAAAAAUGGUGUAAAAGGUAGUUUGGUGUUAGUUUUGGUGUCACAUUGGAGAUGGCCUGGAAAAACACUUGAAAACUUUGGAUUUUUGGUUCGUCCAGUUACGGUGUUAUGCUAAUGGGGUUAAAAGUUCCGAUCCAAUGAGUUAGGAUGGAAUAUGAAUAUAUAAAUUCCAUAGCAUGUAAGGACUAGGAUUUGUUUGUUCAUAUCAAGAAAAAAAAGAUCCGAAAAUUUGAUGAUCAGAAGAUGAAGACACGUUUAUUACAGAGAAACAAACGACAACAUGAUACUAGUAGUAGUUAUUCUUUUCAUCCGAUAUAUUACAUGGUAAUAUCACUACUCGUUCCACUGGUUUCAUAUACACCAUCGAUCAGCAACAUGAUAAUUUUGUGUCAGUUCAUUUUGUUUGUAGGAAAGAGCAGUGUAUUUCUUAGAGCUUGAAAAUAAUAAAAAGAUUUUAAAAUAUAAAUUGCAUAUUUGUUUAUUACAGUUGUUUGGUCUAAUUUCUUAUGUAGAAUUGCUUGUCAUUCUUUGGACGUUAUUGAUUAUAUUUUUGUCAGACUUGGCGUAUAUAUUCACACAUACGUUUUAUUUUGUCAUUUUGUAGAACAUUUUUACACGCCAUAUUAUCACGACUCUUCUCUGUCUGAAUAAGAAGAAAGCAUAAUGCGACCCUCCAAUAGCUUAAUCUAUGGAAUUAUCGUGUUUUGUAAGUUGAGGUCCAAUGGCGUUUUGGCACAUCAUAUGAUAGCCCACUAUAUUGCGUUGCUUUACAAAAGAUUAAUAUUUUGAAAAUUAUUAGGUAAGUUUAGGCUCAGUGGCACUUUAACUCAUGAUAUGAUUGUCCAGGUUUUCGAGGACCACUAUAUUCUAUUGAUUUAAAAAAAAUUAAUAUUUUUUAAUAUUAAUAUUCUAAAUUAUAUUCAGUUCAAAUAUUAAAUAUUAAAUACAUUCUUAAUAUUAAUAUUCUUAGAUGAAAUUCUUUUGCUGACUUAAGAAUAAAAUAUUAAAUAAUUUUAUUUUUCUUUUAUUCUGUAACGUGGACCCAAUAAAAAAAGGAAAUGAAUUUAAUAAAACCUUCAUUCAAAAUCUUCAUUCCGCCACCAUGCAUGUUAAUUGUUUCCAAAUUCCAACCUCCGUACUCUCUUGAGGAGUUUCCCAUUCAUCAAUUAUUAUUUUUUAUAAUCCAUACCAUCCUGAUAUAAUUAAACACCAUUAAUAAUGUACCAACCUUUAAAUAGUAAUUAAUUUAUUUAUCUAAUUCACCAAAUGUUUUUUCCGGUACAUAUCUCCAUUGGUAUCAAGAAGAAGCAGAACCCAAAGAAAUGUUUCUUGCAUCUUCAUAUUUGUGCGAAUUCAUCCUUUCAUUGAGAAUAACCAUUUCCAGGCAGCAGUUGGCAAUCAAUUCAUGCGCACGUCGAUGCUAUUCAUAGAUACUAAAGACAAUGAUGAACCAAAGGUGAUAAAUCAUAAAUGCAUAAUUACCAAACCUCCAUCCUUCUCUCAUUAUGAUUUGAUUUUAAAUGAAUUAUUGCUUGGUAACAUUAUUUCCAACCAUUGCAAGACCUUUUUUUUGGAGAAAUUUCAAUUGAAAGUGAAACCUUUAGACAUUUACCUAAUGAAGUUAGUUAAUCGGGAGGGUCGGAAAAAAAAAGUUGACGCAAGUCAAUACACAAUAAUCAAUUAAAUCCGGAGUGACUAAAACAGAGCCACUACUUUUUAAAAAAUAUCUGCAUUAAUCACUUUCUCCAGCAACUAGUCAGCUACACACGAAUCAAUUUCUCUCCUCGUUUGUCAUCCAAAAUUAUUCACCAAUACCAUGGCUGAUGCAAUCGUUUCCACUAUCUUGGAGCAGCUGAUUUCCUUCGCUGCUGAAGAGAUAAAACAACAGGUGAUCGAAGUUUCACCCCUCAUAUUACAAAUACUUCCAAUGAUUUUAAUUGGCUUUGUUUUUAUCAAAAACAUUAUAUAUUUUUGCUUUUUUUUUAUUUAUCUGAUAAUUUUAUAUUUUGAAAUUUGAAUUGAAUUUAAUUAAAAGGUGAUGUAGUAACCACUCAUUUUUAUUUUAUUUCAUUUCUAUUCUCGAUAACUAACCAUAUUUUGGUAACUUAAUAUGACUCUCGUACAUAAGAAAUGAUCAAAACCCACAAUUUUAACUAUGUAUAAAUAUUCAACGUUGAGCUAAGGUUUUGCAGAACAUUCAAGUUUAUCAAAUAGUCAUUAAUUUAAUGUUUUAGUAAAACCUCAACUCAUCACUGAAUCCCAUAGCUAUUACUUAGACUCUAUGAAAAAUUUCAUAGUUUUCUUACAUUCUUUCAGUUUGGUAAGUGAUUUCAUAUAAUUUCUGUUCAAUAUAAAUUUUAAUUUGGUUUCUUAUAUACUCUCUUUGCUGAAUUUGUAUCUUUUAUGAUUCUUAGAUUUUGGGCUCUAACAUUUUAGGAUUUGAUAGUCACAUUUUAUGCCAUGCUUAGAUUGAUUUUCAUGAUUUUUACUACCCAUUAAGUGACUUAGAAUUUGACAAAAGUUUGAAAGGAAAUCUGCUUCAGGAUUCUGUUUUAAUUGACCUUUUAGUGGAAAUAGGAUGCUUAUAACUUAAUGUGGAUGGUUCGUAAAAUCAUGAAAUUUGGAUAGAAUUAACUAGAAAUAUGUACAAGACUCUCCAUGAAGUCUCAUAAUUUUUCAUUCGGUCUGGGGUGGUACAGGUGAAACUUGUGGUUGGUGUUGAAAAAGAAGUGAAAAGCCUUACCAGCCAUCUUCAAGCCAUUCAAGUUGUGCUCGAUGAUGCAGAGGAAAAGCAAGUGAAGGAAAAAGCUGUUAGUCUUUGGCUGGGUAGGCUCAAGUAUGCAUCCUACGACAUUGAAGAUGUGUUGGAUGAGUGGAUCACAACAAGACGCAAAUUGCAAAUUGAGGGUGGCAUUGGUGAAAAUGCUCUUGUUGUUCCUCAUAAGAAAAAGAAGGUAUGUCUCUGCUUUCCCGGCUCUUGUUUUGGAUUCAAACAAGAAGAAUUUGGUUUCAAACAAGUCUUUCUCCGUCAUGACAUUGCCGACAAGAUCAAAGAAAUCAAUGAAGAGCUACAUGAUAUUGCCGCUCAAAAAGACAUGUUUGAUCUUGUUAAGAGUGGCAAUAAAAGUAGUGAAAGACCAAGGCGUGUACAGAGUACCUUCUUGAUUGAUGAGGAAGAGAUUUGUGGCAGAGUUGGUGAGAGGAAUGAACUCUUAAGCAAGCUGUUGUGUGAGAGUAGCGAGCAACAAAAAGGCCUUCAUAUCAUCUCAAUCGUUGGUAUGGGAGGCAUAGGGAAAACAACUCUUGCACAACUAGCUUGUAAUCAUGACGAGGUGAAGAGAAAGUUCGACAAAAUUCUGUGGGUGUGUGUAUCAGAAACUUUUGAGGAGUUUAGGGUUGCCAAAGCGAUCGUUGAAGUUUUGGAUGGUCGUGAAUCUCAUUUAGCUGAAUUCCAUUCUCUUCUUCAACAUAUUUAUGAAUCCAUUGCAGGGAAGAGCUUUCUUCUUGUCUUAGAUGACGUGUGGGAUGGAAAUUACUUGAAAUGGGAACCAUUCUACCGUUGUCUAAAGAAUGGUCUCCAUGGAAGUAAAAUUUUAGUUACCACACGUAAAGGGUCAGUCGCAUCCAUGAUGGGAUCCAUAGAUAUUAUCUCCGUUAAGGAGUUAGCUGAAGAGGAAUGUUGGUUGUUGUUUAACAAGAUAGCAUUUUUUGAUCGGUCCAUCGAGGAACGUGAAAAAUUAGAACAAAUUGGGCAAAGAAUUGCAGGCAAGUGCAAAGGUUUACCUCUUGCAGCAAAGACAAUAGGGAGUCUCAUGCGUUCUAAACAAACUGAAGAAGAGUGGAAAAGAAUUUUAAAUAGUGAUUUAUGGAAAGUAGAAGAGAUUGAGAAAGAUGUUUUGUCCUCUUUAUUGUUGAGUUAUAAUGAUUUGCCAUCUAGAGUAAAAAGAUGUUUUUCAUAUUGUGCUGUCUUUCCAAAAGACUACAAUAUAGAAAAAGACAAACUAAUCACGUUAUGGAUGGCUCAAGGUUAUCUUAGUGCAGAAGAAGAUGAAGAGAUGGAGACAGUAGGUGAAGAGUAUUUUGGCAUCUUAGCUUCUCGCUCAUUUUUUCAAGAGUUUAAGAAAAGUUAUGAUAAUCGGAUUAUAGAGUGUAAGAUGCAUGAUAUGGUACAUGAUUUUGCCCGAUUUGUAAGUCAAAAUGAAUGUUUUUCGAUGGCAAUCAAUGGUAGUGAAGAACCAAACGCCACAAACUCUCUUGAUGAGAAGGUCCGUCAUUUAAUGUUAAUCUUUAGUAUAGAGGCUUCAUUACCUGUUUCCACUUGUAGAGUUAAAAGAAUUCGUAGCCUCUUAAUUAACGAUAGUAGAUCUGAUCAUUCAUUAUUAAAUGGUGAGAUCCUAGAAGAAUUAUUUAGGGAAUUGACAAGUUUAAGGGCAUUAGAUUUUUGCAAAUCGUAUAACGCAAGUUGGUCUUCGACUCUGGAGAUUCCGAGAAACAUAGAAAAGCUGGUACAUUUAAGAUACCUUAAUUUGUCUUAUCAGGGAAUAAAGAAACUACCGGAGACAUUAUGCGAGUUGUAUAAUCUAGAAAAGUUAGAUAUUAGUUAUUGUUAUAAGCUAGAAGAAUUACCUGAAGGGAUUGGGAAGUUAAUAAACAUGAAGCAUUUACGAAAUAGAGGUACUAGUUCUUUAAGGUACAUGCCAGUAGGGAUUGGGAGAUUAACGGGUCUUAGGACCUUGGGUGAGUUCCACGUGAGUGCAGGAGGAGGUGUUGAUGGUAGGAAAGCAUGUAGGCUUGAAUCUCUUAAAAACUUGGAACACCUUCAAGUAUGUGGUAUAUGUAGACUGGGUGAUGUAUCAGAUGUGGGCGAGGCUAAGCGAUUAGAACUUGACAAAAAGAAAUACCUCUUCAGUUUGACCCUCGAGUUUGAUAAGACGGAAAGAGGAGGAGAAAGGAGGAAGAACGAGGACGAUCAACUUCUUCUUGAAGCCUUGCGACCACCCCUGGAUUUAAAGGAAUUAGAGAUACGGUACUACCGAGGCAACACUGUUUUCCCCAGCUGGAUGGCGUCAUUAACCAACUUAAAGAGUUUACAUCUCCAUAGGUGCGAAAAUUGCGAGCAGCUGCCUCCUUUGGGAAAAUUGCCGUCCCUUGAAAAUCUCUACAUAUGGCGCAUGGAGAGUGUGAAGAGAGUGGGUGAUGAAUUUUUGGGGAUAGAAAGUGAUCAUCAUGACUCAUCGUCAUCUUCAUCAGUUACUAUUGCCUUCCCCAAAUUGAAAUCACUCACAAUUUAUUCGAUGCUGGAAUUGGAGGAGUGGGAUUAUGAGAUUACAAGAACAGGAAACACCGUCAUCAACAUCAUGCCACGUCUUUCUUCCUUGACAAUUGUUGAUUGCACCACAUUAAAGGCACUGCCCGACCACAUUCAUCAAACGACAACGUUGAAGGAAUUGAGCAUUUUUAUGUGUUGGCUUCUGAACAAACGUUACCGCAAGGGGAAAGGAGAAGACUGGCCUAAAAUAUCACACAUUCCCAACCUCCGUAUUGGGCUUUGACAAGUAAUUUCUUCUCUCACUCUGAUUUGCUUUGUUGUUGUUUUUAAUCUAAUUAAGAAGCGAAAAUAGCAUUUUGAAUCAAACUCUAUAUCAGAAAUCUGCAAUACUUACUUUCUAAUAUUCUGAUUUUCAUAUCCUAUGAAUAUACGAUUUUUAAUUUGUGAGAUGGGUAACGUUACUGUAAAAGAUUAUUAAUGCAAUAUGAGUAAUUCUUUUGCAGGACAAGUGACCUACAUUUAGUUUGGCUUUGGAGUUGAAUAAUAACCUUUCGUGGUCCCGACAACCAAAAAACAAAGCUUAAUUUGCCACAGAUUGAACGUAUUGCCAUUAUUGACAAUUUUCUGCACAAGCGUGACUGAACUUAGGUUGAUGUCAAAAGAGGUAAAUUAUUGGCAUGCCUGACUAUUUUGACCAUUACAUGAUUCAUAAGUUUACAUUAAUUUUGAUUUUGAGUUGAGUGAUUAGUUUUCUAGGUUUGCUUACUUUAACUGGGUGACCAAUUUCUUGUAACUAAAUGUAUGAUGUGAUGCAGGAAGCAGGGCAGGAUAUGAAAAGAGAAGCUUAUUAGAGGAAGGAUUGCCAGUAACAGAAUCCAAAGAAAAAGAAACCAUUUCGAGGCAGCUGUUGGCAGUUGGCAGUGAAUGGAGCCCCUUGAAAAAAUUCCCAGGCCGUUGCACUGCAAUUACGAUCAUCCUCGGCCUCAGGUAAUUUCUUCUCCUGCAUUUUUGUUAUUUGCUAUCAAGUGACUAUUUUAAGUAUGAUUGCAUUAAGCUUCUGCUGGGAAAUUUGAGGUUUUGAUGACUGCCCAUGCUAUUGUCAGAAGCUGCGGUUCUUUUCAUCAGCCUGAACCUGGACCUGCCGCUAUGGAUAACUCAGGUUUUUUUUUUUUUUUUAAUCAACUGCCAUCUUUUCCACUGUUUAGAAACUCUUAAGAUUAAACUUUAGUAAAGUUGUUUUAGUUAUCCAUGUAAUCAGGCUGAGGAUACUUAGCUGCCUAUUUAGGCAAAUGUCAGAAUUUAGUUUGUUCGCUGGGAACUGGUGUGGACUGGCAAAGGAUGAUGAGAUAGUUUUUUGAGUGAGUAAAUUUUGGGAGCUUGAGUGUAUUGGGAUUUGCAAUUACAAUCAUCGUCUGCCUCAGGUGAUUUCUUCUCCUGCUCUGUCAUUGUUUGUUCUCUAAUUCAAAAGCAUAAAAUAUUUCAAUCAAUUUUUAUGCCAGGAAUAUGCAAAAGUUUCUAAUAUUUUAUUUCCAUCUGUUACAAGAUCAAACUGAAGCAGAACUCAAACAAAAGUAUGCUACUUCUUGCGGAAAUCUUGCCUUUGUUCAGAUUAUGAAACCAUUUCCAUGCAGCAAAUUCAUCCAAAAGUUUGAAUAAGUUUCAUGGUUGGACACUGUUGGCUUCUUUUUCUUCUGGGGUGCAUUUAGGUGCUAUCAAGUGACAGCUGUAAGUAUGAUUGCACUAAGCUGCCGCUGGGAAAUUUGAGGUUUUGAUGGCUGCCCAUGUUAUUUUCAAGAAACUAUUGAUGUAAGAAGCUGUGGUUCUUUUCAUCAGCUUGAACCUGAAACUGUCGCUAUGGAUAACUCAGGUUUUUGUUAUCAACUAUAUCAUCUUUUUCACUAUUUUGAAACUCUUAAGAUUAAACUUUAGUAAAGUUGUUUCAGCUAUUCAAAUGAAAAACUCAUUGAUUUGAGACUUCCUUCAUUAUUGUUUCUAAUUACAAUGCUAACGAUCCAGAUAAAAUAAUAUUUAAUCGGCGAAGGUGUCCCUUGGAAGUACAUCCUUCUUUUUCUUUUAUUAUAUAAAUUCUUGCAAUGAGCUUAGUGAAGCUGUUGUGCUAAUCAUGCCACUGCAUAAUUUGGCCCCUAAUGUGGGUACUCUGUUACAUUGUUCUGCAAAUUCUCCAGAAGUUAAAAUCAAUAAAUUUUCUAUUAGCUCUAGUGCUUUGACCUAAAUGCCAUUCUAUAUUUUGAUUACAAUGUUUUAACCUUUAAAUUAACUACCCCUAGAUGUUGGAUUUUCUAGAACUUCAAAAUGAUUAAUGGAGAAAGAUCCCAUUAUCGUUAUUGCUAUAAGAAAUUGAUUUAUGCAUCCAAAGAUACAUUAUAUAUUUCUGUGUCUCUAUUUGUAGAUGACAUUUAAGCAUCCAUAAACCGUCAGACAGAGGAAGGGGGUUCAGUGCAAAGAUUCUGUUGACCUAGGGUUGACUGCAUAAUGUCACUUGUUCGCAAUCUAUUAUUUAUUUUAUAUUUUGAAGAAUUUAAUGGGUAAUCCUAAUUGUUUGUUUUGGCAGGUAUGUGUUGUUAUCUCCUUCUAUCUAACAGUCGUACCUAAAUAGCAUAGUUUCAUCUGUGUUACCAUGUGAUGUACAUAAUUUCACAUUUGCCUCAGAUUAAGCUUAAUUUCCCACAGAAUAGAGCUGUCGCGACUGGACUUAGGUUGAUGUCCAAAGAGGUAAAUUAUUGGCAUGCCUAGAUAAUUUGGCCAUUUCCUAAUUCAUAAGUCUACAUUAAUUUUGAUUUUGAGUUGACUGAUUUCUUUUCAAGGUCUGCUUCCUUAACGGAGUGACCAAUGUUUUUCAACUAAAUUUAUCAUAUGAUGCAGGAAGCAGGGCAGGAUAUGAAAUGAGAAGCUCAUUGGUGGAAGUAUUGCCAGUAACAGAACCCAAAGAAAAUGAAACUAUUUCAAGGCAGCAGUUGGCAGUUGCAAGUGAAUGGAGGCCCUGACAAAAUUCUCAAGCGGUUGCAAUGCAAUUACGAUCAUCCUCAGCCUCAGGUAAUUUCUUCUCCUGCUCUGUUUUUAUUUGUUAUCUAAUUAAAAAGCAUAAAGUAUCUUGAAUCACUUUCUGUAUCUGGAACAUAUGCAGCAGUUUCUAAAAUCUUCAUAUGAGUGUAAUGAUGGUAAUUUCUGUUUUUUGUCUGUCAUUGAAUGUUAGACAACUUUCAGUGAGACUCUUGAACCGAGACAUUUUUGACAAAUGAAGGACAAUUGCUGAAGAGUGGGAAUGGUGCUAGAUUGGGGAAUAAAGACAAAGGAGGUAAAUUAUUUGCAGUUUAUUCAGCAUUAUUUGCUUUGGACCAGCGCCUGAUUCACAAGUCUCCAUAAUUUGGCUUUUGACCAGUUGUUAAUAAAUUUUUUAUUCCAUUGGUGCUAAAUGUACACGUGAAGCAGGCAGAGCAGGACUGUGGAAAUGAGAAGGUUUUUAGUGAAAGCUUAAACUCAGGUAAUUCUAAAAAGUACAUGUUUUUGCUGAUUUAUCUAAAUCAGGAAAUUUUAUUUCCAUCUGUUACAAGAUAAAACAGAAACAGAACACAAAGAAAAAUAUUCUACUUCUUGUGGCAAUCUUGCCUUCAUUCAGACAAUGAAACCAUUUCCUUUCACCAAUUUCUUCCAAAAGUUUGAAUAAGUUUCAUGGUUGGACAUAGUUAGCUUCUUUUUCUUUUGGUGCAUUUAGGUCCUAUCAAGUGACAGCCAUAAGUAUGAUUGCAUUAUUGGGAAAUUUUAGGUUUUGAUGGCUCCCCACGUUAUUGCCAAGAAAGUCCUCAUGUCAAAAGCUGCGGUUCUUUUCAUCAGCCUGAACCCGAACCUGUCGUUAUGGAUAACUCAGGUUUUUGUCAUCAACUAUAUCAUCUUUUUUACUGUUUUGAAACUCUUAAGAUUAAACUUCAGUAAAGUUGUUUCAGUUAUCCAUGUAAUCAGGCCAAGGAUAUUUAGCAGCUUAUUUAGGCAACUGCCAGAAUUCAGUUUGUUUGCUCGAAACUUGUAUGGUGACAAGGAUACUGGCAAGGAUAGUGAGAUAGUUUUUUGUGUGAGUGAAAUUUGAAAGCUUGGGUGUUCUGGGAUUUGCAAUUGCAAUCAUCCUCUGAGUCAGGUGAUUUCUUCUCCUGCUCUGUCUUGAUUUUCUCUCUAAUUGAAAGCAUAAAGUAUUUCAAUCAAAUUCUGUACCAGGAGUACAUAAAAGUUACUAAUAUUUUAUUUCCAUCUGUUUGCAUUGAUAACUCGGCAUAUGUUCUAGUUAAAGAACAAACAGAAACAGAGUUCAGGAAAAAGUUUCUUCGGCCACCAUAUUUGAAAAUGAAACCAUUUCCAGGAAGCAGUUGGCAGCAAAUUCAUAUGGAGUGUAGACAAUGAUGAGCAAAAAGGUGAUUCGCAAUUUCUUUUUUUUUUAAGUGAAAUUAUUUGUUAGAUUGAAGCUGAUAUUGUAAGAAGGCCAUUGAGCUAACCUAUGUCGUCACUUGCCUAGAUUGCAGGGGGUCAAGACUCAAAAGAAGCACUGAAAUUUAAAAAGCAUGGAAUAGUUCUUUUGCCAUGUGUCAAUUAAUGCAAGUUUGAAUAAGUUUAUUGGCUGAACGAUGUUAGCUUCUUUUCCUUUCGUGCACUUUGGUAUGCUAUCAAGUGACAGCCGUAUGUAUGGCUUGCAUAUAGCUGCUGCUGGGAAAAUUGACGAUUUCAUGGCUGGCCGUGUUAUUGUCUUAAAUUAGUUGUGAUAAGCUGUUGCUUGGAGAUUCUGUUGCCAAGACUUUGCUCACAUCAGAAGCUGUGGAAUCUGAACCCUUCGUUAUGUAUCAUCUUUUUCAUUGUUUUAAAACUCUCAGGAUUAAACUUGAGCGAAUUUGUUCGGUUGUCUAUAUAAUCAUGUAUUGAGUAAACUCUCAGGAUACUGAGGGUGAGAGAAAUUAGAGGGUGUAUAGGGAUUUGGAUUUGUUAGGAAGUUAUCAUUUUUAUUUUUAUUUUUAUUUUUUUCCCAGAAAAUCUUCUGGUGGUGCUAUAUUUUCAAACGACAGUCCGAUUCAAAACUUGAUAUUCCAAUUAUAUUCAUAAGCUUCUACAGUUAUCUUCAAAAAGACAAAUGGAAGGCUUUGAACGGCUUGGGUCUGAGUAUUGUAGUUUGAUUUAUUUUGAUGAAAGUACCUUUUGACAUUGAGAUUCUUUCAUGAGUUAAACAUUCUUUUUAAAACCAACUUAUUAAAAAAAAAAAGUAACUAACAUAUAUUAUUUUGUUAGUGCUUUUUAAAUCAAAUAUAAAAAAGAGAACUGUAAUUCUUAGCAACCAAUUUUUCACUGAGUACACCUACAACAAACUAUUAAAAAAUAAAGUGAUAGAAAAUGCCUGAUUUUUCGUACUUUCUAAUUACUUUUGGUCCUAAAAUAUGGCAAUUUGUGUAAUAAUAAGCCCAUGUAUAUCUUUAUGCCAUUAGUUUGAUAAAUAGCUAUCAAGGAUAACUUAUUAAGCUAAAAAUAUUUGAAGGAUAAAUUGAUUUAUGCAUCCAAAGAUACAUUAUAUAUUUCUGUGUCUCUAUUUAUAGAUGACAUUUAAGCAUCCAUAAACCGUCAGACAGAGGAAGGGGGUUCAGUGCAAAGAUUCUGUUGACCUAGGGUUGACUGCAUAAUGUCACUUGUUCGCAAUCUAUUAUUUAUUUUAUAUUUUGAAGAAUUUAAUGGGUAAUCCUAAUUGUUUGUUUUGGCAGGUAUGUGUUGUUAUCUCCUUCUAUCUAACAGUCGUACCUAAAUAGCAUAGUUUCAUCUGUGUUACCAUGUGAUGUACAUAAUUUCACAUUUGCCUCAGAUUAAGCUUAAUUUCCCACAGAAUAGAGCUGUCGUGACUGGACUUAGGUUGAUGUCCAAAGAGGUAAAUUAUUGGCAUGCCUAGAUAAUUUGGCCAUUUCCUAAUUCAUAAGUCUACAUUAAUUUUGAUUUUGAGUUGACUGAUUUCUUUUCAAGGUCUGCUUCCUUAACGGAGUGACCAAUGUUUUUCAACUAAAUUUAUCAUAUGAUGCAGGAAGCAGGGCAGGAUAUGAAAUGAGAUCUCAUUGGUGGAAGUAUUGCCAGUAGCAGAACCCAAUGAAAAUGAAACUAUUUCAAGGCAGCAGUUGGCAGUUGCAAGUGAAUGGAGGCCCUUGACAAAAUUCUCAAGCGGUUGCAAUGAUGGUAAUUUCUUCUCCUGCUUUGUAUUUAUUUGUUAUCUAAUUAGGAAGCGUGAAGUAUCUUGAAUCAUUUUCUGUAUCUGGAAUAUAUGCAAGAGUUUCUAAAAUUUUGAUAUGAGUGUAAUGAUGGUAAUUUCUGUUUUCUGUCUGUCAUCAAAUGUUAGAAAACUUUCAUUGAGACCCUUGAACCGAGUCAUUUUUGACAAGUGAAGGACAAUUGCUGAAGAGUGGGAAUGGUGCUAGAUUGGGGAAUAAAGACAAAGGAGGUAAAUUAUUUGCAGUUUAUUCAGCAUUAUUUGCUUUGGACCACCGCCUGAUUCACAAGUCUCCAUAAUUUGGCUUUUGACCAGUUAAUAAAUUUUUAAUUCCAUUGGUGCUAAAUGUACACGUGAAGCAGGCAGAGCAGGACUGUGGAAAUGAGAAGGUUUUUAGUGAAAGCUUAAACUCAGGUAAUUCUAAAAAGUACAUGUUUUUGCUGAUUUAUCUAAAUCAGGAAAUUUUAUUUCCAUCUGUUACAAGAUAAAACAGAAACAGAACACAAAGAAAAAUAUUCUACUUCUUGUGGCAAUCUUGCCUUCAUUCAGACAAUGAAACCAUUUCCUUUCACCAAUUUCUUCCAAAAGUUUGAAUAAGUUUCAUGGUUGGACAUAGUUAGCUUCUUUUUCUUUUUGGUGCAUUUAGGUCCUAUCAAGUGACAGCCAUAAGUAUGAUUGCAUUAUUGGGAAAUUUUAGGUUUGGAUGGCUCCCCAUGUUAUUGCCAAGAAAGUCCUCAUGUCAGAAGCUGCGGUUCUUUUCAUCAGCCUGAACCCGAACCUGUCGUUAUGGAUAACUCAGGUUUUUGUCAUCAACUAUAUCAUCUUUUUUACUGUUUUGAAACUCUUAAGAUUAAACUUCAGUAAAGUUGUUUCAGUUAUCCAUGUAAUCAGGCUAAGGAUAUUUAGCAGCUUAUUUAGGCAACUGCCAGAAUUCAGUUUGUUUGCUCGAAACUUGUAUGGUGACAAGGAUACUGGCAAGGAUAGUGAGAUAGUUUUUUGUGUGAGUGAAAUUUGAAAGCUUGGGUGUUCUGGGAUUUGCAAUUGCAAUCAUCCUCUGAGUCAGGUGAUUUCUUCUCCUGCUCUGUCUUGAUUUUCUCUCUAAUUGAAAGCAUAAAGUAUUUCAAUCAAAUUCUGUACCAGGAAUACGUAAAAGUUACUAAUAUUUUAUUUCCAUCUGUUUGCAUUGAUAACUCGGCGGCAUAUGUUCUAGUUAAAGAACAAACAGAAACAGAGUUCAGGAAAAAGUUUCUUCGGCCACCAUAUUUGAAAAUGAAACCAUUUCCAGGAAGCAGUUGGCAGCAAAUUCAUAUGGAGUGUAGACAAUGAUGAGCGAAAAGGUGAUACGCAAUUUCUUUUUUUUUUUUUUUAAGUGAAAUUAUUUGUUAGAUUGAAGCUGAUAUUGUAAGAAGGCCAUUGAGCUAACCUAUGUCGCCACUUGCCUAGAUUGCAGGGGGUCAAGACUCAAAAGAAGCACUGAAAUUUAAAAAAGCAUGCAAUAGUUCUUUUGCCAUGUGUCAAUUAAUGCAAGUUUGAAUAAGUUUAUUGGCUGAACGAUGUUAGCUUCUUUUCCUUUCGUGCACUUUGGUAUGCUAUCAAGUGACAGCCGUAUGUAUGGCUUGCGUAUAGCUGCUGCUGGGAAAAUUGACGAUUUCAUGGCUGGCCGUGUUAUUGUCUUAAAUUAGUUGUGAUAAGCUGUUGCUUGGAGAUUCUGUUGCCAAGACUUUGCUCACAUCAGAAGCUGUGGAAUCUGAACCCUUCGUUAUGUAUCAUCUUUUUCAUUGUUUUAAAACUCUCAGGAUUAAACUUGAGCGAAUUUGUUCGGUUGUCUAUAUAAUCAUGUAUUGAGUAACCUCUCAGGAUACUGAGCAGGCAAAUGUUAUAACUCGGUUUGUUAGCCAAAAACUUGUUGAAGAUUCUUGACAAAGCUGCAUCAAGUGAAUUGUCGGAGCUCUGAGGGUGAGAGAAAUUAGAGGGUGUAUAGGGAUUUGGAUUUGUUAGGAAGUUAUCAUUUUUAUUUUUAUUUUUAUUUUUUUCACAGAAAAUCUUCUGGUGGUGCUAUAUUUUCAAACGACAGUCCGAUUCAAAACUUGAUAUUCCAAUUAUAUUCAUAAGCUUCUACAGUUAUCUUCAAAAAGACAAAUGGAAGGCUUUGAACGGCUUGGGUCUGAGUAUUGUAGUUUGAUUUAUUUUGAUGAAAGUACCUUUUGACAUUGAGAUUCUUUCAUGAGUUAAACAUUCUUUUUAAAACCAACUUAUUAAAAAAAAAAAGUAACUAACAUAUAUUAUUUUGUUAGUGCUUUUUAAAUCAAAUAUAAAAAAGAGAACUGUAAUUCUUAGCAACCAAUUUUUCACUGAGUACACCUACAACAAACUAUUAAAAAAUAAAGUGAUAGAAAAUGCCUGAUUUUUCGUACUUUCUAAUUACUUUUGGUCCUAAAAUAUGGCGAUUUGUGUAAUAAUAAGCCCAUGUAUAUCUUUAUGCCAUUAGUUUGAUAAAUAGCUAUCAAGGAUAACUUAUUAAGCUAAAAAUAUUUGAAGGAUAAAAUGGUAAAACUAAAAGGGUGGAGUAAUAUAGUUAUUUAAGAUUACAUAGUAAGUCAACUAUAUUCGAGGGAUAAAAUAUUAAAACUUGAAUAGUGAUAUUAAAAAUAUCUCAGCUAUUAUACUAUUAAACCAUAUGCCGUAAUAAUAUUUUUUUUCAAACUUUAAAAAAUUCAGGAUUUUAAAUUAAAACAUGGAUUUCUUUAAGAUGCUAUAUGUGUUUUUACAGUAUUGAUAGUGGGAUUAGUGUGGACCUUUAGAUGAAAGAGUUUUAAUCUGAAUCAUUCAUUUAAUAUAAUAGAUAAUUAAAUAAUUAAUUAAAAUAUAUCAGGUAACUUAUAGGUUGCAGGUAAAAAAUUAAUUUUUUAAUUUUAAAUUAAAAUUAAUUUGGAACAAAACCAUCCACACCCCUAAGGUUUACUUAAAUGAUCAUAUAAAUCCCUUUAGUUUCUACAUAGUUAUACAAACCCUCUUAAUUUCAUAAAUUAUUAUUAUACUUUUAAUUAAAACAACCUAAAUGAAUAUAAAUAUAGUAAUAGGAUAGAAAUAAUAAAUAAAUAUCAGAUGAAACAAAUAAAAUAUUACAAUAAAUACAAUUAAUUAAAUAACAUGUAGGAUGAAAAUUUUAUUCAUAUUAAGUUAUUAUUAGUCGAUCUCGAUGGAUUUACUCAAAUUAAUUAAUCCAAAAUUUAAUUUUAAGAUUGAUAUUAAUAUGGACAUAAUUAAAUAAGAUGUUGUAAUAUAUAUUACUUUGAAUGUUAAGUAUAAUUAUCUAAUAUUAUUAGUAUGUGAAAUAGAUUUUAAUAUUAUUAAAAGAAUAUGACAAUAUAUAAUUUUGACAUAAAUUUUUUAGUAUUCAUAAUAUUUUAUAAAUUUUAUCUUAUUUUAUAUAUUAUAUUUUUUAAUUUUAAUGUAUUAUAUAUGAUCAUUUAAGCAAAUUUUGGAGGUGCGGUGGUCUUUUCCCUAUUAAUUUUGUAGCAUAUUUAAAGUGUUAUAUCAUACAUCAUACAUCGCACUUUUGUUAAAGUAUUAUGUUAUUAAAAAUUAAACUUUGCAUUUAUAAUAUACUACCAUUUUAAUGUAAAUGUAACAAAAAAUAUGAAGAUAUUUUUAAGUAGUCAAUUGUAGCUUUCUAUUACAAAAUAGCAGUAUAGAAAUACAAUUGGUAAAAUGUAAUAAAAAUGGUAUGGAAAAAAGUUAGUAGAGGCAAUUAUUUUUGUAGUUGCUAAAACAUAUGAAGUGACACACACACACACACACACACACAUCAAGUACUUGUAUGUUCCCCUAACUUUUAUUAAUAGGAAGGAAAUUAAAUUCGUAAUUUUCCCGGUGAAUUAUGAAUUGAUAAAUGAAAUAUAAAUAUUAGUAAAAAUUAAUUUGUCGACUAAAGAAGUAAACCAUAUUUUAUGGGCAUUUAAUACAUUACUUUAAGGUCAAAUGAGAUAUAUCACAUGAUAUUUGAUACAGUAGUCCAAUUUUCAACAUUUGCAUAUAGUUUCUAAGCUAGUAAUCUAAUAAAAUAUACCAAAUGAGAAAUUCAAGGCUAUUAUUUAUAUUUCACAAUUGGACAAACACCAUACAUUAGAAUAAAAAAAUCUCACAGUACAGACGACAUCUGUUUGCAUGUUUUGAAAAUAGAUUUUGAAAAUAGUUUAAUUACAUGAUAAUUAAAUUAUAUUAUAAAACUAAGAAUAUGAUUUAAGUACUAUUUUAGCAAUUUUGAGUCUCACAUUGAGUAUUCAAGUUAAUUAAAUGUUGAAACUCUUUUCUAUUUGGCUUGAAAUCACUACUUAAUUAAAUUACAAAAAGUCGAUAAUGAAUGAUGUAGGACACAUAUGUAAAAUAAAUUUUAAAGUGUAAUUAAACAUUCCUAUCAAUAUUAGUUUCGUAUACAUGUUCAUAUAUUUUAUUGAAACCAUAUAUAAUUAAAUUUUGUGUAAUUAAGUAAAAUAUAUUAUUCAAGUGAAUUUAUGAGAAUAUUUAAAAUUAUAGGGGUGGUCACUGAAAUUUGCCAAACUUGAGCCAACCGUGCAUGAUCCAAACAAUUUAUUUUAAUAAUUCUCAAUAUGUUAGUCUGUUUGACUGUUGGCAAAAUAAAUUCCUAUCAGCAAUGCAACACAAUUCAAAAUCAUAUCUGCAUACAACGAACAAUAUCUCAUCAAAGAUCAAAUUAUACAUUUUUUACACCAAAGCAUAAAUAUCUAAAUUAUCCCUCUUCAACUCACCAAGCUCAUACCUAACAACAGCAAGAUUAAAUGUCAUUUGAUCCAUCUUUUUUAGUAAGCUUUAUCAAUUCUUCUCAUGGUUGCAAUUUUGAAAGCUCGCUUCGCUAUUUCCAUUUGCUUUUAUGCUUUGUUUGAGCUCCAUCUUUUCUCUCCAUCUACAUUUUACACUGUAAAAAAAAUUUUAAAAAAAUUACAAAGCUUCUUAUACUAGAAUAUGAGCAACAAUAUAAAUAAUAAACAAUAAAGUUAUGAUAGCACAACAUACUCAUUAAAGUGCUUCUUUUUUUUUUUCAACAAGAAAUUACUACUGAAUUAAAGAAUUGGCUUUGCAUUAAGGUUUGCCUUCAAUAACUCAACUCCCCACUUGGGUUUUGUCGUUUUCUUAAAAUCUCUGCUCAAUCAAUUUAAAGAUCCAUUUUUUUUUUCUUUCCAAAGAUCUAAAAGCAAUGUCUUUUAUUGGUACCCAACAAAAAUGCAAGGUCUGUGAGAAGACAGUUUGUCCAGUUGAGCAGUUAUCUGCUGAUGGGGUUGUUUAUCACAAGUCUUGCUUCAAGUGCUAUCACGGCAAAGGCACACUCAAGCUAAGCAAUUACUCAUCCCUGGAAGGUGUUCUUUACUGUAAGCCUCACUUUGAGCAGCUUUUGAAGGAGUCGAGUAACUUCAACCAGAAUUUCCAAUUACCUGCAAAGUCAGCUGAGAAGUUAACUCCUGAGCUGAGAAGGUCGCCUAGCAAAGUUGCCAGCAUGUUCUCUGGGCCCAAUAAAAAUGUGCUUCUUGCAGUAAAACAGUGUGUCCGUGGGAGAAGGUAGCAGUGGAAAACCAAGCCUCUCACAAGACAUGUUUCAAGUGCUCACAUGGUGGUUAUUCCAUUAGCCCGUCAAAUUACGCAGCCCUAGAAGGCAUCUUGUAUUGCAAACAUAAUUUCUCCCAAUUGUUCAAGGAAAAAGGCAGCUACAACCACCUUAUAUCAAAUCUGCUCCCAUGAAGCGUGCUGCAGUCUCUGUUCAAGAAGCUUGAACACGUUAUGUUAUCUUCCAUAAAUCUUAUUUGGCGUGGGUUUUCUCUGGCUUGAGGGUGUGCUUUCUAUUUUGAUCCCUCUUGUUGUUUUUGCGGGGAACUACCAAACCUUCGGUUCCCUCUGCUUCUUUGGAUCAUCUUUGUUUGGACAAAUUUCAUGUAAUUAGAGAUACCGAUUUAUGGGAGGCAUAAUCCCAUGGUCGUAAAUUGACCAUUUUCUGGCAAUGUUCUUUUUAAAAAGAGAUGAGCAGUUGUUUAAAAAAAAAAAAAAUUGCUUGCCUUCAUCAUUGUAUAUUACCAAACUGCUAUGUAUAGCUGCUAACUAUGAGCAUCCGAAAAUAUGGUGCAUCGUGAUUCAUGUAGUGCAAUAUGGCUACCAACGCAUCCUAAAUGGAGUAUUACUCAGUUAGUCAGCAAAAUAAGACAACAUAACUGAUAUUAAAAAAAAAAAAAAACUACAUUAAUAAGUGGGCAAGAUCAUGCCAGUUUAACUUUUCGCGCGUCGCUGCUGGAGAUGAUCAAAUCGGGGCAUAGAAAAGGAGAAUGGAAUCAGAGGCUAAGAUUAAUAAGUGGGCUUCUGCUUGCUUUGCCCUCUUUCUUAAACGAUUGGUAGACUGCUGCUUCCGCCGAUUAACCGGGUCUUCAACCACUGCUUUUACUGCCUGCCAUCUUGUUGUUUGUCGAAGGGAUGAAUUCGAGUCGAAAAGAGAAAGCGCGCUGAAAAAGAUAAAUCACUAGUGGUUAACUGCUGACUCAGCCAAGUGUUGGCUUCACUUGAUUCACCGAUUGAGGUUAUUUUGUCUUCUAUCUAAUGCAGCGAAGAAGCUUUGCUGCUUAACAUGCUGCAAUGCAACUUUAUCCUUUGAAGUUCACACUCCAGGGCUGCGCACUUUAUGUAAUCCUAUGAGUAAAAAGAAUUUGUUUUCAAAUGUGAAAAAAGAAAAUGUAAGGUAGUAACUAAAUAUAUUAUAGCAUCAAAGCAAGAUUUGAUAUGAAUUUAGUACAACAAAGAACAUCAAAUCUGUGAUUCCUUGUCUAAUGUCACCAUCGAGCAACAAAUUUAAAAGCCUACCUAUCAAAUACACGAGGCAAUAAACGGAGAAAAAGUUGAAUUACAAGAACAAGUUUACAAUUCUUGUCAAUGGUUAAUGAUUUGUGAACUGAGAUAUCAUUCAAGAAUCCAAUUUCAAUACAACAACCUAAAAGAUAAACAGAUGAUGAAUUUUAUGAGAUAAAAAAGGAGAUCGUGUUUUAUCGUAUCUCUAUUUUCUUUCUUUUUAAAUUUAUGAGAUAAAGCGGUUGGUCCAGUUACGGUGUUAUGCUAACGGGUUUAAAGGUUCCGAUCCAAUGAGUUAGGGUGGAAUAUGAAUAUAUAAAUUCCAUAGCAUGUAAGGACUAGGAUUUGUUUGUUCAUAUCAAGAAAAAAAAUCUGAAAAUUUGAUGAUCAGAAGAUAAAAACACUUAAACACGUUUAAGUAUCAAUAAAUACUUGCUGCUGUAGUUUGAAAAUAAAAUGAGUUUAUCUUGUUGCUGUUUGAUAAAAAUUUAUACUAUUUUUAUUAAUUUUGUCAAAAUCAAUAUUUAGACAUUAUAUUUACCAAGCAUUAUCAUUUUUUUAAUCUCAUAAUUAAUUAAAAUUUUCAUUUCAUUCAAUACAGUAAUUAAUUAGAAUUGUAGCAUAAGCCCAUUUUAAUUUUCUUUCUUUAGGCUAUAUACGCUACUUAUAAGAAAAACUUAUGGACCAUUGACCUAGGCUUAUACAAUAAGCCAAUUUAGAAAUUGUAGACUCACUCUAUGGAUUACUCAUGAGUUGUGGAUGAUGAGUUCUUCACUAACGAAGUGCAUUGGAUAUCAUAUAACGUAAAAACACACAUUGUCAUUAGUCUAUUGCAAGCAUUCCCAUUUGGCACCGAAUCUUUCUCAUUAGCCUAUUGCAAGCGAUCCCAGCCACUUGGAAUCAAAAUUUAGUGAAUUUACAUAUGUUGUCUCGAAGUGGUGUCUCUUAUGGUUGGGUGUUUUUAUAAAUUUCUUAAUUGCUUCGAAUACCAUGGCUGAUGCAACCGUUUCUACUAUCUUGGAGCAGCUGAUUUCCUUCGCUGCUGAAGAGAUAAAACAACAGGUGAUCGAAGUUGCACCCCUCAUAUUACAAAUGCUUCCAAUGAUUUUAAUUGGUUUUGUUUUUAUCAAAAACAUUAUAUAUUUUUUCUUUAUUUUAUUUAUCUGGUAAUUUUAGAUUUUGAAAUUUGAAUUGAAUUUAAUUAAAAGGUGAUGUAGUAACCACUUAUUUUUAUUUUUUUUUAUUUAUAUUCUCAAUAACUACUCAUAGUUUGGUAACUUACUAUAACUUCCAUAUCUAAGAAAUGAUCCAAACCCACAAUUUUAACUCAAGUUUGUCAAACAGUCAUUAAUUCAAUGUUUAGUAAAAAAAACACUUCUCAGCACAGAAUUCCAUGUCCAUUACUUAGACUCUAUGAAAAAUUUCAUAAUUUUCUUACAUUCUUUGAGUUUGGUAAGUGAUUUCAUAUAUUUUCUAUUCAAUAUAAAUUUUAAUUUGUUUUCUUAUAUACUCUCUUUGCUGAAUUUGUAUCUUUUAUGAUUCUUAGAUUUUGGGCUCUAACUUUUUAGGAUUUGAUAGUCACAUUUUAUGCCAUGCUUAGAUUGAUUUUCAUGAUUUUUACUACCCGUUAAGUGACUUAGAAUUUGACAAAAGUUUGAAAGGAAAUCUGCUUCAGGAUUCUGUUUUAAUUGACCCUUUAGUGGAAAUAAAAUGCUUAUAACUUAAUGUGGAUGCUAUGUAAAAUCAUGAAAUUUGGAUAGAAUUAACUAGAAAUAUGUACAAGACUCUCCAUGAAGUCUCAUAAUUUUUCAUUCGGUCUGGGGUGUUACAGGUGAAGCUUGUGGUUGGUGUCGAAAAAGAAGUGAAAAGCCUUACCAGCCACCUUCAAGCCAUUCAAGCUGUGCUCGAUGAUGCAGAGGAAAAGCAAGUGAAGGACAAAGCUGUUAGACAUUGGCUGGGUAGGCUCAAGUAUGCAUCCUACGACAUUGAAGAUGUGUUGGAUGAGUGGAUCACAGGAAGACGCAAAUUGCAAAUUGAGGGUGGCAUUGGUGAAAAUGCUCUUAUUGCUCCUCAUAAGAAAAAGAAGGUACGUUUCUGCUUUCGUGCCUCUUGUCUUGGAUUCAAAACAGAAGAAUUUGGCUUCAAACAAGUCUUUCUACGUCAUGACAUUGCCAACAAGAUCAAAGAAAUGAAUGAAGAGCUACAUGAUAUUGCUACUCAAAAAGACAUGUUUAAUCUUGUUAAGAGUGGCAAUAACAGUAGUGAAAGACCAAGGCGUGUACAGAGUACCUCCUUGAUUGAUGAGGAAGAGAUUUGUGGUAGAGUUGGUGAGAAGAAUGAACUCAUAAGCAAGCUGUUGUGUGAGAGUAGCGAGCAACAAAAAGGCCUCCAUAUCAUCUCAAUUGUUGGUAUGGGAGGCAUAGGGAAAACUACUCUUGCACAACUAGCUUGUAAUCAUGACGAGGUGAAGAGAAAGUUCGACAAAAUUCUGUGGGUGUGUGUAUCAGAAACUUUUGAGGAGUUUAGGGUUGCCAAAGCAAUCGUUGAAGCUUUGGAUGGUCGUGAAUCUCAUUUAGGUGAAUUCCAAUCUCUUCUUCAACAUAUUGAUGAAUCCAUUGCAGGGAAGACCUUUCUUCUUGUCUUAGAUGACGUGUGGGAUGGAAAUUACUUGAAAUGGGAACCAUUCUACCGUUGUCUAAAGAAUGGUCUCCAUGGAAGUAAAAUUAUAGUUACCACACGUAGUGGGUCCGUUGCAUCCAUGAUGGGAUCCAUAGAUAUUAUUCCCAUUAAGGAAUUAGCUGAAGAGGAAUGUUGGUUGUUGUUUAACAAGAUAGCAUUUUUUGGUAGGCCUAUUGAGGAACGUGAAAAAUUAGAACAAAUUGGGCAAAGAAUUGCAGGCAAGUGCAAAGGUUUACCUCUUGCAGCAAAGACAAUAGGGAGUCUCAUGCGUUCUAAACAAACUGAAGAAGAGUGGAAAAGAAUUUUAAAUAGUGAUUUAUGGAAAGUAGAAGAGAUUGAGAAAGAUGUUUUGUCCUCUUUAUUGUUGAGUUAUAAUGAUUUGCCAUCUAGAGUAAAAAGAUGUUUUUCAUAUUGUGCUGUCUUUCCAAAAGACUACAAUAUAAAAAAAGACGAACUAAUCACAUUAUGGAUGGCUCAAGGUUAUCUUAGUGCAGAAGCAGCAGAACAAGAUGAGGAGUUGGAGACUAUAGGUGAAGAGUAUUUUGGCAUCUUAGCUUCUCGCUCUUUCUUUCAAGAGUUUGAGAAAAGUUAUGAUAAUCGUAUUAUAGAGUGCAAGAUGCAUGAUAUGGUACAUGAUUUUGCCCGCUUUGUAAGUCAAAAUGAAUGUUUUUCGAUGGCAAUUAAUGGUAGUGAAGAACCAAACGCCACAAACGCUCUUGAUGAGAAGGUCCGUCAUUUAAUGUUAAUAUUUAGUAAAGCGGCUUCAUUACCUAUUUCCACUCUUAGAGUUAAAAGAAUGCGUACCCUCUUAAUUAACGAUCAUUCAUUAUUAAAUGCUGCGAUCCUAGAAGAAUUAUUUAGGGAAUUGACAAGUUUAAGGGCAUUAGAUUUUGGCGGAUCGUACCACUCAACGCGGUUGUUGACUCCGGAGGUUCCGAGAAACAUAGAAAAGCUGGUACUACCGGAGACAUUGUGUGAGUUAUAUAAUCUAGAAAAGUUAGAUAUUAGUGAUUGUUUUAAUCUUAAAGAAUUACCUGAAGGGAUUGGGAAGUUAAUAAACGUGAAGCAUUUACUAAAUAGAGGUACUAAUUCUUUAAGGUACAUGCCAGUAGGGAUUGGGAGAUUAACAGGUCUUAGGACCUUGGGUGAGUUCCACGUGAGUGCAGGAGGAGGUGUUGAUGGUAGGAAAGCAUGUAGGCUUGAAUCUCUUAAAAACUUGGAACACCUUCAAGUAUGUGGUAUAAGUAGACUGGGUGAUGUAUCAGAUGUGGGCGAGGCUAAGCGAUUAGAACUUGACAAAAAGAAAUACCUCUCCAGUUUGACCCUUUGGUUUGAUAAGGAGGAGGAAGAAGAAGGAGAAAGAAGGAAGAACGAGGACAAUCAACUUCUUCUUGAAGCCCUGCGACCACCUCUCAAUUUAAAGGAAUUAGAGAUUGAGUACUACCGAGGCAACACUGUUUUCCCCAGCUGGAUGACGUCAUUAACCAACUUGAAGAGUUUAGAUCUCUCUUCCUGCGAAAAUUGCGAGCAGCUGCCUCCUUUGGGAAAAUUGCAGUCCCUUGAAAAUCUCCACAUAUGGCGCAUGGAGAGUGUGAAGAGAGUGGGUGAUGAAUUUUUGGGGAUAGAAAGUGAUCAUCAUGGCUCAUCUUCAUCUUCAUCGGUUAUUAUUGCCUUCCCCAAAUUGAAAUCACUUUCAAUUGAGGUUCUGCGCGAAUUGGAGGAGUGGGAUUAUGGGAUUACAAGAACGGGAAACACCGUCAUCAACAUCAUGCCACGUCUUUCUUCAUUGACAAUUAAUUACUGCUCCAAAUUAAAGGCACUGCCCGACCACUUUCAUCAAACGACAACAUUGAAGGAAUUGCACAUUUGGAAGUGCAGGCUUCUGGAAGAACGUUAUUGCAAUGGGGAAGGAGAAGACUGGUCUAAGAUAUCACACAUUCCCAACCUCCAUAUUGGGCUUUGACAAGUAAUUUCUUCUCUUACUCUGAUUUGCUUUGUUGUUGUUUUUAAUCUAAUUAAGAAGCGUAAAUAGCAUUUUGAAUCAAACUCUAUAUCAGAAAUCUGCAAUACUUACUUUCUAAUAUUCUGAUUUUCAUAUCCUAUGAAUAUACGAUUUUUAAUUUGUGAGAUGGGUAACGUUACUGUAAAAGAUUAUUAAUGCAAUAUGAGUAAUUCUUUUGCAGGACAAGUGACCUACAUUUAGUUUGGCUUUGGAGUUGAAUAAUAACCUUUCGAGGUCCCGACAACCAAAAAACGAAGCUUAAUUUGCCACAGAUUGCACGUAUUGCCAUUAUUGACAAUUUUCUGCACAAGCGUGACUGAACUUAGGUUGAUGUCAAAAGAGGUAAAUUAUUGGCAUGCCUGACUAUUUUGACCAUUACAUGAUUCAUAAGUUUACAUUAAUUUUGAUUUUGAGUUGAGUGAUUAAUUUUCUAUGUUUGCUUACUUUAACUGGGUGACCAAUUUCUUGUAACUAAAUGUAUGAUGUGAUGCAGGAAGCAGGGCAGGAUAUGAAAAGAGAAGCUUAUUAGAGGAAGGAUUGCCAGUAACAGAAUCCAAAGAAAAAGAAACCAUUUCGAGGCAGCAGUUGGCAGUUGGCAGUGAAUGGAGCCCCUUGAAAAAGUUCCCAAGCCGUUGCACUGCAAUUACGAUCAUCCUCGGCCUCAGGUAAUUUCUUCUCCUGCAUUUUUGUUAUUUGCUAUCAAGUGACUAUUUUAAGUAUGAUUGCAUUAAGCUGCUACUGGGAAAUUUGAGGUUUUGAGGACUGCCCAUGCUAUUGUCAGAAGCUGCGGUUCUUUUCAUCAGCCUGAACCUGGACCUGCCGCUAUGGAUAACUCAGGUUUUUUUUUUUUUUAAUCAACUGCCAUCUUUUCCACUGUUUAGAAACUCUUAAGAUUAAACUUUAGUAAAGAUGUUUUAGUUAUCCAUGUAAUCAGGCUGAGGAUACUUAGCUGCCUAUUUAGGCAAAUGUCAGAAUUUAGUUUGUUCGCUGGGAACUGGUGUGGACUGGCAAAGGAUGAUGAGAUAGUUUUUUGAGUGAGUAAAUUUUGGGAGCUUGAGUGUAUUGGGAUUUGCAAUUACAAUCAUCCUCUGCCUCAGGUGAUUUCUUCUCCUGCUCUGUCAUUGUUUGUUCUCUAAUUCAAAAGCAUAAAAUAUUUCAAUCAAUUUUUAUACCAGGAAUAUGCAAAAGUUUCUAAUAUUUUAUUUCCAUCUGUUACAAGAUCAAACUGAAGCAGAACUCAAUCAAAAGUAUGCUGCUUCUUGCGGAAAUCUUGCCUUUGUUCAGAUUAUGAAACCAUUUCCAUGCAGCAAAUUCAUCCAAAAAUUUGAAUAAGUUUCACGGUUGGACACUGUUGGCUUCUUUUUCUUCCGGGGUGCAUUUAGGUGCUAUCAAGUGACAGCUGUAAGUAUGAUUGCACUAAGCUGCCGCUGGGAAAUUUGAGGUUUUGAUGGCUGCCCAUGUUAUUUUCAAUAAACUAUUGAUGUAAGAAGCUGUGGUUCUUUUCAUCAGCUUGAACCUGAAACUGUCGCUAUGGAUAACUCAGGUUUUUGUUAUCAACUAUAUCAUCUUUUUCACUAUUUUGAAACUCUUAAGAUUAAACUUUAGUAAAGUUGUUUCAGCUAUUCAAAUGAAAAACUCAUUGAUUUGAGACUUCCUUCAUUAUUGUUUCUAAUUACAAUGCUAACGAUCCAGAUAAAAUAAUAUUUAAUCAACGAAGGUGUUGAUUGAUUUGAGACUUCCUUCAUUAAUGUAGACUUCCUUCAUUAUUGUUUCUUUUUCUUUUAUUCUAUAAAAUCUUGCAAUGAGCUUAGUGAAGCUGUUGUGCUAAUCAUGCCACUGCAUAAUUUGGCCCCUAAUGUGAGUACUCUGUUACAUUGUUCUGCAAAUUCUCCAGAAGUUAAAAUCAAUAAAUUUUCUAUUAGCUCUAGUGCUUUGACCUAAAUGCUAUUCUAUAUUCUGAUUACAAUGUUUUAACCUUUAAAUUAACUACCCCUAGAUGUUGGAUUUUCUAGAACUUCAAAAUGAUUAAUGGAGAAAGAUCCCAUUAUCGUUAUUGCUAUAAGAAAUUGAUUUAUGCAUCCAAAGAUACAUUAUAUGUUUCUGUGUCUCUAUUUAUAGAUGACACCUAAGCAUCCCAUUAUCUAUUAUUUAUUUUAUAUUUUGAAGAAUUUAAUGGGUAAUCCUAAUUGUUUGUUUAGGCAGGUAUGUGUUGUUAUCUCCUUCUAUCUUACAGUCGUACCUAAAUAGCAUAGUUUCAUCUGUGUUACCAUGUGAUGUACAUAAUUUCACAUUUGCCUCAGAUUAAGCUUAAUUUCCCACAGAAUAGAGCUGCCGCGACUGGACUUAGGUUGAUGUCCAAAGAGGUAAAUUAUUGGCAUGCCUAGAUAAUUUGGCCAUUUCCUAAUUCAUAAGUCUACAUUAAUUUUGAUUUUGAGUUGACUGAUUUCUUUUCAAGGUCUGCUUCCUUAACAGAGUGACCAAUGUUUUUCAACUAAAUUUAUCAUAUGAUGCAGGAAGCAAGGCAGGAUAUGAAAUGAGAAGCUCAUUGGUGGAAGUAUUGCCAGUAAGAGAACCCAAAGAAAAUGAAUCUAUUUCAAGGCAGCAGUUGGCAGUUGCAAGUGAAUGGAGGCCCUUGACAAAAUUCUCAAGCGGUUGCAAUGCAAUUACGAUCAUCCUCAGCCUCAGGUAAUUUCUUCUCCUGCUCUGUUUUUAUUUGUUAUCUAAUUAAGAAGCAUAAAGUAUCUUGAAUCACUUUAUGUAUCUGGAAUAUAUGCAGCAGUUUCUAAAAUUUUGAUAUGAGUGUAAUGAUGGUAAUUUCUGUUUUUUGUCUGUCAUUGAAUGUUAGACAACUUUCAGUGAGACUCUUGAACCGAGACAUUUUGGACAAAUGAAGGACAAGUGCUGAAGAGUGGGAAUGGUGCUAGAUUGGGGAAUAAAGACAAAGGUGGUAAAUUAUUUGCAGUUUAUUCAGCAUUAUUUGCUUUCGACCAGCGCCUGAUUCACAAGUCUACAUAAUUUGGCUUUUGACCAGUUGUUAAUAAAUUUUUAAUUCCAUUGGUGCUAAAUGUACACGUGAAGCAGGCAGAGCAGGACUGUGGAAAUGAGAAGCUUUUUAGGGAAAGCUUAAACUCAGGUAAUUCUAAAAAUUAAUUCUGAUUGUUCCGAUUUAUCUAAAUCAGGAAAUUUUAUUUCCAUCUGUUACAAUAAAACAGAAACAGAACACAGAGAAAAAUAUUCUACUUCUUGUGGCAAUCUUGCCUUCAUUCAGACUAUGAAACCAUUUCCUUUCACCAAUUUCUUCCGAAAGUUUGAACACGUUUCAUGGUUGGACAUAGUUAGCUUCUUUUUCUUUUGGUGCAUUUAGGUGCUAUCAAGUGACAACCAUAAGUAUGAUUGCAUUAUUGGGAAAUUUUAGGUUUUGAUGGCUCCCCAUGUUAUUGCCAAGAAAUUUUAAGUCCUCAUGUCAGAAGCUGCGUUUCUUUUCAUCAGACUGAACCCGAACCUGUCACUAUGGAUAACUGAGGUUUUUGUCAUCAACUCUAUCAUGUUUUUCACUGUUUUGAAACUCUUAAGAUUAAACUUCAGUAAAGUUGUUUCAGUUACCCAUGUAAUCAGGCUAAGGAUAUUUAGCAGCUUAUUUAGGCAACUGCCAGAAUUCAGUUUGUUCGCUCGAAACUUGUAUGGUGACAAGGAUACUGGCAAGGAUAGUGAGAUAGUUUUUUGUGUGAGUGAAAUUUGAAAGCUUGGGUGUUCUGGGAUUUGCAAUUGCAAUCAUCCUCUGCUUUAGGUGAUUUCUUCUCCUGUUCUGUCUUUAUUUUCUCUCUAAUUGAAAGCAUAAAGUAUUUCAAUCAAAUUCUGUACCAGGAAUACGAAAAAUUUACUAAUAUUUUAUUUCCAUCUGUUUGCAUUGAUAACUUGGCCGCAUAUGUACUAGUUAAAGAACAAACAGAAGCAGAGUUCAGGAAAAAGUUUCUUCGGCCACCAUAUUUGAAAAUGAAACCAUUUCCAGGAAGCAGUUGGCAGCAAAUUCAUACAAAGUAUAGACAAUGAUGAGCAAAAAGGUGAUUUGCAAUUUCAUUUUUUUAAAAUGAAAUUAUUUGUUAAGUUGGAGCUGAUAUUGUUAGAAGGCCACUGAGCUAACCUAUGACACUGCUUGCCUAGAUUGCAGGAGGUCAAGACUCAAAAGAUGCACUGAAUUUUAAAAGGCAUGCAAUAAUUCUUAUGGCCAUUUGUCAAUGGUGGAAGGCUUUUAGCUUCUUUUCCUUUCGUGCAUUUUGGGGUUCUAUCAAGCGACAGCCGUAUGUAUGGAUGGAUAUAGCUGAAGGACAACAUUUGUCCAUGAGGUUCCUAAAAUCGCAACUUUUGUGCAGUAAAAUUAAAACGGACGGCGGAAGCUCUAGAAACCUCGGAUCGGCUUCAUUCAAAAACUAAAAUCAAGAGGAAAGAUUGAAGUUUAAUUACCUCACUUGCAGUUUCGAAAAAGACUUCUUGAGGUAGGAGAAAACGACUGAAAACAGCAAGCUACGAACACUGUCCAGAAAAUACAGCUCUGCACGAACAGCUUCUGUUUUGCCACGAUCUGAGAUCCUUAAGCACCCCAAUUGUGAUGCCUCUAAUUAUUCCACACUUAUAAAUGUUCUAGGAGUUCAGAGGAUUUUGAAUCACGAAAUUUCGUUUAGAAAUGAGAGAGAUAAUGAUGAAACAUGAAUGCUAGUUCAUGAUGAUUCCCCUUCCACCAAAUAAAGCACCAUUAUGUCUAAUAAUGGCACCAAACAUUAUCAUGUGCUAGACCCAUCCACUUAGCUAUAAUUUAUUGAAAGUGAUCUUAUCACUUAAAUAAAUUAUUUAAUCAAAUUAAUAAAUAGCUAAAUUAAUUAAUUUCGUAAUUAAUUAAUUAACCCCAUUUUGAUCAAAUCAAAUGGUUAAAUGUGGGCUCAUUUUGUGACAUGUUCUAAUGCUUUCUCUUAAUCCAUAUUAGAUCCAAUAAAAGCCCAAAAUUCUAAACCCAAAAAUGGUCUAGAAGUCCAUAAUCAUAUAUGAACCCGAACAUGUCCAAAAUGGUCAUUUUACGUGCUCGAUAUUACAUAAUGUUUAAUGGAGGAUUUACGAAAUUUAUUUUGUUCCUUAAACUAUUUAUGGAACAUCUAAAUUUCUAUCUUAAAUCAUAUUUAAGAUAUAUUUAUAUAUAUAUGUAUAUUCAUUCUCAAUGAAUUAUAAUAUAAAUAUUGAUUUUCCUAAAAAUAGGAAAUUUAACUUCUCAUUUUCUAGUAACUCCUUUUUCAUUUCUAUUUAAUGUGUGACCUUUUAGGUUCUUAGUUAUAAGGUAGUAGAACUAUUUUAAUGAUAACUCUUUAUUCAUUAAAUGAUGCUAAACUCUUUAGUCAUCAAUUAGAACUCUUCUAAUGACCUUAAGAUGCAUUGAUAAUACGCUUUACCAAUAUUGAUCUUAAGGUUUCUACAAGUCAUGAGUGACACCUAGCAGUAUAUCACAACUAUCCAAAUAACAAGAAUUGUUGGAUCUAUAGAACCUAUUCCAUUGUACCUCUAUGUCUUGGUCUCUUCAUCAUCCAUGUCCAAAGAAAAGCACGGCUUAUGGUUUAUUAUGUUAAGCACUUAUGCUUUAUCUCAAAACAAAUCUAAAUGAACUUGACAUGAAAAUAUAAUUUGAACUCCUUCAAAUAUAUUUCACCUUGGCCAAGGAUUUCUCAUGCCAAUUCAUAUUAUCUCAUAGGGACAUCCUUUUUGUAUAUUACAAAGUGAUGAAUUCCAUAUUGGCCAUGCACUAGUCUUCAUACAUAUCCAACCAUGACAGUUAUUGCUAGAUCUCUUCCGUGAUUAGGAAUCAAUCAUUAUGCAUUCACAUAUCAGAGAUGUCUAUGUAUAAGACAUCUGUUAUGCCUCAGGUCUAAAAACCAUUACUAAACAUAGUGUUUAAUACAAUGUAUAAUAAGCCAUUAACACUCAAGACCAUAUAGCUUACUAUAUUUGGUCAAGUUUAGUAAACUUGUUCUCUCAACAAGUAUCUAUGUGUUUGACUUGACAUCUCAUGUCAAUGAUAUGAAACUCACCAUCUAUUUUAGUAUCACAUACCAUAAGGAGUCAUAACACAUACUAGUGUUUAUAGAAAUUUAUAAUGUCCAAUCAUAAAUCCACCACUAGGAACUAUUUUAGAAGUAUAGUACAAAGGAUACACGUUUCAUAUUCUCGACAAACUCGAGAAUGUGUUCCUUAACUAUUUUACAUCUUGGACUAUAUUCAUUAAAUUAAUUAAUGAAUAUUGAUAACUUUGCCAUUUUAUAAAUAUCAAAAUGCUAUUCAAAUACGAUAAUUCCCUAAACAAACAAACACCAUUUGAUUGGCCUUUAGGGCAUAUUACUAACAAUCUCCCACUUGCACUAAAGCCAAUCGCUAUGGUAUCUCAUACCCAUCUUCUCAAGAUGACGAUCUAACUCUUGUUGAGUAAGUGCUUUAGUCAGAGGAUCCGCAGUGUUAUCAGCGGAGGCUACUUUCUGCAUAGUGAUAUCACUCCUUCCAAUGAUUUCUUUGAUAAUGUGAUAUCUUUUUUCUAUGUGUUUGGACUUCUAGUGAGACCUUGGUUCCUUAGCUUGUGCUAUAGCUCCAUUGUUGUCACAAUAUAAAGAGAUUGACAACGCAAUGGUUGGAACCACUUCAAGUUGUUGAAUAAACUUCCGUGUCCAAACAGCUUCUUUUGCUGCAUCUGAUGCAACUAUAUAUUUCGCUUCAGUGGUAGAAUCUGCAGUAAUUGUUUGCUUAGAACUUUUCCAGCUUACUGCUCCACCAUUGAUAGUGAAUAAAAUCCUGAUGUAGAUUUUCUAUCAUCUACAUCUGACUGGAAAUCUGAAUAUGUGAAGCCUUCAAUUUUUAGCUUACUUUCUCCAUAUGUUAAGAACAAAUCUUUAGUUCUUCUGAAGUACUUAAAGAUAUUCUUAACUGCGGUCCAAUAUUCCUCACCCGGAUUACUCUGGUAUCUGCUAGUGACACUCACUGCAUUGAGCUAUAUCCGGUCUAGUACAUAGCAUAGCAUACAUAAGACUUCCAAUUGCAGAAGCAUAUGGAAUCUUAUUCAUUCGCUCUAUCUCAUCAUAAGUUUUAGGACUCAUGCUUUUAGAGAGAUGAAUUCCAUGUCUGAAGGGUAUAAAACCCCUUUUGGAAUCCCACAUAUUAAAUUUCUUUAAUAUCUUUUCUAUGUACUUAGCUUGACAUAGACCUAUUAAUUUUCUGGAUCUAUCUCUAUAAAUCCUGAUUCCCAAGAUAUACAUUGCAUCUCCUAGGUCUUUCAUGGAGAAGUUUUGAGAAAGCCAAAUUUUGACAGAAGACAUUUGUCCAAUGUCAUUUCCUAUAAGUAAUAUGUCAUCUACAUAUAGCACAAGGAAAGAUAUUGCACUCCCACUAACCCUUUUGUAAACACAUGGUUCAUCCUCAUUCUUGAUGAAACCAAAUGAUUUGAUUGCAUCAUCAAAUCGGAUGUUCCAGCUCCUGGAGGCUUGUUUUAGCCCAUAAAUGGACUUUCUUAGCUUGCAUACUUUAUGAGGAUUUGUCUUAGAUUCAAAACCACAAGGUUGUAUCAUAUAGAUAUCUUCCUCAAUGUACCCAUUAAGAAAUGCAGUUUUGACAUCCAUUUGCCAAAUCUCAUAGUCAUAAUAUGCUGCUAUAGCCAAUAAGAUUCUGAUGGACUUUAGCAUGGCUACUGUUGAAAAGGUUUCCUCAUAGUCGAUACUUUGUAUUUGACGAUAACCUUUAGCUACCAACCUUGCUUUAUAGGUCUCUACCUUUCCAUCUAAGCCGAUCUUCCUCUUGAAGAUCCACUUGCAUCCAAUAGGUAUAAUACCUUCGGGUGGAUCCACUAGAGUCCAGACUUGAUUGGUUCUCAUAGAGUCCAUCUCUAAAUCCAUGGCUUCAAGCCAUUUCUUAGAGUCAAUAUCUGAUAUUGCCUCUUCGUAACUAGUAGGAUCAUCUCUAUGAUUUGUAUCACCCAAUAAAAAAUAUAUCGUUCAUCUGAUGAAGAAAACCAUAUCUUUCUGGUGGGUGAAUUAUUCUAUUAGAUCUACGGAGCUGCUGUGUUCCUUGUGUUUGUACUUGAACAAGUUCUUCAUUGGAUUUAUCCUCAUUAGAAUUCUCAAUAAAUUCUAUUUUUCUUCCUUGUCCACCUUCUUGAAUAAACUCUUUUUCAAGAAAUAUGACAUUUCUACUGACCAAUACCCUUUGAUCAGAUUGGAUGUAAAAGUAAUAACCCAAAGUUUCCUUUGGGUAUCCAAUGAACCUCCCACUAUCCGCUUUAGCUUCAAGUUUCUCACUCUUGAGUCUCUUGAUAAAAGCAGGACAUCCCCAAAUCCUAAGAUGAUUUAGGCUUGGUUGUUUACCAUACCACAUCUCAUACGGUAUUUUAGGUACAGACUUGGAAGGUACUCUGUUUAGUACAUAUGUUGCAGUAAGGAGAGCAUAUCCCAAAGAGAAAUUGGUAAGUCUAUAUAACUCACCAUUUAUCGCACCAUGUCUAACAGUGUGCGAUUUCUCCUCUCAGAUACUCCAUUAAGCUCUGGUGUACCUGGAGGUGUCCAUUGUGAAACAAUACCAUUUUCUUUAAGGUAAGACUGGAAUUCUCCACUGAGAUAUUCACCACCUCGAUCUGAUCGUAGGGUUUUAAUAACUUUUCCAGUCUGUUUCUCUACUUCAUUUCGGUAUUCUUUGAACUUUUCAAAGGCUUCAGAUUUAUAUUUCAUUAAGUAUACUGAACUAUACCUUGAGUGAUCGUCGAUAAAAGUUAUGAAGUAGUAAUAUCCACCCCUUGCCAUUUCAUUAAAUGGUCCACAUACAUCAGUAUGUAUAAGUUCAAGUAAAUCAGUGGCCCUUGUACUUCGUCCAACGAAGGGUGCCCUGGUCAUUUUUCCUUGAAGGCAUGAUUCACAAGUUGGAUAAGGUUCUAAACCAAAUGGACCUAUUAGUCCAUCUUUAGCCAAUUUUGUGACUCUAUCUUCUCCAAUAUGACCUAGCCUUAAAUGCCACUUAUAUUUGGGGCUUAUUUCUUCUCUUUCACGUUUAUGUGUUAUGGUAUUUACAUUCACAACAUGCUCAUUAUUUUCUUUCAUGUUUAGUACAUAUAGAUCAUUAUCUAAAGUACCAUGUGCAACAUAUUUAUUCUCAUGAUAAAUAUUACAAAUUUUAUUUCUGAAAUAAAAUUCAUAAUUGUCUUUGCAUAAACAUGAAAUUGAAACUAUGUUCCUUACAGCAGAAGGAACAAAUAAACAAUCAUUCAAACUUAUUACAUGCCCAGAUGUCAUUUUUAAGAAAAAUGUCCCUAUAGCUGAGGCAGCAACUAUUGCUCCAUUUCCCACUCUAAGAGACACUUCUCCUUGUUUAAGUCUUCUACUUCUUUUCAGAUCCUGCAUUGACAUACAAAUAUGUGCGGUCGCAGCAGAAUCUAAAAUCCAAGAAGUAGAAUGAAUGAUUGAAAUAUUAGUUUCAAUAAUGAGCAUACCUUCAGAAGGAUUCUCUUUAGGCUUGACUUUCAAGCUGUUGAGGUAAGAUUUGCAAUUCCUCUUCCAAUGCCCAUUCUUACCGCAAUGGAAACAUUUUCCCUUGUCAUUGGGCUUAUUAGCUUUCCCCUUCUUAAUCCCACCUUUAGCCUUGGGUUGAAACUUUUUCUUUUUACCCUUUUUAGUUGAGGGCCCUUCUAUAGCCAUAACAUCUUUUGGCUUCUUUAUGCAAGUUUCAGCAGUAUUAAGCAUCUUUAGCAGUUCAGCAAGACUGCACUCCAUUUUAUUCAUGUUAAAAUUCAUGAUAAAUUGAGAGCAUGAGUCUGGCAAGGACUGUAGGAUAAGGUCGAUAGCUAAUUCCCCAUCCAUUGAGAAAUUAAGAGCUUCCAGCUGCUCUAUGUAGUCAAUCAUUUUGAGUACAUGAUCAUUGACCGAUCCUUCAGUCAUUCUCAUUCUGAACAGUUUCUUAGAUAUCUCAUACCUAACUGUUCUGCUUUGUUCACCAUACAACUCUUGUAAAUGAAGUAUCAUGGAACUUGCAUCAGGCAUAUUUUCAUGUUGCCUUUGUAGUUCAUUGGACAUCGAUGCCAAUAUAUAGCUUUUAGCACUUAGGUCAUCAUCUUGCCACUUCUGAUAAGUGACACGAUCUGCCUCACUUGCUCCCUCAGGAAUUUCAUUUAGAUUAGAUGUAUCAAGAACAUAGCUAAUUCUCUCAUAAUUAAGAACAAUUCUUAAAUUUCUGAACAAAUCAACGUAAUUAGGUCCCGUCAAACGGUAGUUUUCCAGAAUUCGUGCUAACAGAUUAUUCAUUAUUAAGUAUUUCUGCAGAAAGUAUAAAUUAAAUUAUUAGCAUUUUAUUUUAUUAUAAUCUAUUUGAUUUUGGUCUUUAAACCAAAUAGUGCCUCCUGUUGAGUGUUAGAAAAUGCAUAUUUAUAAAGGAGAAAACCGUCAUUUUACAUUUCAAGUCUUAUUAACAACCCUUACUUUUAUGUAUUUAACAUUCUUGUGAUUUAAUUACAUGUGUUUAUUUUAAUUAAGUAAUUUAUGUAUUUUAGGGGCAUUAUAGUCAUUUCACAAUAAAAGAGAGAUCAGACGGCAAAACGGACAUCACUUUUGAACUCAGGACGGUCGAAAACCUUAGGAGGAGCAUAAAAGGAAAAAUGACACUAUUCACAUGUACGGUACUAUUCACGGGUACGGUAUUGUCUACGUUACUGUUCACGACAAUGUUCACAUAGACGGAUCAAUGACGUGGCAUUGAUUGAUGACGUGGCAUUGACUGAUGAGGUGUCACGAUCCUGUUGGACUAAAAUUCUUAUAUACUGUUGAUGGUGACGUGGCAGCAUAUUAGUGGACGAAAAAUCUCGCGUACGGUGCAUGCAUCACACAGGAUUAUUUUCAACCAAACCGCGUUACUGUUCAUCCGGGUCAAACCGUGUUACUGUUCAUCCGCGUGGUCAAACCGUGGACUCUUGACUGAUGACGUGGCGCAAUCUUGAGCGUCCAAACUGUUUUUAAUCCGAUGGCCAUGAUUUACUCCAUGUAUCUAUAAAAAGGGGGCCUCUCCCCCCUAAUUUGAUAUCUCUGAAUCCAUUUUUGGGAUCCAUUUUCUGUAAUUCCUUCUCCAUCUUGUAUUUUCUUCAUAUUUUAAUAAAUUUCCAUUUUGCCCCUAGUUCAAUUAUGAGUGGCUAAUUUUCUUUCAAGCUUGGGUUGAAGGUGAAGUCUCAACAUGUGUCAUGGGCUUUAUUUGGUAAAUUUAUUUUCUCUUCCCCUCUAGUUUUUGUGGAUGUUUUGACUUCUCGUCGACAAAUAAUACUAAUCUUGUCUAGUACCGCCUUGGUUUCACCGGCCUUCUAGUACAAGGUUAUUAUUAUUUGGCACGAUAAGCCCUUAGCACCAUAUUGAUUAGAGCGUGGUUCAUGAGGUGUGGAUUCCCCCUUCAUGAUUUAAUUGGCAUUAAUACGGAUUAUAUAGCCCAUGAUGCAUGUUGAUACGGAUCCAGAUACCCAAGUACGUCAAUUUAAUAGAUUUCAUUUUCAAGUUAUUCUUGCCAUUUCAAUUCCAAUUUUAGAAUUUAUUCUCGCCAUUUUAAUUUAAGUUUUAGCAUAUUCCAAAUCAUUUCAACCACAAAUCCCACCACCCAUUUCCAAAAUUAAUUCUACACAUAAUUAAAAUCCACCUCCUCGUGGGAUCGACACUCGUCACCAUUAGUCUAUACUACAAUAGAUUCGUGCGCUUGCGAGUACAUUAAAAUUUGCACAACACGUCCCACUAUUUUAUCAUUUCCUUACACUCCCAUAUGUAAGAAACGGAAACUCUCAUUGGUAAAAGUUUCUAGUAGGAAUCAGAUUCUCAUUAGCCUAAGUUUACCUCACCUAACAGUUCUUGGCUUACUUAUUAUAAUGAGUAGGUAACUCUUACCAAAUGCAUCUCAUGCAUGUACCGAUUAUCCUUCGGCCUCUAAAUCAUUAAUACCUCACCUGACAGUUCUUAGUAUAAAUGAUUUAGUUAAGUUUACCCUAAUACCCUUGCAUAUUUUCAUAACGUCUUACUAACUUCACCUAACAGUUCUUGGUAGCUUAAUGUAUGAAUUACGCAUCAUCGCAUGAUAUAUGGUUUAUUUUCAACAUUUUAAUGAAUGAGUAGCCCAUGUAUCUAUGACAACUAGCCCAAGCAUAAAAUAUUUUAAAUAUUCCAUUGGUAUUAGUAGGCCAUGAUGGAUAUUCUCAAUAUUCAUCAUUACAACUUAACAAUAAUUAUGUUUAUUUAAUUAGGGAGUAUUUGGUCAUUAUUAUGGUCUCACUUUUUAGCAUGUUAUUCCAUUUUCAAUAUUCAAAUAUGUCUAAGCACCCUAAUAUACAUCUCAUGCAUAUUAUAGACAAGCCAACUAAGGAUGAUCAUGGAAUUUUCUAAUAAAACCAAUUUGAGCCAAAAUUAGUUUUAAGGUCCACCUAGGUAUCAAGCAAACAAUAAUAAUUAUGAGACAUCCCAUGCCUCAAAUUAUCAAGCAAACAAUAAUGAUUAUGAGACAUCUUAUGCCUCAAAUUAUUACAAUUAUUAAUUUCUAUUUGAAUGGCCAAAAUAUCAUUGGAAGUGAUGCAACGAUCCACAAAGACUUCUUACUCCAACCUCCAAGGCAUCGCAACGUCCCUCCUUUGACAAUCAUCUUGUAGAAAUUACAUAUUUAGAAGAAUUGGAGUACAAAUUUAGGGGUAAUGGGAUACAAUCAGAUCUUAAUAGAAGGAGAGACAUGCAAGUCCCUAUUUAAAAAUAUAACAACCAUUUAAGCCUUUAGAAAUCGGCCAAAUCAACAAAUAAAUCAAUAGAUCAUUCAAUCACACAUAUAUUCAUUCAUCACAUGACAUAAAUAUAUCAUAAAAUAUCUAGGUCUUUCCAUGAUCGUCCUUCAUGCUAUUAUAAAUGGAAAUAACAUAAAUCAUGCUUCAAAAAUGCGAAAUUGAAUGAAGAUGGCUCUGAUACCACUUGAAGGACAACAUUUGUCCAUGAGGUUCCUAAAAUCGCAACUUUUGUGCAGUAAUAUUAAAACGGACGGCGGAAGCUCUAGAAACCUCGGAUCGGCUUCAUUCAAAAACGAAAAUCAAGAGGAAAGAUUGAAGUUUAAUUACCUCACUUGAAGUUUCGAAAAAGACUUCUUGAGGUAGGAGAAAACGACUGAAAACAGCAAGCUACGAACACUGUCCAGAAAAUACAGCUCUGCACGAACAGCUUCUGUUUUGCCACGAUCUGAGAUCCUUAAGCACCCCAAUUGUGAUGCCUCUAAUUAUUCCACACUUAGAAAUGUUCUAGGAGUUCAGAGGAUUUGGAAUCACGAAAUUUCGUUUAGAAAUGAGAGAGAUAAUGAUGAAACAUGAAUGCUAGUCCAUGAUGAUUCCCCUUCCACCAAAUAAAGCACCAUUAUGUCUAAUAAUGGCACCAAACAUUAUCAUGUGCUAGACCCACCCACUUAGCUAUAAUUUAUUGAAAGUGAUCUUAUCACUUAAAUAAAUUAUUUAAUCAAAUUAAUAAAUAGCUAAAUUAAUUAAUUUCGUAAUUAAUUAAUUAACCCCAUUUUGAUCAAAUCAAAUGGUUAAAUGUGGGCUCAUUUUGUGACAUGUUCUAAUGCUUUCUCUUAAUCCAUAUUAGAUCCAAUAAAAGCCCAAAAUUAUAAACCCAAAAAUGGUCUAGAAGUCCAUAAUCAUAUAUGAACCCGAACAUGUCCAAAAUGGUCAUUUUACGUGCUCGAUAUUACAUAAUGUUUAAUGGAGGAUUUACGAAAUUUAUUUUGUUCCUUAAACUAUUUAUGGAACAUCUAAAUUUCUAUCUUAAAUCAUAUUUAAGAUAUAUUUAUAUAUAUAUGUAUAUUCAUUCUCAAUGAAUUAUAAUAUAAAUAUUGAUUUUCCUAAAAAUAGGAAAUUUAACUUCUCAUUUUCUAGUAACUCCUUUUUCAUUUCUAUUUAAUGUGUGACCUUUUAGGUUCUUAGUUAUAAGGUAGUAGAACUAUUUUAAUGAUAACUCUUUAUUCAUUAAAUGAUGCUAAACUCUUUAGUCAUCAAUUAGAACUCUUCUAAUGACCUUAAGAUGCAUUGAUAAUACGCUUUACCAAUAUUGAUCUUAAGGUUUCUACAAGUCAUGAGUGACACCUAGCAGUAUAUCACAACCAUCCAAAUAACAAGAAUUGUUGGAUCUAUAGAACCUAUUCCAUUGUGUCUCUAUGUCUUGGUCUCUUCAUCAUCCAUGUCCAAAGAAAAGCACGGCUUAUGGUUUAUUAUGUUAAGCACUUAUGCUUUAUCUCAAAACAAAUCUAAAUGAACUUGACAUGAAAAUAUAAUUUGAACUCCUUCAAAUAUAUUUCACCUUGGCCAAGGAUUUCUCAUGCCAAUUCAUAUUAUCUUAUAGGGACAUCCUUUUUGUAUAUUACAAAGUGAUGAAUUCCAUAUUGGCCAUGCACUAGUCUUCAUACAUAUCCAACCAUGACAGUUAUUGCUAGAUCUCUUCCGUGAUUAGGAAUCAAUCAUUAUGCAUUCACAUAUCAGAGAUGUCUAUGUAUAAGACAUCUGUUAUGCCUCAGGUCUAAAGACCAUUACUAAACAUAGUGUCUAAUACAAUGUAUAAUAAGCCAUUAACACUCAAGACCAUAUGGCUUACUAUAUUUGGUCAAGUUCAGUAAACUUGUUCUCUCAACAAGUACCUAUGUGUUUGACUUGACAUCUCAUGUCAAUGAUAUGAAACUCACCAUCCAUUUUAGUAUCACAUACCAUAAGAAGUCAUAACACAUACUAGUGUUUAUAGGAAUUUAUAAUGUCCAAUCAUAAAUCCACCACUAGGAACUAUUUUAGAAGUAUAGUACAAAGGAUACACGUUUCAUAUUCUCGACAAACUCGAGAAUGUGUUCCUUAACUAUUUUACAUCUUGGACUAUAUUCAUUAAAUUAAUUAAUGAAUAUUGAUAACUUUGCCAUUUUAUAAAUAUCAAAAUGCUAUUCAAAUACGAUAAUUCCCUAAACAAACAAACACCAUUUGAUUGGCCUUUAGGGCAUAUUACUAACAAUAGCUGCUGCGUUGAUUUCUAAUGCGGUGGAGUAAUCGUCGUUAGAAUCUGAAUGAUAUGUCUAAGACGUUGCAUGCAUCAAGAAAAUUGCAGACGAUUAAACCUUGCCAUCUAUGCGUUGUAUGAGGUUAUAGCAACUAUCUAUCUGGUCACCGUUUUAAAAGAAUAAGACAAAGGGAAAAAGAGAAAGAAAAGAAUGAUUCGACAAUGGCAUUAAAGUUCAACAUACCCCAAGAUCUUGUAAUAAUGCCAUUAAUCAUUCUCUAGCUAGGCUAGCCUUAGAGAAAAGUGAAACUGUUGCACAGGUAGAAUCAAACCCCUCAGAGAUAUGAUGAGUUCGUGAUGCUUGCAUUUUAUUGAUGCUGAUGAUUCGUUGAAUGUUUUAUGUUUUUGAUUUUUAAGUAUUCCGGAUCGAAGUUUGUGUCUACGCGGAAAUUGUAAAGGCAGCAUAUAAAGUACUCGUCGUUCUUUAGAUUUUAUUGAGUACACUUUUGUCACAUUUAGCGUAUGCUAUACACUACUGAUUUGCGCAUUGACAUAUAUCUUAUUUUAUCAUUUUGAAUGAAUUACACGGCGAGGCUUAUCAACUUUGGAUGAAUCCUCCAAUUGUCACAGUCCAAGACUGGCUGCAGUGAGUGAAAAUUUACCCAUAUAUAUGCUGGCUAUUUUUAUUGGCGACGAAUUCGUUGUAGUUGGUCCAUCUUGCUAUUCUCGGACAAUAUUAGAGAAAAUAAUCAUAUUAUUUCGCGUGAUGUGACCUUCCAUAACUUAUCAAUUGAAUUACUGUAAAAUUAUUGUGUAAGUUUAGGCCCAAUGGCACUUUAGUUCAUCACAUGAUAGCCUGGAUUUAAAAGGAAAACUAUAUUGCAUUGCUUCAAAAAAAAAAUUUAAUGUUUUUAAUAUGAAUAUUUUUAACUAUAUUCAGUUAAAAUAAUAUAUUCUUAAUAUUAAUAUUCAUAGAUGAAAUUCUUUUGCGGAUUUAAGAAUAAAAUAUCAAAUAGUUUUAUUUUUCUUUUGUUGUGUAACUCGGACCGAAAAAGACAAUGAGCUUAACAUGACCCUCCUUCCGGCACUAUGCAUGUUUUUCUUAUAUUAAUGACAGUGCUCUUGGUGCUUCUCAUCUGCUUCUUGCUUUGGUUUCAAACAAGUCUUUCUCCGUCGAGACAUUUAUUGUAAUUUGAUUUGGAGACAUCUGUCGUUCAAAUAUAUUUCAUAUGCAAGCCGUUGAUAAUUCUGCUUGAGAAAGCCUACAAAGCAGCUGUGUGAUGUAAUAGAAGACUAUAUAUGCAAACGGUCAUCAGUUUCUCUUGAAUUCUUUCUUGAGUUUCUUUGAAUUAUUUGUGAAUGAGUUCUUAAUCGGCUGCUGCUCUUCAGGAAAAGGAAAGUGUUGCAAACUGGUGAAGCUGAUCGAUAAAAGCAAUGUACCAUCUUUGCUGGCAUGGAUCGAUGCCAGUGAGUUUUUUUAUUUGUCAACCUUUUUAAUAAUGCAUAUGUUUUUCUUCAACUUGAAGCGGCAUAUAAGACGAAAGAAGUGAUCUUUAAAGCAUUCUAUGGCAUUAUCCUUUCCUAUUAUAUAUAUCCAAUUGCUCCAAAUUAUUUGUAAAUUACUGAACACGAAUGCUGGUGAAUAAACUGAUGGCUCUAUGUAUGUAUGCACAUGCAUGGAGAAAUUUUAAGUCAGACAUUCUCAUAUAUAACUCGUGCUACCAAAUCAUUAAAUAAUCUUGAAAUCAAAGUAAUAAUUAAAUACAAAUAAAUUGCUCGAAUUGUACAUAUAUCUGAAUCAUGUAGUGAAGAAAAUACAACAACAACAACCAAUGGCUCAAAUUCCCCAUCAACUUCUAGUCUCAACACUUUUGAGUGUCAGAAGCAUUACUCUGCUACCAGUUAACAAACAUAUAAUUAGUAAUUAGCUAUUCACUUCCCUUUUAGGCCUACCACAUUUUCUACAAAGAAGCCAUAGAGAAUCAGCAGGAAACACUCAAUUUCAACCUAUGUAGGACCAGGAAUUUCAACCAAAAAAAAAAAAAGUGUGCAAUUGCUUAUCCUAUCCUAUUGCUACUAGAAAGAAAGUGAACAAUUAAUUUCAGUGAAUAAAUUAAAAAAAAAAUUACUUCUGCAGAUACUCAAGCUAAGAACACAUUAACCCAUUAAAGACUCCAAAUUGCAUCAAACAAAUUGUUGUUAAACAAGUAAAACAAAGAAAGAGAGUUAAGGAAGCUGACCUAGUAGUAGGGGAGCUGAAGAAAGACUGCCAGUGAAUGUAAGAGAAAAUAAAAUGCAAGAAAUGGUGAAGUGCAGCUUUUCAUGUCAACUUGAAAAUGAUUUUUCUGUUUUUUUUUUUUUUUUUUUUUUGUAAUCUUUUGGAUUUUUCAAACAAAGAAAAUGAGGAGCAACCAGGGAGAUAAAAAGGGCGCCAAGGCAACUGUGUGUUGGGUUUAGAGCCAAAAAAAAAAAAAAAGAAUAAGACAUCGUGUUCUUGUGGAGACCAGACCUAUUACGUAACGUCCCCUUCAAUACCACUUGUUCCGUAUCUGGUUUUUUCUUCGUCUUUUACAUAUUUAUCCUGUGAUUUUACAAUAACUAAAUAAUCCCCCCAUAGUUUGCAAUUUUAUUCAUUUGAGCCCUACAGAUUUCAGUAAUAGGAAUUAUUAAGGGACAAGAGCGCAAAACAGAAACUCUGUCCACUACUGAUGAUAUAACAACGAACCUUUGUUUUUUUCUUUUUCUUUUUUUAAAAAAAGAGUAACAAAAUAUCAUUAGACAAAUGAAAAUAUUAUCUAACAUCACCCUACUGAUGAUAUAACAACGAACCUUUGUAGUUUCUGCCUGUUAAUAUGAAUUGAUCGGGAGUGUUUCCUCAAUUAAAAAUUACGAAUUUACAAAAUAUGUAUGUAUGUACGUACGUAUAUAUGUAUGUACAUAUAUGCAUACACCUAUGUAACAUUUACUUAUCCAUUCUUUUGAGUUUAAAACUUAAUACACAUUUUCAUGAAAUUUUUUAUUUUAUUAAGUAUACAACUACAUUAAUGUAUAUAUUUUUUAUAUAAGACAUGCCGUCCUAUUAUUCGUAAGUAAAACAAUGUGUUGUGAAUAGUAUUCCGUGUUUUCUCAAAGUUGACUUUUCGUCUUUUAUUUUCAGACGCAGACGAUAUGUCAUUUUGUAAUCUUCCAAACAUAUACAGAGCUGAAUUGGUGUUAUCUGAUUUUGUGAUGCAAUGAUAUUUGCACUUCCUGUGCACUCAAUGGAAUCAUUUCUUUGUAACUAAUUGGGUGGUGGAAUCUAUCAAACUCCAGAAACAGGGAAACCAUGCCACGCUAGUAGACAAUAUGCUAGUUUUAACAAACUUGUUUGAAUGGCAAAAACGACAUGACCUGCUGUAGUAUUAGUUCUUUCCCGAACCAACGGGUGAUUUGCUACGUUGGAUCAUGAAAAUUGAAAAAAAAAAUUAACCAAAAUAAAAAUUCUUAAGGAAUUAGUUAGUUAAUUGAUUGAUCGAAUUUAAUCUAAAUUUGAAAAUGAUAAGAUAAAUUUAAAUUUAUUAUUAUUAUUAUUAUUUUAAAGUGGGUGGGUUUAUACAAUUUGAGCGGUGGAAAUAUCACUGCUGAAUUAUUAAAUAUACAGUGUAAAAUUUUGACCUUUAAAAUAUUCCCUUUUUUUUUAUUAUUUAGAACUAUAAGUUUAAAAAUUUAACAUUUUACCUCAAUAAUUAAAUACUUUUAACUUUAAUCUUCAAAUAUUUACCCUACAACAUUUGGACCUAAAUUUUUAAUCCGACUCGGCCCCUGACCCAAGUGGGAAGAAGAUCAGGCUUAUAAGUUAUAACUAUCACCAACAUAACAUCUUCUGGAAAAUAAUAAGAUUACUCACCUGCAAUUAUGUGAUCAAACUAAUGGUAAGCAAAAUAGAACAGCGUUAUUUCAGCCCCCUUUCAGUUUCUUUAUCAUUUUUCUUUUCCUAUUUAUAAGCUGAAUUCGGUUCAAAAUCGGCUAAUUCACUUUGAUUUCACUUUUCUUUCUUUCGGUUCAAAAAAAUUGAACCCAUUGGCUGUCAAUUCAAUUUUGUUGAAAACCAACUUUGCCUGAAUUUAAGUAAUAAUAGAGGAAAAAAACAAAAGAGUACUUAGCAGAAGAGAUUUCUCAUUUUUUUCUCAUUCAAACUUCUAAAAUAAAGGAAAAAAAAACAAGAGUAAUUGUUAAUUAUCAAAAUUUUGUUUAUACUAUUCCACCAAGAAAAUUAUAAAAAAAAAAUUUUAAAAAUUGGAGAAGAAAUAUGAGGUGAAAUACGUGGAUGGCUUAGACUAAUAAUGUGAACAAAUUCCUCUCGGAAACAUGUCAUUGUUCAUCCGGACAACACGCGGCGAUGAGAUUCAAGAAUGAAAGGAUAGGAAUCAACUGUAACCUCAUAAACAAAUGGGCUUGGAGUUGUAAACACCAAGCUCGGCAGAUUAAUUAAACAAAAAUAUCCGAAUUUUCUAUGAUAAUCUCUAGGAAACGAUCAGCUAUAAUGUACGAAAUUAAAAUAUUGCAUAUAUUUUUGAAUUUUUGAACUCAUGCAUUAAUUUCAAAAAUUAUAUCGUAUUAUAAUUUAUUCACAAAAGAAAGAAAAAUUCACUAAUCAAGUGAAAUCGUAUUCUUAUUGAAAUGAAUUCCAGUAAUUGGAUAAAUAUAAGUAUUUCUUCCAUUGUAAUUUUUGUUUAAUAGAAAAUCUAUUUGAGAUUUUGUGAGAAGAAACUCAACAAUAAAGUUUGAUAGACUUUGUGGAUAUUAAGAGUUUGACAAGUAAUUGAAAUCUGAAGUUUACUGAAGUUUACGAGCAAACAAACUGAAAUCCAAAGUUUACUGAAGUUUACUAUCAAGAGUUUCAAAACAGUGAAAAAGAUGAUAUAGUUGAUGACAGAAACCUGAGUUAUCCAUAGCGACAAGUAACAUACUGAAGUAAGCCGUUGGGAGCUGGCCUGUUCAUGGGCUAUUUUUCUCUGAUGAUCUGCAUUUUUCUUCCUUUUAAGUGAACCUUGACUCGUAUCAAACCUGUCAAAAGAACAGUUCAUCAACUGAGCUGAGAUUUGCUUUCCUUUUUCAAAACCCACCUGAGAUAUUGUAAUUCCCAAAUUUCUCUCUCUCAGCUACACGAGCAAGCAGCCGCUUUUUCACUUCAUCGAAGAAGGUAAGCGAUAUAUCUAUUUCGUCCGAUUGAUUUCUUGUUUCCUUUUCAGUGUUCGGGUAAAUUAUUGGCAUGCCUGACUUUUUGACCAUUACAUGAUUCAUAAAUUUAUAUUAAUUUUGAUUUUGAGUUGACCGGUUACUUUUAUAGGUUUGCUUACUUUGACUAGGUGACCAAUUUCUUGUAACUAAAUUUAUGACGUGAUGCAGGAAGCUGGGCAGGAUAUGAAAUGAGAAUCUUAUUAGUGGAAGGAUUGCCAGUAACAGAACCCAAAGAAAAUGAAACCAUUUCAAGGCAGCAGUUGGCAGUUGGGAGUGAAUGGAGGCCCCUGACAAAACUUCAGUAAACUUCAGAUUUCAGUUUGUUUGCUCGAAACUUGCAUGGUGACAAGGAUACUGACAAGGAUAAUGAGAUAGUUUUUGUGUGAAUGAAAUUACGACCAUCCUCAGCCUCAGGUAAUUUCUUCUCCUGCUUAGUUGUUAUUUGUUACCUAAUUAAGAAGCAUAAAGUAUCUUGAAUCAUUUUCGUUGUCUGGAAUAUAUGCAACAGUUUUUAAAAUUUUGAUAUCAGUGUAAUGAUUGUAAUUUCUGUUUUCUGUCUGUCAUCGAAUGUAAGGCAACUUUAUUAAGACUCUUGAACCGAGUCAUUUUUUACAAUUGAAGGACAAGUGCUGAAGAGUGGGAAUGCAAAAAUUUUUGUUGUUUUUAGCCUUGUUUUCUUUGAACCAGCGCCUGAUUCUCAAGACUCCAUUAAUUUGGCUUUUGAUCAGCUGAUUGAUAAAUGUUCAAUUUCUUUGGUGAUAAAUGUAUAUGUGAAGCAGGUAGCAGGGCAUGACUGUGGAAAAGAGAAGAUUUUAGUGAAAGCCGAGACUCAGAUAAUUCUACGCGUUUUGGCUGAUUUAUAUAAUUCGUGAAAUUUUAUUUCCGUCUGUUACAAGAUCAAACUGCAAUUAGCAAUUUAACAUUCCCUUAAAACCACUAGCUACAUUUCAUCUUUCCACAAUUACACUUAAAAUUCCACUAAAAGAAACUCUUGAGGUGCUCUGAUGAGCAUAUAAUAUAUACAUAUUUUACCCUUAAUUAAAUAAUUGCUAGUUAUAUUUAUUUGUUAUUUUUAAUUAAUUGAAUUAUUUUAUUGCAUAGAGAAUUAAUUGAAGAUUGGAAAUAAAAAGUGCAAAAAGAAUAACAAUUUAGGAGAAUAUUAGUUGAAGUCAUGACAGAGUUAAGAGCCAAGAGCAAUUUGCAUUGAAUUUUAAUUCUCCAAUUGAGUUGCACGUGCAUGGCAUUGCAAAAGUGGAAAGCAAUUUAAAUGGGGCCCACACUUGACUUUCAAAAGUGGAAUUAAUGGCUUAUGGUGGCGUUAUUAUGGAAGCUUUGUUUUAUAAUUGGAAAAGGAUUUUAAUUAGUAGACAAAGAGGAUUCGGUGGUUAAGCAUUAUAAAAAGAGCGUUUUGGCUUUUGAAUGAGGGGAGCCGCCAGAGGACGGAAACAAAAGGGCUGGAAGAGAGCAAUCGGUAGUAGCAAUAUUUCGGCUUCCAUGGCUGAUUUUAUUUCUUGUGUUGCUCUCAAUUUAAGUAUGUCUAGCUAAUUUUCUUAUGCUGAGGUUAAGGAUAAAACCCUAUUUAAUGAAAUAAUUAUCUUUUUAUUUAAUUAAUUCCUUAUAUAUGUUCUUUGAUGAUUAUGGUUUUUAUUUCACAUGAUUAAUUGGAUGUUAAUAAAAUCUUUUCAUCAAUUCUGUCAUGCAUUAUUGAUUGUUAGGAUUAAUAUUCGAUUAAUUCUAUACUUGGAUCUAUAAAGUUUAUACAUGAUUAUCUUUGAUUUUAUGUCUUUCAUUAAAUUGUUGACAUGGAGUGCUUAGGAAACUUUGACUCUUUGUUAUUCAAUAUGUUUACAUGAGAUUCUUAGAUGUCAUACUAUUAAGCAGAAAAAAACCUACAUAAGAUUAAUUUUAUUUGGGCUUAAUUGUUAUAUCCAUGAGAUGACAUAGAUAGAUUUCGAGUUGUCACUCUAAAAUUGGGGAUUAAUUAAUAAUUAGCUAAUUACUAGUUGAAUAGUGGUGGAUUCUGAAACCUUAGUAAUUUGUCUUAUUGAUUUCUCAUUUGCUUUAAUUGUUUUCUUAGUUUAAUUAGUUUAAUUUCUCUUAAAACUCAAUUUGCUCAACUAAGUUAGAAUUAAUAUUAAUUUUAGAUUUAAAUUAGACUUUUCAAUUUAUAACAAUCCCUGUGGGAUCGACCUCGUGCGCUUGCGAAUAUAUUAAAAUUUUCACAACAUGCUCGCAAGCUAUAUAUCAUUAUCCAUUGAAUUCUUACCACAUAUAUCUCACCUUUCAAUCAAUCACAUAAUAAUCAAUAUACAUAUUGUAAGAAUUCAACAAAUGGAGAACAUAAUAUACUAUAAAAGCAUCCAAAAUUUUUCCUUCUCAAAUUAUUACUAAACUUCUUGAACAAGUUGAAGAUUGGGGGGAAAAAGUGCAAGAAGGAAAAGCAUUAUUCUACUAGCUUCUAGAAAGCAAAAUACCUUCUGCUGAUUGCACAUUGGAAUGGGAAUAAGUUGGUAAACAUAUAAGUUACAUAAAUUAUUUUGGAUAAUUCUGCUGGUGAAUUAAUUAUCUUAAAAUCACCCUUUUAUUUUUAAAAAAAUCUUAAGUUAUUUUUCAUAUAUCUUAAGAAGACAAACAAACUUUCAUCGACUCUCCUUUUUUAGCUUUUCCCUUCAAUAAUGUUAGAAAUUCUAACAUUUGAGUCAUGCUUGAGCUUAAUACUAUAUAUCACUCAUUUAUUAGAUGUUGAAUUUUUUAAAUUAUAAAGUUAUUUGACUACCAUCCAAUGAAUGAAUGUCACGUCAUUUAAAACUCAAAGAAAAGUAUUCUACUUCUUGCGGCAAUCAUGCCUUCAUUCAGACUAUGAACCAUUUCCUUUCACCAAAUUCUUCAUAAACAUUGAGUAAGUUUCAUGGUUGGACAUAGUUAGCUUCUGUUUCUUUUGGUGCAUUUAGGUGCUAUCAAGUGACGGCCGUAAGUGUGAUUGCAUUAUUGGGAAAUUUUACGAUUUGAUGGUUCCCCACGUUAUUGCCAAGAAAGUUCUCAUGUCGGAAGCAGCGGUUCUUUUCAUCGGCCUGAACCCGAACCUGUCGCUAUGGAUAACUCAGGUUUUUGUCAUCAACUAUAUCAUCUUUUUCACUGUUUUGAAACUCUUAAUAUUAAACUUAAAGUAAACUUCAGAUUUCAGUUUGUUUGCUCGAAACUUGUAUGGUGACAAGGAUACUGGCAAGGAUAAUGAGAUAGUUUUUUGUGUGAGUGAAUUUUGAGAGCUUGAGUGUUCUGGGAUUUGCAAUUGCAAUCAUCCUCUGCUUCAGGUGAUUUCUUCUCCUGCUCUGUCUUUAUUUGCUCUCUAAUUGAAAAGCAUAAAGUAUUUCAAUCAAAUUCUGUACCAGGAAUACUUAAAAGUUACUGAUUCUUUAUUUCCAUUUGUUUGCAUUGAUAACUUGACGGCAUAUGUACUAGUUAAAAAACAAACAGAAGUAGAGUUUAGGAAAAAGCUUCUUCGGCCACCAUAUUUGAAAAUGAAACCAUUUCCUAGAAGCAGUUGGCAGCAAAUUCAUAUAAAGUGUACACAAUGAUUAGCAGAAAGGUGAUUCACAAUUUCAUUUUUUUUUUAAAUGAAAUUAUUUGUUAAGUUGGAGCUGAUAUUGUUAGAAGGCCAAUGAGCUAACCUAUGACACUGCUUGCCUAGAUUGCAGGAGGUCAAGGCUCAAAAGAAGCACUGAAUUUUAAAAGGCAUGCAAUAAUUCUUAUGGCCAUAAGUCAAUUCAUGUAAGUUUGAAUAAGUUUAAUGGUGGAACGCUUUAAGCUCCUUUUCCUUUCGUGCAUUUUGGGGUGCUAUCAAGUGAUCGCCGUAUGUAUGGAUGCACAUAGCUGCUGCUGGGAAAUGUGAGGUUUUCAUGGCUGGCCGUGUUAUUGUCUUAAAUUAGAUGUGAUAAGCUGUUGCUUGGAGAUUCUGUUGCCAAGACUUUGCUCACAUCAGAAGCUGUGGAACCUCAACCCUUCUCUAGAUAUCAUGUUUUUCAUUGUUUUAAAACUCUCAGGAUUAAACUUGAGUAAACUCUCAGGAUACUGAGCAGGCAAAUGCCAUAACUCGGUUUGUUCUUCAAAAACUUGUUUAAGAUUCUUGACAAAGCUGCAUGAAGUGAAUCUUGGGAGCUUUGAGGGUGUAUAGGGAUUUGGGUUUAUUAGGAAGUUAUAUAUGUAUUUCGUCACUUAUCAUUAUCAUUUUUAUUUUCACAGAAAACCUUCUGAUGGUGCCAAAUUUUCAAACACCGGUCCGAUUCAAAACUUCAUAUUCCAAUUAUAUUCAUAAGACAAAUGGAACACUUUGAACGGCUUGUGUCCGAGCAUUGUAGUUUGAUUUAUUUUGAUGACAGUACCUUUUGACAUUGAGAUUCUUUCAUGAUUUAAACAUUCUUUUUAAAACCAAAUUAUUAAAAAAAGUAACUAACAUAUAUUAUUUUAUUAGUGCUUUUUAAAUCAAAUAUACAUAGGAGAACUGUAAUUCUUAGCAAUCAAUUUUCAACUAAAUACACCUGCAACAAACUAUUAAUAACAAAGUGAUAGAAAAUACUUGAUUUUUCAUACUUUCUAAUUUCUUUUGGUCCUAAAAUAUGGGCAUUUGUGUAAUAAUAAGCCCAUGUGGAUCUCUAUGCCAUGAGUUUGAUAAAUAGCUAUCAAGGAUCACAUAUUAAGCUAAAAAUAUUUGGAGGACAAAAUUGUAAAACUAAAAGGGUGGAGCAAAUAUGGCUAUCUAGGAUUAAAUAGUAAGUCAACUAUAUUUAAAGGAUAAAAUAUUAAAACUUGAACUGUGAUAUUAAAAAUAUCUCAACUAUUAUAUUAUUAAACCAUAUGUUCUAAUAGUUUAUUUUUUAACCUUCAAAAUGUUCAGGAUUUUAGAUUGAAACAUUUUCAUUUGAAAUUAUUUGGUGCAGUCACAAGUUAAGAAAGAAAAAAUUGUCCCAUUGGUCAUUUCACAAAAAUGAAAGCCCUGUAUAACAUGGACUUGAAUGGAAGCCCAAUUGUUUGUGUUUGAUUAAUUGAUUUCAAGCUUUAUCGAACCUUUGGACCUGGAUACUUUACUGCGGCCUCUAAGCGCUAUAAAUUUUUUUGGGGAUAAACGGCGCUUCAAUGAAGGCAUCUCCAAUGCUUAACACCAUUUUGGUGUAACACCAACACUAAAAAAUAUACAUUUUUCACACUAAAUUAUUAUUUCAUCUCUAACUUAUUUACACCAAAUUUUACACCAAAAAAAAUAUUUUUUUUAUUCUUUUAAUUCUCUAGAAUUAAUUCAAUUAACACAAUAAAUAUUACUAUUAAUAUAGAUAAUUAAGUAAUUUUAUCGAUUAACAAAAAAAAUAUAGAAAAUUAUUAAAUUUGUAUUUAAUUAACUAAAUUAGUACAUUAUGAAAAUUAAACAUUACAUUAAUAUAGAAAAAUACAAUAACAAUAAUAAUAAUUUUAUAUCUAAUAUUUUGAUGAUAUUGGAGGAUCUAAUAAUGAUCUUCCAGAUUAUUAAAUAAUUGUUCUAAUUUAUACUAGUAGUAGUAGUUUUUUUAAUUUGUGUUAAUUUAAUUUUGUAUUUUUAAUUUUGUAAUAUAGUAAUUAAUGUUAUUGGCAUUUUAUUUUUAUUAUUAAUUUUUGUGUUGAAUAUUUUUUAUUUAAAUUAUUAGUAUAAUAUUCAAAAAUUAAAAAAUGAAAUAAAAAUAAUAACAAAAAUAAUAAUAAUAACUUAAAAUAUUAUAAAAAAGGACAUAUAUGUAAAUAAGAAAAAGUAAUAAGGAUAUUUAAGACCUUUUCUUCCUAGCACCAAAUGAAUAGUGUUACACCAUAUUUGGUGCAAUACUAUUCAUAACACCAUUUUGUUGUUGGUUUUGGUGCUACAUUGGAGAAGCAUUUUACACUAAAAAUGGUGUAAAAAGUGGUUUGGUGUUAGUUUUAGUGUCACAUUGGAGAUGGCCCGGAAAAGCACUUGAAAACUUUGGAUUUUCGGUUCAUCCAGUUACGGUGUUAUGCUAACGGGGUAAAAGGUUCCGAUCCAAUGAGUUAGGAUGGGAUAUGAAUAUAUAAAUUCCAUAGCAUGUAAGGACUAGGAGUUGUUUGUACAUAUCAAGAAAAAAAAGAUCCGAAAAUUUGAUGAUCAGAAGAUGAAGACACGUUUAUUACAGAGAAACAAACGACAACAUGAUACUAGUAGUAGUUAUUCUUUUCAUCCGAUACAUUACAUUGUAAUAUCACUGCUCGUUCCACUGGUUCCACUGGUGUAAUCAUCCAAAUUCCAACCUCCGUACUCUCGAGAGGAGUUUCCCAUUCAUCAAUUAUUAUUUUUUAUAAUCCAUACCAUCCUGAUAUAAUCAAACAACAUUAAUAAUGUACCAGCCUUUAUAUAGUAAUUAAUUUAUUUAGUUGCCCACCUAAAAGAAUCCUGCAGGAAAUACUGGUUAAAAAAUUUAUUAAAUUUGCUUACCUCUGUAUCAUUAUAUAUAUAAAGACUGAAAUCCAAAUGAAAUAUUUUAUCAUUCAUUCAGCAAACACUUAUAAUUCACGAAUAGUGAAUCUAUGCAUUGAAAAUGUGGAUUAAGAAUUAUAACACAUGAAUUCAAACAUACCCUCGUGAAGUUAAGAAUAAGUUCCUACUUCAAAUGAUUUUUUUAUCUAAUAAAGCAAUCACUUUCAUUAAACGACAGCGUUGAAGGAAUUGUGCAAUUUUUACGUUCUUUUCUAGACAGACGUUACAGAGAUGGGGUAAGUAGAGGGCUGGCCUCAGAUAUCUCACAAUUGUUAGUGAGAUAAAAUGUUAUUGUAAAAGGCGUUUAAUAGAAUAAUAUUAAUUAUUUUGCAUUGUUAUAACAAUAUUUUUUUCUUUUGACAGUUCUGCAGGACAAGUGAUCAGAGCUCAAUGAAUAUAGCCGUGGAGGCACAGCAGAGCAGGAUUAUGAAAAAGAGAAGCUUAUUACAGGUCAUUCAAGUUUACUUGCUUUUAUAUAAUAACUGUUUUGGCCGAUUUAUCUAAUUCAACAAAUGUCAUUUCCGGUACAUAUCUCCAUUGGUAUCAAGAAGAAGCAGAACCCAAAGAAACGUUUCUUGCAUCUUCAUAUUUGUGCGAAUUCAUCCUUUCAUUGAGAAUAACCAUUUCCAGGCAGCAGUUGGCAAUCAAUUCAUGCGCAAGUCGAUGCUAUUCAUAGAUAUUAAAGACAAUGAUGAACCAAAGGUGAUAAAUCAUAAAUGCAUAAUUACCAAACCUCCAUCCUUCUCUCAUUAUGAUUUGAUUUUAAAUGAAUUAUUGCUUGGUAACAUUAUUUCCAACCAUUGCAAGACCCUUUUUUUUUUUUUUUUUUUUGGGAGAAAUUUCAAUUGAAAGUGAAACCUUUAGACAUUUACCUAAUGAAGUUAGUUAAUCGGGAGGGUGGAAAAAAAAAAGUUGACGCAAGUCAAUACACAAUAAUUAAUUAAAUCCGGAGUGACUAAAACAGAGCCACUACUUUUUCAAAAAUAUCUGCAUUCAUCACUUUCUCCAGCAGCUAGUCAGCUACACACGAAUCAAUUUCUCUCCUCGUUUGUCAUCCAAAAUUAUUCACCAAUACCAUGGCUGAUGCAAUCGUUUCCACUAUCUUGGAGCAGCUGAUUUCCUUCGCUGCUGAAGAGAUAAAACAACAGGUGAUCGAAGUUUCACCCCUCAUAUUACAAAUACUUCCAAUGAUUUUAAUAAAUUUUGUUUUUAUCAAAAACAUUAUAUAUUUUUGCUUUUUUUUUUAUUUAUCUGAUAAUUUUAGAUUUUGAAAUUUGAAUUUAAUUUAAUUAAAAGGUGAUGUAGUAACCACUUAUUUUUAUUUUAUUUCAUUUAUAUUCUCAAUAACUACUCAUAUUUUGGUAACUUACUAUAACUUCCAUAUCUAAGAAAUGAUCCAAACCCACAAUUUUAACUCAGCACGAAUAUUCAAUGGUGAUCUAAGCUUUUGCAGAACACUCAAGUUUGUCAAACAGUCAUUAAUUCAAUGUUUAGUAAAAAAAAACACUUCUCAGCACAGAAUUCCAUGCCCAUUACUUAGACUCUAUAUAUGAAAAAUUUCAUAAUUUUCUCACAUUAUUUGAGUUUGGUAAGUGAUUUCAUAUAAUUUCUUUUCAAUAUAAAUUUUAAUUUGGUUUCUUAUAUACUCUCUUUGCUGAAUUUGUAUCUUUUAUGAUUCUUAGAUUUUGGGCUCUAACUUUUUAGGAUUUGAUAGUCACAUUUUAUGCCAUGCUUAGAUUGAUUUUCAUGAUUUUUACUACCCGUUAAGUGACUUAGAAUUUGACAAAAGUUUGAAAGGAAAUCUGCUUCAGGAUUCUGUUUUAACUGACCUUUUAGCGGAAAUAAGAUGCUUAUAACUUAAUGUGGAUGCUAUGUAAAAUCAUGAAAUUUGGAUAGAAUUAACUAGAAAUAUGUACAAGACUCUCCAUGAAGUCUCAUAAUUUUUCAUUCGGUCUGGGGUGUUACAGGUGAAGCUUGUGGUUGGUGUCGAAAAAGAAGUGAAAAGCCUUACCAGCCACCUUCAAGCCAUUCAAGUUGUGCUCGAUGAUGCAGAGGAAAAGCAAGUGAAGGACAAAGCUGUUAGUCUUUGGCUGGGUAGGCUCAAGUACGCAUCCUACGACAUUGAAGAUGCGUUGGAUGAAUGGAUCACAGGAAGACGCAAAUUGCAAAUUGAGGGUGGCAUUGGUGAAAAUGCUCUUAUUGCUCCUCAUAAGAAAAAGAAGGUACGUUUCUGCUUUCGUGCCUCUUGUCUUGGAUUCAAACAAGAAGAAUUUGGCUUCAAACAAGUCUUUCUACGUCAUGACAUUGCUGACAAGAUCAAAGAAAUCAAUGAAGAGCUACGUAAUAUUGCCACUCAAAGAGACAUGUUUAAAUCUGAGAGUGGCAGUAAAAGUAGUGAAAGACCCAGGCGUGUAUAGAGUACCUCCUUGAUUGAUGAGGAAGAGAUUUGUGGUAGAGUUGGUGAGAGGAAUGAACUCUUAAGCAAGCUGUUGUGUGAGAGUAGGGAGCAACAAAAAGGCCUUCAUAUCAUCUCAAUCGUUGGUAUGGGAGGCAUAGGAAAAACAACUCUUGCACAACUAGCAUGUAAUCAUGUUGAGGUAAAGAGAAAGUUUGACAAACUUUUAUGGGUGUGUGUAUCGGACCCUUGUGAGCAGUUUAGGAUUGCCAAAGCGAUCGCUGAAGCUUUAGGCAUUCCCUCUUCUAAUUUAGGUGAAUUUCAAUCUCUUCUUAAACUUAUAUCUGAAUCUAUUACUGGAAAACGAUUUCUUCUUGUCUUAGAUGAUGUGUGGGAUGGAGAUUGCAUAAAAUGGGAACCAUUCUACCUUUGUCUAAAGAAUGGUCUCCAUGGAAGUAAAAUUUUGGUUACCACACGUAAAAAAUCAGUUGCAUCUAUGAUGGGAUCUACUGAUACUGAUAUUGUCACUGUCAUGGAAUUGGCUGAAGAAGAAUGUUGGUCGUUGUUUAAGCGGUUAGCAUUUUUCGGUCCGUCUAUUAAUGAUUGUGAAAAAUUGGAACAAAUUGGGCCAAGAAUUGCAGGCAAGUUUAAAGGUUUGCCUAUUGCUGCAAAGACAAUAGGGAGUCUCAUGCGCUCUAAACAAAUUGAAGAAGAGUGGGAAAGGAUUUUAAAUAGUGAUUUAUGGAGAGUAGAAGAGAUGGAGAAAGGUGUUCUGUCCUCAUUGUUGUUGAGUUACAACGAUUUGCCGUCCAAAGUAAAAAUAUGUUUUUCCUAUUGUGCUGUCUUUCCAAAAAACUACAAUAUAAAAAAAUAUGAACUAAUUACAUUGUGGAUGGCUCAAGGUUAUCUUAGUGCAGAACAAAAUAAGGAGAUGGAGACUAUAGGUGAAGAGUAUUUUAGCAUCUUAGCUUCUCGCUCUUUCUUUCAAGAGUUUCAGAAAAGUUAUGAUAAUCGUAUUAUAGAGUGCAAGAUGCAUGAUAUGGUACAUGAUUUUGCCCGAUUUAUAAGUCAAAAUGAAUGUUUUUCAAUGGAAAUUAAUGUUAGUGAGGAACCAAACACCAUAAACUCUCUUGAUGAGAAGGUUCGUCAUUUAAUGUUGAUCAUUGGUAGGGAGGCUUCAUUUCGUGUCCCUACUUGUAGAGUGAAAAGAAUCCGUAGCCUCUUAAUUGAUAAUAGUAGAACUUCUUGUUCGUAUUUUAAUGGUGAGAUCCUAGAAGAAUUAUUUAGGGAAUCGACAAGUUUAAGGGCAUUAGAUUUUUGGGGAUCAUAUGACGUAAGCCCAUUUUGGACUCUAAAGAUUCCAAGAAACAUAGAAAAUCUAGUACAUUUAAGAUACCUUAACCUGUCUUGUCAGAACAUAAGGAAACUACCGGAGACAUUAUGUGAGUUAUAUAAUCUAGAAAAGUUAUAUAUUACUCGUUGUCUGUAUCUUGAAGAAUUACCUGAAGGGAUUGGGAAGUUAAUAAACAUGAAGCAUUUACUAAAUUAUCGUACAGAUUCUUUAAGGUACAUGCCAGUAGGGCUUGGGAGAUUAACGGGUCUUAGGACCUUGGAUGAGUUCCAUGUGAUUGGAGGAGGAGGUGUUGAUGGUAGGAAAGCAUGUUGGUUUGAAUCUCUUAAAAACUUGAAACACCUUCAAGUAUGUGGUAUACGCAGAUUGGGUGAUGUAUCAGAUGUGGGCGAGGCUAAGCGAUUAGAACUUGACAAAAAGAAAUACCUCUCUUGUUUGAGACUUUGGUUUGAUAAGAAGGAGGAAGGAGGAGAAAGGAGGAAGAACGAGGACGAUCAACUUCUUCUUGAAGCCUUGCGACCACCCCUGGAUUUAAAGGAAUUAGAGAUACGGUACUACCGAGGCAACACUGUUUUCCCCAGCUGGAUGACGUCAUUAAUCAAUUUAAGGAGUUUAGAUCUCUCUUUGUGCGAAAAUUGCAAGCAGCUGCCUCCUUUGGGAAAAAUGCCGUCCCUUGAAAAACUCAGCCUAUUGCACAUGCGGAGUGUGAAAAGAGUGGGUGAUGAAUGUUUGGGGAUCGAAAGUGAUCAUCAUGGCUCAUCUUCAUCUUCAUUAGUUAUUAUUGCCUUCCCUAAAUUGAAAUCACUCACAAUUUCUUCCAUGUUGGAAUUGGAGGAGUGGGAUUAUGGGAUUACAAGAACGGGAAACACCGUCAUCAACAUCAUGCCACGUCUUUCUUCCUUGGAAAUUGUUGCCUGCCCCAACUUAAAGGCGCUGCCCGACCACAUUCAUCAAACGACAACAUUGAAGGAAUUGCGCAUUGUGCAUUGUGGGCUGCUGGAAGAACGUUACCGCACGGGGGAAGGAGAAGAGUGGCCUAAGAUAUCACACAUUCCCAGCAUAGAUAUUGAUUAAGAAGGAGAAGAGUGACCUAAGAUAUCUCACAUUCCCAACCUCGAGAUUUGGCCUUGACAAGUAAUUCCUUCUCUUACUCUGAUUUGCUUUGUUGUUCUUUUUAAUCUAAUCAAGAAGCAUAAAUAGCAUUUUGAAUUAAACUCUGUAUCAGAAAUCUGCAAUACAUAUUUUCUAAUAUUCUGAUUUUCAUAUCUUAUGAAUGUACGAUUCUAAUUUGCGAUAUUUAACGUUGCUGUAAAAUAUUAUUAAUGCAAUAUGAGUAAUUCUUUUGCAGGACAAGUGACCUACGUUUAGUUUGGCUUUGGAGUUGAGUAAUAACCUUUCGAGGUCGCCACUAUAAAAAAGCGAAGCUCAAUUUGCCACAGAUUACAUGUAUUGCCAUCAUUGACAAUUUUCUGGAUAAGUGAUGAAGGGUGAGAAUGGUGCUAGAAUAUUGAAUAAAGCUGUCGUGACUGAACUUACGUUGAUGUCAAAAGGGGUAAAUUAUUGGCAUGCCUAGCUAAUUUGACCAAUACCUGAUUCAUAAGCCUACAUCAAUUUUGAUUUUGAGUUGAGUGAUUAAUUUUGAAGGUUUGCUUACUUAACUGGUAACCAAUUUCUUUUAACUAAAUGUAUCAUAUGAUGCAGGAAGCAGGGCAGGAUAUGAAAUGAGAAGCUUAUUAGUGGAAGGAUUGUCAGAAACAGAACCCAAAGAAAAUGAAAACAUUUCGAGGCAGCAGUUGGCAGUUGGCCGUGAAUGGAGCCCCUUGAAAAAAUUCCCAACCCAUUGCACUGCAAUUACGAUCGUGAGUAUGAUUGCACUGCAAUUUCGAAGCUUCUUCUCCUGCAUUUUUGUUAUUUGCUAUCAUCCUCUGCUUCAGGUGAUUUCUUCUCCUGCUCUGUCGUUGUUUGUAUCUCAAUCAAAUUCUAUAACUGGAAUAUGCAAAAGUUUCGAAUUUUUAUUUCUAUCUGCUUGCAUUGAUAACAUCGCGGCAUAUGCACUAGUUAAAGAUCAAACAGAAACAGAGCUCAGGAAAAAGUUUCUUCUGCCAUCAUAUUUGAAAAUUCAUGUAAAAUGUAGACAGUAAUCAGCAAAAAGGUGAUUCGCAAUUUGAUUUUUUUUAUGAAAUUAAUUGUUAGGUUGGAGUUGCCAAUUAACAAUUUUAACCACCUUUGACUUUGAAGGAAUUAGAGAUAUGGUCAUACAGAGGCAACACUGUUUCUGCAAGUAGUCCUCUCUUUUCUUUUUAUUAUAUUUUAUUUAGUUAUUAUUUAUUAUUUAUUUUUUGGUUUACUCUGCUUCUUCUUUUUACGUUUCUCAAAUUUUGAAUUUCAUUGCUUUUGAACAUACGACAGUCUGUUAUGUGGCGACCCUGGUUCUUAAUUAAGGUUGUGAAAUAUUAUUGUAAAAGAUGAUUUAUUCAAUUUGAGUAAUUCGUUUGCUUUGAUAAUGAUAGUAAUUUUUUAUUUUGACAAUUUGCAAGGUGAGAAUGGUGCUGAUUGGUGAUUCAGGAUAUGGUUCAAACACCAUUGAAUAAAGCUAUGGACAUGGUGGCUCAACUUAGCUAGAUUGCUAUCAAAAUUGGUAAGUUGGCUUGUCAAUGUACCGAUGCUUUUGUUUUCUCUCAACCCUAAUUACCUUAACUUCAUUUAGUUUGGCUUUGGAGUUGAGUAAUAACUUAUUGUUCAAAUGUUAUUUCCUUAUUGUUCUAAUUCAUCAAAUGUUAUUUCCUUGUUGUUCCAUUGAUAUAUUGGUUGCAUAUCAAGCAGAAACAGAACCCAAAGAAAAUGAAACCAUUUCCAGGCAGCAGUUGGCAGUGAAUUCAUGCAAAUGUUGAUGCCAUUCAUAGAUGUUGAAGACAAUGUUGAGCCAAAGGCGAUAAAUCAUUAAUGCAUAAUUCCCAAAACCUCUAUCCUUCUCUCAUUGUAAUUUGAUUUGAAAUGAAUAAUUGCUAGGUAAUUGAAGCCAAUGUUGUUAAAGACCGUGUUGAGCUACCCAAGCUAAGAAGUUAGUUGCCAAAAAAUGCAGGGGAUCAAAAGAAGCAUUGCAUUUGAAAAGGCAUGAGAUUCUGGUGGCUACAUGUCAACUCAUAUAUGUUUGAAUAAGUUUGAUGGUUCAAGAUUGUUAGCUUCUGUUUAAAUUUGUGCUACUGCAGUGCUACAAUGCUGCUACUGGGAAAUUUGAAUCCCAUAUUAGACUUUCCUCACAUCAGAAGCUGUGGAUCUUCGGACAUCAGGUUUUUUCACAGUUCUGAAACACUCAGGAUUAAACUCUAUUAAAGUGUUGUAGUUAUCUUGUUGUCAGAAUUCCCAUAUUAUUAUCUUUUUCAUGUAAAAUUAUCUUGUUGUCUUCGCCCAUGAAUCUAAGCUAAAAUUUGAACCAAUUGUUUGCUAUUAUAAAUUUCAUUGUUAAAUGUUAAUUGUGAUGUUCGUGUUGAGUUUCUUUUAAAGUCAUAGAAGCCUGACGAUUGAGUUCCAUGGGAUUCUGAGAAGCAGUAAUAUUUUGAACAAGUGAAGGUUCUUCGUUUUUAAUUAUGUUCUGCACUUUUACAGUAUGUGCAGAUGUCUAAGAGGCAGGAUUUUAAUUUCUGUAAUGCUAAAUUUCGCAAAACAAUAAAAAAAAUAAAUGCAUGACAGUGACUUCAAGAAUUUAGAUUAUUGAAUUUGGUCAUUUUAAAAUUGUUGGAAUAUUGAACUUAAGUCAUUUUGAUAAACCAGAGCUCAGAAAUGUAGAAUAUAAAUAUUGGAGAUUUGGACUUCAAUCAUUAGAUUUGAAGCUAAAGAGGUAAGCCAUUAAUUACAUCAAAGGAUUUGGAAAAUGGAGGGAUUGGAAAAAGGAAACUUUUUCAUAAACUACAAGCAUUGGGCAGUUUCAUUUGUCCGAUUCAAGAGGAACGUCACAGAAAGGGGUAAAGAAAAGAGUAGCCUAAGAUAUUUAAGACAAUGUUGAGCCAAAGGAAACAUAAAUCCCAACCAUUGCAUGCGAACAUGAUCACAAUAAGGUCAAGAACCUACCAAACCAUUUUUUUGAGAAUUUUCAAUUGAAAGUGAAACCUUUGGACAUUUACCUAGUAAAGUUAGUUAAACGAGAGAAAUAAAGGGGAAAAGAAAAGUUCACUCAAGUCAAUACAGAAUAAUUAGUUCAAUCUGGAGUAACUAAAACAGAGCCACUAUAUUUUCUAAAAUAUCUGCAUUCAUCACCUUCUCCUACAGCUAGUGAGCUACACACGAAUCAUUUCCUUUUAGCAUUUUUGCAGCAUCAAUUUCUCUCCUCGUUUGUCAUCCAAAAUUAUUCACCAAUACCAUGGCUGAUGCAAUCGUUUCCCUUCUCUUGGAGCAGCUGAUUAUCUUUGCUGCUGAAGAGUUGAAACAACAGGGGAAGCUGGUGAGUGUUGGAUGAGCGGAUCACAGCAUGCGCCAAAUCGCAAAUUGAUCAAUGCUCUUGGUGCUUCUUAUCUGAAGAAGAAGGUGCAAAUUGGGAGCUGCAUUUCACUGUCAUAACAUUUAUUGUAAUUUCAUUUGGAGAUAUGUAAUAUCUGUUGUCCAGAUAUAUUUCAUACACCAGCUGCUAAUAAUUCUGCUUGCAGAGAACUUGCAAAGGAGCUGUGUGAUGUAAUAGAAGACUGGAGUCUGGUCAAUUUUUUCAACCUUAGAUAUUAGGAAGUUAUGUAUUUCAUUAUCAGUUAUCAUUAUGAUUUUUAUCUUCAAAAAGAUAAAUGGAUGGCUUUGAAUGGCUUGUGUUUGAGGAUUUUAGUUGGACUUAUUUUGAUUGAAGUACAUUUUGACAAUAGAAUUCCUUCAUGAUUUAAACAUUCUUUUUAAAAUCAAAUAAUCAAAAAAAUUAAAUAAAUAAAUAAGGUAACUAACAAAUAUUAUUUUAUUUUGUUAGUGUUUUUUUCAUUAAAUAUACAUAAGAGUAUUGUAAUUAAUUGCAACCAAUUUUUCACUAAAUACGCCUACAACAAACUAUUAAUAAUAAAGUGCCACUCUACUGUGCUUCCUACAAGCACCUUGGCCAUACCAUUGAGACGUGUUACGUGGCCAAUUCGGGGCUUCAACCCCAGCGACCCAGUGGGAAUCGGCAGACUAGAGUAGAAGAUGGUAAGAAGUCAGAAGUUCUACCGUUAGAUACUCCACAACCCUCAGAUACUCCUCGACCUGAGCCUUCCAUCACUAAGCAGAUUGCAAACGCGGGGUCCCCGAUCACCAAACCUUCGGAGAACCGGCCUAACGUUACAAAUUCUACAUCCGUUCAGGAGCCGAUUGCCCAAGAUGACACAACUCAUGAUUCUAAGGAACCUCGUGAUCAAAGCUUGUCUCCCCUGCGGAGCAUUGGUGAGUAUAAUCCACAUCUUCAUCAAGCAUCCAACAUAGAUUUUAGGCAUUACAAUUCUCAUAUUGAUAAUGAUGAUAGUUUUGACGAGCACCUAGCGAAUAACAAACACUUUUUAUCUGCUCCUGAGAAUUCUGAGAGAAUAGACUUAAGUCCUGAUUUUAGCAUUGUUGGUCAAUCGAAAAAGGGAUUUAAAUUACUUAUCGGCCGUAAGUAUCGUAAAACAUAUUAUCACCAUCUUCAUCAGUCAUUUUAUUAUGAUUCUCAUGUUAGGCUAUACCUUAAUCUUUUCUUUUUCUGUUGUAUUUUUUUCUCUUGAUUGGAGGUUUUGGUUUUUGUCCCCCUCCUUGUAUCUUUCAUUAUCUUUUAUAAAUUGACAGGUAGGGGUCCCGCCUAACCCUCCACCUUAGAGUGGUAUGCUUAUUUAAAAAAAACUAUUAAUAAUAAAGUGAUAAAAAAUGCCUAAUUUUUCAUACUUUCUAAUUUUUUUUUGCCCUAAAAUUUAGGUAUUUAUGUCAUAAUAUGCCCAUGUGGAUCUCAAUGCCGAAAGUUCGAUAAAUGGCUUUCAAGGAUUACUUAUUAGGUAAAAAAUAUUCAAAGGACAAAAUGGUAAAACUAGAAGGGUGGAGUAAUAUGGCUACCUUGGGUUACAUCGUAAGUCGACUAUAUUUAAAGUAUAAAAUAUUAGAAACUGAACGGUGGAGUAAUCGUCGUUUAGAUGAAUGAUAUGUCAUCUAUGCGUUAUGUGAGGUUAUAGCAACUAUCUAUCUGGUCACUGUUUUCAAGUCUCAAUUGGUAGUCCAAAGAAAAGAAUGAUUCUGCAAUAGCAUUAAGUGUUAAUUGGACACAAAAAGAAGUGUUUUAACCACUUUAAGGAAAGUAAAUGUAAUUUUCUGUCCUAAAGAAAAGGUAAAUGUAUGCACUGUCAAUUAAUCUUUGGUCGACCAGCAACAUCAUAAUUUCGUGUAGGUUCAUUUUUGUUUCUUAAGAGUUUGUAAAAAAAAUGGAAAGAUUUUAAAAUAUAAAUUUCAUAUAUGUUUAUAACUGUUGUUUGGUCUAAUUUCUUAUGUAGAAUUUUCAGAAUCUGUAGGACAUUAGUUUAUAAUUUUGAGAUUUUGCAGCCAUAAAUGUUUUUUUUUUCUUUUUCUUUUUUUGUUGCCAUUUUAUUUUGCUCCUUUAUCUAUGUGCAUGUUGACUGGCUGCAGUGAGUGAAAAUUUACCCAUAUAUGCUGGCUAUUCUUGGACAAUAUUAGAGAAAAUUAUCAUAUUAUCAUAUUAUUUCGCGUGAUGUGAACUUCCAUAACUUAUCAAUUGAAUUGCUGUAAAAUAUUAAAUAGUUUUAUUUUUCUUUUAUCGUGUAACUUGUGUUGAAAAGUGAUUUUAAAAAAAAAAGAGAGUUGAAAAAUCAAAUCUCCAAGUGGGAGAUUGAAGAAAAGGAAAGCCGCAAAAUGAACAGUAGCCGCAAGAUGAACAGUAACCGCAAGAUGAACAAUAGUCAAUGGUGGCUAUAAAUAGAGGAGUGCUCCUCCUUAUUGUUUGUAUCCCAAAUCCCAGAGAAGCGAUCCAAAUUUUGGUGAGAAAUUGAGAGAGAGAAAUAUUCUUAAGCAUGUAGUUAUAUUGGAGAAGUUGGCUCCUCAAUAUGGAUAUUACGGGUUUGCUUUGUUAAGGGAUAUUUCUCGAGAUUAUGUAUUUGGGGCUUGGGUGAGAGAAAAUUUAUUUCUGAAAGUGGUUGUAAUAAUUUUCCACAUAGUGAAUAUUUUUCUCUGGUUGUCUUGUGACAACGGCCGUAGUUUUUCUCCGAAUUUGGAGUUUUCCACGUAAAUCUUGUGUUGUGUGAUUGGUGUAUUCUCCAUUUAAUUUUUCUUAUUAAUUUGUUGCUUGAUAAUUGCUUGAAGAGAUCUUGGGAGGAAGCUCAAUUUCCUAACAACUUACACCAAAAAAGGAAAUGAGUUUAACAUGACCCUCAUUCCGGCACUAAGCAUGUUUUUCUCUAAUGGUUCUUGUAUUGAUGACAGUGCUCUUGGUGCUUCUCAUCUGCUUCUUGCUUUGGUUUCAAACAAGUCUUUCUCCAUCAUGGCAUUUAUUGUAAUUUCAUUUGGAGACAUCUUUCGUUCAAAUAUAUUUCAUAUGCAAGCUGUUAAUAAUUCUGCUUGCAGAAAGCCUACAAAACAGCUGUGUGAUGUAAUAGAAGACCAUAGUCUGGUCAAUUUUUCAACAUUAGAUAUUCAGGUCAUCAGCUUCUCAUGAAUUCUUUCCUGAGUUUCUUUGAAUUAUUUGUGAUGUAAUAACUUGUGCAUUUGAGAAACUGUUCUCUUGAAUUCUUUCUUGAGUUUCUUUGAAUUAUUUGUGAAUAAGUUCCUAAUCGGCUGCUUCUCUUCAGGAUAAGGAAAGUGUUGCAAACUGGUGAAGCAGCUGAUAGAUAAAAGCAAUGGGUACAUCUUUGCUGGCAUGGAUCGAUGCCAGUGCGGUUGAAUUCAGCAAGAUUGGCGUUCGUGAUGUUGUUGAUUGGGAUUAUUUCAGAUAUCCUUCUUUUCACCUAUUUUCGGCCUUGUGAUUCUCAUAUCCAUAGAACGUUUUGGUUAUUUAAUCAUAUUUCAUCGUAUGCAUCUGCAUCUUCUAACCAGUGCGUUUGAGAAACUAAUUUUGCUGUUAGGCAGGUUUUAAGCUUGAUUCAUUUGUUUUUCAUAAAUGUACCAAAGUUAUGUAAACCAAAUAAUCAAAAAUAAAUGAAAGGAAAUGAGUUUAAUAUAACCUCCAUUCCAGCACUAGGCACGUUAAUUGUUCCCCAAGGACUUCUCCUGAUUCCCAUUCCCAAUAAGAAUGGUAAAAUGUCGGGUCGGGCUCGGGCUUGGUCAAGCCCUACACGACCCGAUCAAAAGAAAUUUGAAACCCGACCCUAAAAAAGCCCGAACACUACUUAGUUAGGGUCGGGCUCCGAAUCGUGGCAACAUCGGGUCGGGCCCAACCCGACCCUACCGAAAUAGUUAACCCCACAAUUCAAUUCCCAUUUUCCACCACCAUUUCAACCUAUUCGGCAAUUACUCAACCAUUUCAAACACAAUUCAAUCCACUUUCCACAACCAUUUCAACCAAUUCCACAACUAUUUCAACCCCACACACAAAUCAAUUCCAAAAUCCAACAUGAAAAACACACAAUGCAAUUAAAUUAAAAACAUUCAAUGUAAUUCCACAACCAUUUUACCCAUACACAAUUCAAUUCAACAACCUAACAUAAAAAAUAAAAAAUAAAAAACUAAUGUCUUAUAUAAAUAAAAACACAAUGCAAUUAAAUUAAAAAUACACAAUGUAAUUCCACAACCAUUUUAGUCAUACACAAUUCAAUUCAAUAACCCAACGUAAAAAAAAAAAAAAAAAAAACCUCAUGUCUUAUACAAAUAAAAAUACAAUGCAAUUAAAUUAAAAACAUACAAUGAGUGAUGUUGUGAGGAUGUGUUGUGUGCGUGUGUUAACUUGUGUUAUUUUUUUUUUUAAAUAGGGUCGGGUCGGCAUUAAUCCCGACCCUGACCCUAAAUUUGUUCAGACCUUAAAAUCUUGGCCCUAACCCGACCCUAAACUUAAAAUUUCGGGCCAAAGUCCUAAAAAUUAAGGUCGGAUCAAUCGGGCCAAAAAUAGAGUCGGGCUAAAUUGCCAAGCCUAAUUCCCAACCUCCAUGCUCUCAUGAGGAGUUUAGCACCCAUCAAUUUUUAUUUUUGAAAACUCGUAAUGGUCUGAUAAAAUUAAAGAACGUCAAUAAUGUUACCGGUCUUUAAAUAGUAAUUAAUUUAUUUAAUUUGCCACCUAAAAGAAUCCUACUGGAAAUAGAGGUUAAAAUUUUUAUUAGAUCUACUUACCUUUGUUCACUCAGCAAACAAUUACAAUUCACAACUAGAGAAUCUAUUCGUUGACAAUUGUGAAUUAAAAUUAUAACACUUGAAUUCAAACAUAUCCUUACGAAGUUAUGAAUUUGUUCAUACUUCCAAUGAUUUUUUUUUCCCAAAGCUAAUAAAGCUACCACUUUGAUCAAACGACGACGUUGAAGGAAUUGCGUAUUUUUCAAUGUCCUUUUCCAAACACACGUUGGAGAGAGGGAAAGAAGAAGACUGGCCUAAUUAAGAUAUCUCACAAAGAUUAUUGAUUUAAAAUGUUAUUGUAAAAGAUGUUUAAUACAAUAAUAGUACUUCUUUUGCAUUGUUAUAAUGAGGCUGGUGGGUUUCCUCAGAGGAUGGAUCUAGCUCGCUAGUAUGCACUUGGGAAGAUGCUAAUUAUCGGCCAUAAAAAAGUCUAGGGGUUGUGGCUCUUCCGUGGCCCAGAAAUUCCUAAUCUCAUAUCUCAAACUUGGGCAUUAUGUAAAUAUGUAUUUUUGAGAAUUAAACUAUUGCGUUAGAAAAAUUUUGAGCCAUUGUAAAUUUGUAAUCAUUUUAUUUUGCUAAGAGAAAAUUUUACUUUGUGUUUCACUUUGACUUUUGUUUUGUUUGUGAUAAUAAGAUUCAUACCAAUGUGAUUACACACCUAUCAUGCUUCUAUUUUCAUUUGCUUGUCAUGAUAGAUCAACAUGCUCGAAAAUAUUUAUUUAGGUUGGAAAUAUUUGAAUCCACUAAAAUACUAUACAGAUCCAUUUUAAAAUAAAAAAAAAAUAAUUAUCAUAAUACUCGUGAAGAUAACGCGAUAUCAUACAUAAAAUAAAAUAUUUCGCAAAAAAAAAUACAAAUCUUAAGUAAGUGGGUAUAAAAAAUAUUUUAGUGGGUUCAAGUAGCACUAAUGCCCCCUUAUCAAAAAAUAUAUAAAAAUAAGUAGUCUGAUUGGGUAUACAGUUGGCUAAACUAAAGUUCUGAAGAUAUAUAUAUAUAUAGAUAAUUUAUAAUGUACAUUAUAGAGAAAGAUUUUGAAAGUAAUAUUUUUUAGUAUUAUUAUAUAAUAUUUUGUAAAAAGUAGAGAGAGUGAGCAAAACCAAAUUAAUUUUCUAACCCCUACCUCAUUUAGGAUUUAAACUCAUUCUUUAGUGUCGCCGGCCAUUCAAAUUUUCUAGUCGAAUAGGCUAAAUUGCAUGAAAUUGUGCUAGCUUAGCUUGAUUCUAGAAAUUUUCAGUACACUGUAACACAUUCCCACACUUGUACAUAGCUCGAAAUUCUCUAGAAUUUACUAUAGUAGUGUAGCAUGUAGCUUGUACAUAGGUUUUUCUAAAACACUCCAGACAUUACUAGGCAUGAGAGCUCUCACCAAGCUUUGAGAACUCUCUAGGCAUAAAACAUUCUAGGGCAAGCCUACCCUAAAAAUAGGGCAUGAAGCUUGCCAUUUGAGCAUACAACACAUAAGAACAAUUCAAGCAUACUUGUAAGCUCUCAAACUCUCUUGUACACACUCUUGUGAAUAAUAUACUUUUCCUUUGGCUAUAUUGUUCUCUCUUCUCUCUAGUUUUUUCAAAAGCAUCAUAACUUAGCUAGUCGAAAAAUUCAAGGCUUACUUUGCAACUAUCUCGUAAAAGUUGUUUAAGUACCACAGAAGUUUGCUGUGCAAAAUACUCAUCCCGUAACAUUUGUCAAAUAAAAUUGUUUGAAAGCCACUUACCUAGACUAUUGGACGGAUAUUAUUAUUUUAAUAUGCAAUCUUUUAAUAUAAACUUUUGUCUUAAUUUUCUAUCUCCUAUGAUAAAUUUUAGAAUUUUAAAAAUUUUAAAAAUUAAUAACUAUUAGAAAGAGCAUUCAUUACUGUUAAAAGAAAUCUAUAUAGAUAUAUAGAUACAUAGUAAUAUAAAAACUUACUACAGUAUAAUGUUUUUAGUUUCUUAUUUUUUCAAGAUAAAAAUUCAAAGACACAAGUUAAAUGUUGUGGAAAAUCUUCCACCCAUACAAGAAAUCGUCACAGCUAAAUGCAAACCGAGCUAAAGUAUUAGUUGUUUUAUUACAAUCUCUAAAAAGAUGAGCAAUUCCAAAAUCUUUCUUUGUAACAAUAAGCACUACAGUUCAGCAACUAUCCAAGUCAAAAGCAACUCAAUGUGAGUGCUAAGCUAAAUCAAUUUCAUUAACAAAUUAGAUGCCAAAGAGCAAAGGCUUCAUCCUCAAUUAUAUUGACAUUAUCUGAGUAAACUCUAAAUACCACAAUCAACCCCAAAAAACAUGACUAAACUAUUAUGUUUAAAAUAAAAAUAAAUAAAUUUUUUUGAACGGAAAAAAAUCCCCAAUAACUAAAUUGUUCAAACGUUUUUUAACAUCAUGUGUUUCUAAUAAUUUAGGGUUGGGCAUUCAGUUCGGUUUUUACCGAACCGAACAACUAAAUUAAAUCGAAAUUACCCUGUUCGGUUCAAUUGAAUAGACAAAAACUAGAGCUGGCAAAACGGGUCAUCGGGUCGUGUUCAUGUCGUGUCGUGUCAAAUUUAGUUCAACCCAAACCCGACCCAUUUAAUAAUCGUGUCAAAAUAUUGAGACCCAAACCCGACACGAAAAAAUAAUCGGGUUACCCAAUAACCUGCUUAAUAUCUAUAUAUUUAACAAAAGUUACAUCAAAUAUUUACACAUUAUCAUACAUGCGUAUGUACAUACAUACAUACAUACAUAAUUUAUCGAUAUUAUAAAAUGUACAUAUCUACCAAAAUAUUACACAUUUACACUAUUGAGGUUUUAAUUAAUUUUAUAUAUAUAUAUAUAAUAUUAUAUAUUAAUAUUAUAAAAUAUACAUAUCUACCAAUAUUUCUCAGCCUUGUUGGCAGGUAACUCCGUUCCUUGAUUUCAAGCAGCUUUCUCUUUGAUGGCCAAAAAUAUUGAUUUGGGCUUUGCCCUUUAAAUUAAUGUAAGAGCGGUAGGGAAUAACCGAGUUAUAGUCUUAGCUUUAAGUGAACAUUGAUGGUAACAUGCAUGUGAAGGUUGUAUGUGUUCAGCGGCAAGCUGUAUGCCAAUUUGGUCUAUAUGGUUUUUUUGUUGGUAACUUAUUAAUUUUUAUGCAGGAAGGUUACAGUCAUCAAUUUGGAUCCUGCUAAUGAUAGUUUGCCGUAUCCUUUGUCAGAACCUUUUUACAAAUGCUGUGGUUUGUUGUACUAUAAUUAGUUCAAUCUGAAACUUCCUUGAUGUUAAUAUAGAUAUGAGUGUGCUGUGAAUAUGGAGGACCUCAUUAAACUAAGUGAUGUGAUGAUGGAGCAUUCGCUGGGUCCAAAUGGAGGUUAGUCAGCCUAUUGUUGUUUACUCUUUCUAGCUUUAUCACGCAAUGAUAUUCCUUUGCUUUACAACAAAUUUCAUGAAAUUAACUUCAAUCUAGUGGCUAUGUUCAUAUGCUGUUGAGAUUUUAUGGACAAUGAUUUGGUAGACUUUAUAUGCCGUCUUCUUUCUUUUUGCAGUGAUAUGUUUGUAUUCAAUGUGCUUGUACUUAUUCUACGGUUUCUAAAGUAGGUGUUUUUAUGAUAAACUAGGUCUUGUGUAUUGUAUGGACUAUCUAGAGAAGAUUAUUGACUGGUUGCAGUCGAAAUUGGAACCACUUUUGAAAGGUAAGAAGAGAUCAUUUUGCUUCAUUCUAAUGCCAAUAAUGCUGUCAUGAGACUCAUAAAAAUUGUUAAAACGUUAAUGUUUUUGGUAUUUUGCAGAUCAUUAUCUUCUGUUUGAUUUUCCUGGCCAAGUUGAAUUAUUUUUUCUUCAUUCCAAUGCCAAGAAUGUUAUAUGAGACUCAUAAAGAAGUUAAAUCUCAGGGUAUUGUUACAUCUUACAUCUAUGAAGGGACUCAAAGAGUUGAGAUGAAUUCAUCUUUGUUAUUUUGAUGCCAGAAUUGUGCAAUUCUCAGUUGGUUCCUUUCACAUGCAGUUGACUUCAGUGCAUCUAGUUGAUGCGCAUCUUUGCAGUACUAGAAAAGAAGAUAACAUGGAGAAUUCAACAACUAUACAGUCAUAUUGAUGUCUGUCAACUUGGGUCAUAUGGUGUUGUUUGGAUGGAGAUGUUAGGCCCCAGAUGGUAUACUUGUUAUCAAAUUCCAGUCUACUUCAUUCAUGCUUUGAUGACAUAUGCGGUGCAGCUUCUUAUCUAAGACCUGCAUAUGUUACAGUCAACACUCUGUUCUGUAUUUGGCUGCCAUUCUUUUCAAUGAAUUCAAACCACUUUCUGAAUACUUGCAAAUUCAUCCAGUGUUGUCAUUGAGAUGCCAAUAUGAAAAGAAGCCAUAAUUGCCCUUGAUAGUAUUCUUAUUGAUUGCCUCUUGCCUCACUCAACCUCAGGAAUCUGCUUGUAUGGUGUUCUUCUAAUUUCAAUUGGAGAUUCUUCUAAUUUCAAUUGGAGAUAAGUAAUAUCUGUUGUUCAAAUAUUUUUUAUUUACAAGCUAUUAAUAAAUCUGCUUGCAGAAAGCUUACAAAGGAGCUGUGUGAUGUAAUAGAAGACUACAGUCUGGUCAAUUUUUCAACCUUAGAUAUUCAGGUCAUCAGUUUCUCUUGAAUUCUUUCUUGAGUUUCUUUGAAUUUGUGAAUAAGAUCUUAGUUGGCUGCUUCUCUUCAGGAUAAGGAAAGUGUGGCAAAACUCGUGAAGCUGAUAGAUAAAAGCAACGGGUACAUCUUUGCUGGCAUGGAUGCCAGUGCAGUUGAAUUCAGCAAGAUUGCCGUUCGCAAUGUUGAUUGGGAUUAUUACAGAUAUCCUUCUUUUCACCUAUUUUCAAUCUUGUGAUUCUCAUAUUCAUAAAACUUUUUGGUUAUUAUUAUGGGUCAUCAUAUGCAUCUGCAUCUUCUAACUUGUUUGUUUGAGAAACUAAUUUUGCCGUUAGGUAGGCUUCAAGCUUGAUUCAUGCUUUUUUCAUAAAUGUACCAAAAUCAUGGAAACUUCUUUUUCCCAGAUAUUAUAUCCACACUUUUCCCAUGUAAUUUAGUCAGACAAGUUUUUCUUAACAAAGAUAUCUAGAGUAGCCGAAGUGCAGGAGAAGUACAUUAAGUAUGAUGAAAAUGUUAACUAAAAUGGGACGAGAAGAUAUGUGGAGUGCAAACCGUAAGCGUGCCUCUUACUUUUGUGCAUGUUUACUUGAUUGUGAUUCACGUUUGUUAAUCUAUUUUGGUCUCUUGCAGGAGUUAUAAAGUUUUCAAUCAAUCAAACAUUUAACUCAAGUCCUUAGCUCUUCACUGCUUGAAUGGGUCAGAUAGGACAAGCGCCGAAGAGGUGGUUUUAAUCAAACCCCUCCUAAUUAUGAUGUAUGGUCCGAAUCUCGGACUUUUUGUACAAUAUCAGGCGAUUUUUUUUAGUUGAAUUGGCUAGUGUACACAAAUGUCGAUCAUUGAUUUUUCUCUAGUAUUGUUUGUCAUUACAAGAAACGAAGUAAUGAAAUUUAUCACUGCGUUCAUAGUUACGCUUAAGCUCAAAGAUUACCGUCAAGAUCAUCAACCUGUUGAUGAUCUGAAGCUUCCAUAGAAAAAGGAACCGGACAAAACCCAAGAGAGAGAACAAAAAUAAAUUAAUUAAAAAAAAAGAAGAAAAAUUGCCAAAGCUACUGGUCAGUUGAUAUCAAUCUUUUGCACGUGGGAUGGAAAUGGAACAGUGGGCACUUUGGAUGACUCAUAACUCACUAGAGAGAAACGAAUUUAGGCCGAAUCAUAUAAAGUACGCUAAGCCUUAGUGCGCGCGCUGUUGCGCUGCUGUGUCUGCCGGUGAGAAUAAUUUUUCGUUUUUAAGGUAAUUUUUAUUUAUUUAUUUAUUUUUUUGGUGCAUAUGGUCGAACACUUGGUGGGCACCUCAAUUUUUGGAAUGUUCUCUUCAAUGAAUACAGGGAAAAAGGGACAAAAAUUAAGAACUUUAUUUUGUUCGCGUGGAAUCGAUAUCUGGAUUGGGAUUGUAUGUCGUGUUUAAUUUGAAUUGGUUGAUUCCUCUAAUGAAUUAUUUUGAUAAAUUUAGUAGCAGUAUUUGGCGGCAAAAGUAUCAUUAAUUUUUGGAAAUAUGAUUAUGUUAUUAAUUAUUUUAGCAUUCUAAAAAGUCAAUGGUUAUGUUGGAAAUACUCUAAGGUAGAAUAGAGUACAAAUCACAGUCACACAUACAAAAUGAUAAAUAAUAAAAAAUAUAUUAUAUUUUUGAUCAUAUGAUUAUGAAGACGUAUUUUACCUUAAAGAAGUUCUAAUAAGCGAAUUCUUCAAAAAAAAUAUAAAAUUUCUUUUUUAUCAUACUCAACCGCUUCAAACUUCUAAGAAGUAGAUAUACAAUUAGUGGAAUACUGAAUUGAGUGCGAGCUGCGGAUAAUAUAUAAAAUUGGGAUACAAGCUUCAAGGAAAGUGUAUUGCUAUUCAAAUGUAGAUUUCAAAUUAAGAAGAUAUGCCAGCAAAUUGUAUAAAAAUGUAUAAAUUGAUCAGUAACAUUAAUUCCAAAUGAUGAAAUGAGUUAUCUUGAUCAAAAGGUCAAGAACCUACCUUACUUCUCUUAGAGAUAACUUGCAUCAACCGUUGUGGUAUUGAUACUUGUCUUCAGCUAGUAAAAGACUAAAAGUGAAAGUUUCACAAUUGAAAUAAAGCUAAGGGAAGAUGCUAUGCUCCAUUUAUUAUUAUUAUUAUUGAUGUGGUCGAGAAGUAAAGCCAUGCAUAUGAUGAAGUAUAAAUAAGAAUGCAAUAGCCCGGAAUUCAUUUACACAAACACUUCAAUAUCCUUUUGAUCACUUUUGCAAACAUCAGUUUGUCUCCUCUUGUAUUCACCAUGGUUGAUGCCAUCGUUUCCUCUCUUGUGGAGCAGCUGACUUCCUUCGCUGCUAAAGAGAUAAUACAACAGGUGAUCGAAGUUACACCCCCCAUAUUAUAAAUACUUCUAAUGAUUUUAAUUGGUUUUGUUUUUAUCGGAAACAUUAACUUUGCUUUAUUUUAUUUAUUUAGGCAUUUUAAAUUUUAAAAUUUGAAUUGAAUUCAAUUAAAAUGUGAUGUAGCUAGUAACCACUUUUUUUAUUUCAUUUAUAUUCUCAAUAACUACCCAUAUUUUGGUAACUUACUGUAACCCCCGUAUCUAAGAAAUGAUCAAAACCCACAAUUUUAACUCCACAUAAAUAUUCCAUGUUGAGCUAAGUUUUUGCAUAACAUUCAAGUUUGUUAAAUAGUCAUUAAUUUAAUGUUUAGUAAAAACUUAUCUCUGAAAAUUUUCAUAAUUUUCUUACAUUCUUUGAGUUUGGUGAGUGGCUUCAUAUAAUUUCUUUUCAAUUUAAAUUUUAAUUUGGUUUCUGAUAUAGUCUCUUUACUGAAUUUUAUAUCUUUUAUGAUUCUUGGAUUUUGGGCUCCAACUUUUUAGGAUUUGAUAGUCACAUUUUAUGGCAUGCUUAGAUUGAUUUUCAUGAUUUUUAGUACUCGUUAAGUGACUGAGAAUUUGACAAAAGUUUGAAAGGAAAUCCGUUUCACGAUUCUUAUGUGGAAGGUUCGUAAAAUCAUGAAAUUUGGAUAGGAUUCACUAGCAAUAUGUACAAGACUCUCCAUGAAGUUUCAUAAUUUUUCAUUCGGUCUGGGGUGGUACAGGUGAAGCUUGUGGUUGGUGUUGAAAAAGAAGUGAAAAGCCUUACCAGCCACCUUCAAGCCAUUCAAGCUGUGCUCGAUGAUGCAGAGGAAAAGCAAGUGAAGGACAAAGCUGUUAGACAUUGGCUGGGUAGGCUCAAGUAUGCAUCCUACGACAUUGAAGAUGUGUUGGAUGAGUGGAUCACAGAUAGACACAAAUUGCAAAUUGAGGGUGGCGUUGAUGACAAUGCUCUUGCUGCUCCUCAAAAGAAAAAGAAGGUAUGUUUCUGCUUUCCUGCCUCUUGUUUUGGAUUCAAACAAGAAGAAUUUGGUUUCAGACAAGUCUUUCUACGUUAUGACAUUGCCAACAAGAUCAAAGAAAUGAAUGAAGAGCUACAUGAUAUUGCCACUCAAAAAGACAUGUUUAAUCUUGUUAAGAGUGGCAAUAAAAGUGGUGAAAGACCAAGGCGUGUACAGAGUACCUCCUUGAUUGAUGAGGAAGAGAUUUGUGGUAGAGUUGGUGAGAAGAAUGAACUCAUAAGCAAGCUGUUGCGUGAGAGUAGCGAGCAACAAAAAGGCCUCCAUAUGAUCUCAAUUGUUGGUAUGGGAGGCAUAGGGAAAACUACUCUUGCACAACUAGCUUGUAAUGAUGACGUGGUGAAGAGAAAGUUCGACAAAAUUCUGUGGGUGUGUGUAUCAGAAACUUUUGAGGAGUUUAGGGUUGCCAAAGCAAUCGUUGAAGCUUUGGAUGGUCGUGAAUCUCAUUUAGGUGAAUUCCAAUCUCUUCUUAAACAUAUUGAUGAAUCCAUUGCAGGGAAGAGCUUUCUUCUUGUCUUAGAUGACGUGUGGGAUGGAAAUUACUUGAAAUGGGAACCAUUCUAUCGUUGUCUAAAGAAUGGUCUCCAUGGAAGUAAAAUUUUAGUUACCACACGUAGUGGGUCCGUUGCAUCCAUGAUGGGAUCCAUAGAUAUUAUUCCCAUUGAGAAAUUAGCUGAAGAGGAAUGUUGGUUGUUGUUUAACAAGAUAGCAUUUUUUGGUAGGCCUAUCGAGGAACGUGAAAAAUUCGAACGAAUUGGGCGAAGAAUUGCAGGCAAGUGCAAAGGUUUACCUCUUGCAGCAAAGACAAUAGGUAGUCUCAUGCGUUCUAAACAAACUGAAGAAGAGUGGAAAAGAAUUUUAAAUAGUGAUUUAUGGAAAGUAGAAGAGAUUGAGAAAGAUGUUUUGUCCUCUUUAUUGUUGAGUUACAAUGAUUUGCCAUCUAGAGUAAAAAGAUGUUUUUCAUAUUGUGCUGUCUUUCCAAAAGACUACGAUAUAGAAAAAGACAAACUAAUUACAUUGUGGAUGGCUCAAAGUUUUCUUACUGUAGAAGAAGAUGAGGAGAUGGAGACUAUAGGUGAAGAGUAUUUUAGCAUCUUAGCUUCUCGCUCUUUCUUUCAAGAGUUUAAGAAAAGUUAUGAUAAUCGGAUUAUAGAGUGUAAGAUGCAUGAUAUGGUACAUGAUUUUGCCCGAUUUGUAAGUCAAAAUGAAUGUUUUUCGAUGGCAAUUAAUGGUAGUGAAGAACCAAACGCCACAAACUCUCUUGAUGAGAAGGUCCGUCAUUUAAUGUUAAUCUUUAGUAUAGAGGCUUCAUUACCUGUUUCCACUCCUAGAGUUAAAAGAAUGCGUACCCUCUUAAUUAACGAUAGUGGAUCAUUAAAUGGCGAGAUCCUAGAAGAAUUAUUUAGGGAAUUGACAAGUUUAAGGGCAUUAGAUUUUGGCGGAUCGUUCCACUCAACGCCGUUGUUGACUGCGGAGGUUCCAAGAAACAUAGAAAAGCUGGUACAUUUGAGAUACCUUAAUUUGUCUUUUCAGAAAAUAGUGAAACUACCGGAGACAUUGUGCGAGUUGUAUAAUCUAGAAAAGUUCGAUAUUAGUUGUUGUUUGUAUCUUAGAGAAUUACCUGAAGGGAUUGGGAAGUUAAUAAACAUGAAGCAUUUACGAAAUAGAAGUACUAGUUCUUUAAGGUACAUGCCAGUAGGGAUUGGGAGAUUAACGGGUCUUAGGACCUUGGAUGAGUUCCACGUGAGUGCAGGAGGAGGUGUUGAUGGUAGGAAAGCAUGUAGGCUUGAAUCUCUUAAAAAAUUGGAACACCUUCAAGUAUGUGGUAUAUGUAGACUGGGUGAUGUAUCAGAUGUGGGCGAGGCUAAGCGAUUAGAACUUGACAAAAAGAAAUACCUCUUCAGUUUGACCCUUGAGUUUGAUAAGAAGGAGGAAGAAGACGGAGAAAGGAGGAAGAACGAGGACGAUCAACUUCUUCUUGAAGCCCUGCGAUCACCUCUGGAUUUAAAGGAAUUAGAGAUAGGGUUAUACCGAGGCAACACUGUUUUCCCCAGCUGGAUGACGUCAUUAACCAACUUAAAGAGUUUAAAACUCUCUUUCUGCGAAAAUUGCGAGCAGCUGCCUCCUUUGGGAAAAUUGCCGUCCCUUGAACAGCUCUUCAUAUCGUACAUGUCGAGUGUGAAAAGAGUGGGUGAUGAAUUUUUGGGGGUAGAAAGUGAUCGUCAUGACUCAUCGUCAUCUUCAUCAGUUAUUAUUGCCUUCCCCAAAUUGAAAUCACUUAGUAUUGACGGAUUGAUGGAAUUGGAGGAGUGGGAUUAUGGGAUUACAAGAACGGGAAACACCUUCAUCAACAUCAUGCCACGUCUUUCUUCAUUGGCAAUUAAUUACUGCCCCAAAAUUAAGGCACUGCCCGACCACUUUCAUCAAACGACAACAUUGAAGGAAUUGCGCAUUUGGGGGUGUGACCUUCUGGAAGAACGUUAUUGCAAGGGGGAAGGAGAAGACUGGCCUAAGAUAUCACACAUUCCCAACCUCCAUAUUGGGCUUUGACAAGUAAUUUCUUCUCUUACUCUGAUUU
rnacentral:lncRNA from 1 species